rnacentral:lncRNA from 1 species
UGUUCAGUAGUCACCUUUGGCAUCAUGCCUGUGACAUCCGCCGCAGAUGAGGUAUGCGGAAGAUGUUUUAUUCAGGAACGGCAUCACUCUCUUCAUUCGAGACAGCUUGAUCUGAAGACACAGGUGCGUGAACCGCGUCCCUCCCUUCAUUAGAGCCAGCUUGAUCUGAAGAUGCAGGUGCGUGAACCGCGUCACUCCCUUCAUUAGAGACAGCUUGAUCUGAAGAUGCAGGUGCGUGAACCGCGUCACUCCCUUCAUUAGAGACAGCUUGAUCCCAAGAUACAGGUGUGUUCCCUACAUCUACACUUGUAGCAGCAGCCUUAGGAACAUUUCCCCCCUCUUCUUGGCUACCAGCAUCAACAUCCAUGCUACAAUUGGUAUUGUCCUGGUCAUCUAAUUUGGAUGAAUCAACCUUGUCAAUGGCGCCCUCGUUCAUGGUAACGCUGUCCCCACUAUGAGCAUUAGAAGUAGUCUGUCCAACUGAAGCCCCAUCGUUAUCCACUUGAGUGUCAGGCAAUGGAGGAAUAGGACCUACAAGGUCUCCAUCUACAUCUGCAUUGUCCAUGUCCAUCUGAUCCCCCUUGAUUUCUUUGCUUCCUGCAGCUUCUUCAUCAGUAACCAUAUUCGUCUGUCCUGAUUCCUCUUCAAUGUCAUGAUUCUUCCUCUCAUUUUCUUCCUCAGCAGCACGAUUUUGAGCUGCAGCUUCCUCCUCCUUAGCACGGGUUUCUGCCUCUAUUGCCGCUUCCUUAGCACGGUUUUCUGCCUCUAUUGCCUCCUCCUUAGCACGGUUUUCUGCCUCUAUUGCCUCUUCCUUAGCACGGUUUUCUGCCUCUAUUGUCUCUGCCUGUAGCCUAAGUAGCCUCUUGUGCUCCUCAAGUUGUUCAUGGAUGCUCUGGUAUCCAGACAGCAGAUCACCAUAGCGGCUCUGGAGAGUCCGUUCUAAUGCUUUCUGUUUAUUCACUUCAUCAGACAAAUUUUUCACACGAUAGGCAGCAGCCAUCUGUUCUUGUUUCUGCAACUCUUGGAAGCAUUCAAGUUCUGUGGCUGCAGUGUUCAUCUGCUUGAAGGUGUCCUGGAUCUGUGACCCCAAUUUUGCAGCCCGAGCCUAACAAAUCAAAUAACAAGUGGAACAAACCAUCAGCACUGCAAAUCGACAUGGAAAACCUAGAAACAAAAUGAAAACAAUAUCAUACAAUAUUGUUUCAGUAGAACUAAUCCAGUAUGUAUCAAAUGAAAAGCAAUAGAACUAAUCCAGUAUGUAUCAAAUGAAAAGCAAAAUAAGAAGUGAUCACUAAACUGUUGCAUUUCUUUGCAAAUUAUGCAAGUUUGGUUUGGGGCAACUGGAUAAUCUUUCAAAUUAUGGGUUAGCUUACACAUGGUGCAUUUUUAAAUGACACCAAACAUCAAUGGGGCAGAGAUGUUAGAGAGGUGCCCUUGGUGCCCUUACACAGACUAGAGAGAAACAUUUAGCAUAGCUAGACUGUAUAAAAUGCUGUCUGGAAAAAAGUUAAAACUAAUAUAGGCAUACCACAAAGAUGAUGCAUCAUCCUCAACUAACCUGGUAUCCUUGUGUCAGCAGUUUGAUCUUCUGCUCAAGCCGAGAAGCUUUCUUUGCCUCAUCAUCCAUUCUCUUCUUUACCAUUUCAAACUCAUGUUGCAAAGCAGAAAUUUUAUCAGCAUUUCCAGCAACACUAGCAAGACCAUAGCUGUUGUUAGUAGGGAAAAACAUAAGGUCCUCCUGGCAUGCAUCAUGUGACUUUACAAAAUCCUCAAAAGAUUCAUUUUCAUGGCCCAUGGCCACACGAAGAUACUGAAUCUCCUCCUCAACCAUAGAACUUGCCUGUCAACAAAUAAAUAUGUGAUUUUAAAAACUUCUUCAUCAUUACGAUUAGACUAAAGCGGGCAAACAGGACUGGCACAAAGAACUAUAAAAAACCGUAAAUAAGAUUUAGCAAGAAAUCAAAUCCAUAUACGGUUAAAGAAAACCACCCACUCACAAGUCAUAACACACAGCCUUCUAUUGAAAGGCAAAAAUCUCCAUUCACAGAUGGUAUGCUAGACAACAACCCACUUAGUCAGGCUAAACAAAAAGGACAGAUGGCUAUAAGUGAUUACUAAAUUGAAGAAGUGUUUCAGUAAUUCAAUAUAUGUGUAUCUGAGUUCUUAUGCAGAAAGAAUACACAUCUCAAACUUUGUCAAUACUAUUGUGAAGAAAUACUGCACAGUUCUCUACAUGGUGUGUGCCCAUGUGCAUAACAUAACAAUUCUAACUAACACAUUACUUGUAGAUGGUAACAUCCUUUACACUCCGGAGGGACAUAUUUUCAAACUGGAGAAUCCAUAUAUUUUUAUCUUGAUUGAAUUCUUGAUAUUUCAGACUUCCAACCACGGUUUUCAAAUUCUUUUCAACUUUCAAUCCCCGAGAGAGGUUGUUUUUCAAGCAAUCUUGUGCACUCAUUGUCUAUCCAUGACAAUGUCACAUCUAAGUGAUGCAUGCUUAACCUGAUUAGUGGCCUCUUGGAUUUUUGAGCAUUCAUUCAUUUUCCAGAAACACGAGUAUCCUAAAAAAUGGGGUAAGCACUGCAUAAAACCUAGCACAAUUCUUCAAUGAAUCCUACAGCAAAACAGUUAUCUUGUGAGUGAUGUGCUGUAUACAGCUCCCACUAUACAAAAUAAACAUGCUUUCCUUCCCUUGCCAUCUCCAGGAUAGCACUCAAUGCCAAUGGAUUAGCUAUAAAAGUAAUUGGCUAUCAGAAGUAAGAUCAUAAAGGUUGGUACAGGAAUAGUUUAGACCUGCUGCUCACAUACAGGCGCUAUAUUCCAUAUUACUGUGUUACUCACUUGUGUAUAUACAAUUAUGAAACCACAGCAAGUAAUUAUUGAUGUGCCUAAUACUACAUGAAAUCGGAAUAUAUGUUAUCAUGUAAAUUGAAUAUACAGUUCAACAUCAAAUACCAAUAAUAAAAAAGGAACAGAAAAGAAGUAUACCUCUUUUAGUUCAUGCUCAUCAAAACCUUCGAUUUCAGGGACGAAAGCUGCCCCAUUUGCCUGACGCUUGCUGCCUUUCUUUUUCUCUCUUUGAGUUUGUUCAUCAAGAGGAUAUUUAGCAUUAUCAUGCUCAAGGAGCCUAAGGAGUUCCUCAUUUAUUAGCUCGUCAGCUUGUUCAAGUGAUGUAGGAGGCACAAAGGUACUUCUGGUUUCACCACCUUUAAUCAGAGAUUGCCGGAGAAUCUCCACUGAAGCAGCAGGUGGCCUAGGCAAACUCCUCUGCAACACUUUGGACCUCUUUCUGAGCAAUGCCUCCUGCCUUGCUUGUUCCUCAGCCCUUUCUCGUGCUAACCUGUCUGACAUAUCCUCUUCAAUUCUCUCUUCUGCUUCUUCCUUCUCCUCUGUGAUAGGUGGCAUAACUAUCUGGUACUCAUUCUUAGGCUGUGGAAUAGAAGCAAAACCAGACCGCAAACCUCUUCUCAGCUCGGCUUGCCUACGAAGCUCAAGCUGAGCGCUGUCUUGCAUUUCCACCUCUUCAUUUAUGUGAAGCUCAUCCCUGAAAGGGGUUCCUUUUGGAGUUAACCCAAAGGCAUUUCCAUCUCUGGAUGGUGUCAAACCAAUCCUUGGGGUAACACCAGGGCCAGGGCUAGCCAGAGGCGUCGCCAUGGGAUUUGGAGUCUGUAUCUCUUUCUUACGUGGUGUAACGCCUGAGAAAUCUGAUGGGUGAAGCUCUGGGUUAUCGCCUCCUAAAAGAGGUGUUUGUGAUUCCCUUAAACGUGCAAGAUUCUCUGCCUCCAUCAUAAUAGCGUCACCUUUCCCACCUGGCGUUCGUUGCGGCGUUCGCAAUGGUGUCAUACCAAGCCUUGGAGUCUGGGAAUAAUUUGCAAGCAGUGUCCUAGUGGCAGUACUUCCUUCACCAAGCUCCUCGGCUAGAGCAGGAUCACCGGCAUUGCCCAUCUUUGCAAUCUCCUCCAAUUCAUGGUCGGAAAUUUGGGGUGGUGGAAGCAUUAGUUUGGACCUUCUUGUGACAGCUUCUGGGUCAUUGAGUUUAUUUGCUUGCAUUAUUGCGGCAGGGGCAUCCUGCCUCUGCAGAAUCUUGUUCUUGGCAAUGUCUUGCUUUCUUAAUUGAGCCUCUACAUCCACUCUUCUCCUCCCUUCAAGCUCCUCAAUGGUAGUUGGAAACUGCACAUGCUCAAGUGGCCUGUCCUCGCCCACUGUAUCAUAAAAACCUGGAGGGGGUCUCUUUUCAAAAGGGAUCUCGGCAUUAUAGUCAAUUCCCUUUCUCUUUCUUUUUUUGUGCCGGUUGUCAAUACCAGCUGCCUUCAGUUCUCUCCUUUUUUGCAGUGAUGCAAGCCGCCUCGCCUCUUCAAGCUGUUUCUCUCUUGCCUUCCGUUUUGCCUUUUUACCCCUGGUGUUAGCUAAGCGAGCCCUUGCCUCAGAAAGCAUUUCCUUUUCAUCUUCGUCCAUGUCAACAGGAUCUGGACGUGCAGGUUUUGACUCAGGGUUUGGAUCUAUCUCCCCAGGUCGCAACUUUCUUGGGUCAUCGUUAGGCUCAUAAUUCUCAUCCUUUGCACAGGCAGCAUCAAGCAAUUUUUCAUAACGCUCGAGGCACUGGGAUGGUGUUCGACCCACAAUAGGUGCAAUAGUCCUCCAUUGAGUAGGCAUGAGCUUAGCAAGAUGAAGCAGCUUCUCAUCCUCUUCCCUUGUCCACUCAGUCUGGGGUUAAUGGGCACUGGUUAGUUAAGUAACGUAAAUGACAGAACCUCUAUAUUAUUCGACAGACAACUGAAAACUGAAAAUGGGGCAGACCUAUGUCAUAAUAGAGCAGAUAUAACCAAUUAAAAGAAACAUUAAGCAUCAUAUGACAGGUAAAGAUUGACGGUUAUUUUGAACAAGUUAAUUUGAUUAGAAUGUGAAUCACACAGACUGAAAAUAUAGUUUAGUCAAGUUAGCUUGGUUUUUAUUAGACACUUAAGUUUUAGAGUUAGAUGACAACGCUAAUGAAGCAUUAAGAAUCAAAUUUAGAGUUCUCAACAAAGAUUUAUUAACAUCUUUCCUAUAACUUUAACAAGCUAGGUCCAUAUUUCAACGAUAUCACAGAGAAUGUGUUAAGAGCAUAACAUCAUGCAAGCCAUAAUAGUCAUGACCAAAAAAUAAGUAUACGAUGGCAACACAGAUAUGACAUAUUGUGUUCAUUAUAUUACCCUCGCUAACAAGAAUAUUACAAUGCACAAAGACAAUUAGUCAGUUCCAUUGGUAGAAGUUGACCAUCCAAUAACGUAUGUACAAUCAGUGCAUAGGAUUCUAGCAUGGUAUAGUAUGAAGAGAGAAUAACAUAACCUCAAAACCAAUAUGUGUGUUGAAAUAUGAGCACUUCAAAAACAUGUGGAGCAAUUUACAACAAAAAAUGUAAACUAGAUAAUGUAAACCAAAUGGCAAUUCGUCAAAACUGUACACAGUGUAGCAUUUUCAAAACACCACAUGAUAACCACGGAUCCUCUAGUUUGUACUCACUCCGCGUCACAAUUACAGAUCCUCUAUAUAAUCCUUUCAUAGCAGCAUCUAGUUGCAGUUCACUCGCUAACAAAGUACUAGCCAUCUAAAAAAAUCUNNNNNNNNNNNNNNNNNNNNNNNNNNNNNNNNNNNNNNNNNNNNNNNNNNNNNNNNNNNNNNNNNNNNNNNNNNNNNNNNNNNNNNNNNNNNNNNNNNNNNNNNNNNNNNNNNNNNNNNNNNNNNNNNNNNNNNNNNNNNNNNNNNNNNNNNNNNNNNNNNNNNNNNNNNNNNNNNNNNNNNNNNNNNNNNNNNNNNNNNNNNNNNNNNNNNNNNNNNNNNNNNNNNNNNNNNNNNNNNNNNNNNNNNNNNNNNNNNNNNNNNNNNNNNNNNNNNNNNNNNNNNNNNNNNNNNNNNNNNNNNNNNNNNNNNNNNNNNNNNNNNNNNNNNNNNNNNNNNNNNNNNNNNNNNNNNNNNNNNNNNNNNNNNNNNNNNNNNNNNNNNNNNNNNNNNNNNNNNNNNNNNNNNNNNNNNNNNNNNNNNNNNNNNNNNNNNNNNNNNNNNNNNNNNNNNNNNNNNNNNNNNNNNNNNNNNNNNNNNNNNNNNNNNNNNNNNNNGAGACCGGGGCGACGGGGUGGUGCGGCGAGGAGGGGAUUGGAGGAGCGGGGCCGCGGGGGAGGGCGGGAAAGUGGGCGACGGGGAGGGCCAAGCCGGCGGCGGAGGGCAGUGGCGGCGCUCCUCUCACGGGACGGAUUGGUUCGGGCUCGGGAGGCGGGACUUGUCCUGGUGAGGUAAACCCGAUGACGUGGCAUGUAACGCUCAGUCAAAACCAGUCAACCGCUGGAAAGAGUUUCUCUAGAGCAACCCUACCACACCCCGCAUCCCGUCGACCCGAAAAACACGUUUGCAGGUCGUGCUAAACUGCUUAUGCGGGCUGGCCUGGGCUGUCACAUAUGCAGAUCCCACAAACGGAUCCGUAAAAAAUAUAUUUGUGGAAUAUUCUUUUUUACGGGUCGACUUUGAAGGGUCCGUUCUUUGCACCGCUGCUUCCCGUAUCAUUAGACCGUAAAUAUCAAAUACAACAUAAUUCAACGGCCGAAAACAAACUGAAUUAUUCCAAUCAAACACAAUACAAUAAUCAUCCGCAUUACAAAUAAUUAUUCAAAACUUGUCAUGAAUACAAAUACAAAUGAAUACAAAAAUAAGUCGUUGUCUAGCCCUUUGCCAAUAGUGUUCAAUGAGAUACUUCUGAAGUUGAAAGUGGGUGUCUGGGUUUUCAAUCUCCUUGUAUGUCUGAAGAAAAGCUCUAAUGCGGUUUGGGUCUCUAGCUGGUUUGACACGGCUACCCACAUUGUCGUAAAAGAAUUCUAAGUUCAAUCCUCUCUCAUCUUCAAGAAUCAUAUUGUGCGGGAUAACACAGCGUGUCAUGAUGUUCUUCAAGGUUCUCUUAUCCCAAAAACGAGCAGGACCAUGCACAAUGGCAAACCUAGAUUGCAAAACACCGAAUGCUCUUUCAAUGUCUUUGCGGGCUGCCUCUUGCACCUUUGCAAAUUCAUAUUUUUUUUGUUUUGGGUUCUUUGAUGCUCUUGACAAAUGUGCACCAAGGAGGGUAUAUACCAUCUGCAAGAUAGUACCCCUUUGUGUAUUCAUGUCCAUUAAUAGCGUAGUUGCAAGCAGGAGCAUCAUCACUAGCAAGCCUAGCAAACAAAUGCGACCGUUACAACACAUUGAUAUCAUUGAGAGUGCCCGGCAUACCAAAAAAGCAAUGUCAAAUCCAUAAAUCCUCGGAUGCUACGGCCUCUAGCACAAUUAUUGCAUCACGAGACUUGUCACAAUAUAUUCCUUGCCAAGCCUUGGGGCAAUUUUUCAAAUUCCAAUGCAUACAAUCAAUGCUAUCUAGCAUUCCAGGCCAACCUCUCCUCUCAUUAGAUGCCAUCAAUUUCUUUGUGUCAUCUUCAUUGGAUGCCCGAAGAUACUCAGGACCGAAGAGACGGAUGAUCACUUUUGCAAAUCUACGCACAUACUCAAUUGUGGUAUCUUCACCAAUGCGAAUGUACACAUCGGCAUAGUUAACCGGAACGCCAUAUGCAAUCACCCGCAUAGCUGCGGAGAUUUUUUGAUAUGCACUAAAUCCCUUUAAGCCUGCGACAUUCCUUCUUUGAGUAAAAUACCGGCAAUUUUCCUCGCAAGCUUGAACAAUUUUCACAAAGAGGGAUCAGCGCAUUCGGUACCUUCUCCGGAAGAGGUGUGGAGGAUAUGUAGGAUUCUCCGCGAAAUAGUCUUGCAUCAACAUCUCGUUCCCAAGAUGGCGAUUCCGAGGAAUGCACAAACGCUCGACAGUCGAUCCUCGCCUCUUCUUAUGGUUCUCGUCUUCAUUCUCCUUCACGGCAAGCGUCAUGACUAAUGUUUGCUGACGAAAGGUCGCAAGCAUGGUCUCAACAUCCGAGCCGUCCGAAUCGGACGAAUCGGAUAGCAGGAACUUCUCACAUGGGGUCAACUCCAUCUUCUCGGGUAGUUGGCGGGAGGAUAGUAGGAACCACAAAAAAGGUACUAACCGGCGGCGGCGAUGAGGCGGUGGUCGAUCCCGGGCGGCGACGGCUAGAGGGGGCUCUUCUCGCCGGAUCCGGAGGGGCGGUGCAGCGGCUCGCCUGCAGAUAUGGCCGGAAUCGCCACCAGCAGGCGGGAGGAAGCAAGGGCGGGGCGGCGGCGGCGGAAGGGAGGGGAAAAUAGCGCGGGCUGAAAUGUCCCUCCCGCCAACUGCCUCUCUGUUAUGCAGGGCACCGCAGCCGUGAGGGGGAAACCCGCGUUUUCCCAGGUUGGGGUCGGGAAUUUGCCGCGCCCCCUGAAAAUUUUUGCGAGCCGGGGCGGGAUGCGGGGUCUGAUCGGGCAGGCUUUUCCACCCCGACCCGCAUUUUGGCGGUUAUUUUGCGGGUCGAGGGCGGAUGCGGGGUCUGCUAGAGUUGCUCUUAGAACCGAAAUCUCAUCGAGUGAAUGUUUUACGGAAAUACUAACUGACGAACGUUUCCUCUGUGGAAGGUAGAUGGCAAGCGAAUGCAUUUUCAUGACCGUUUUGGUUACGGCGCGAGAUUAAACGAUGACAGUUUUAGAAAAAAUGCCUUCUUUGAAAGAAAAAAGAAAACAAUUAAAAACAACCAACUGAUUCUCUCUCCCUUAAACCGUCGCCUCCGUACGCCAUGUGCCCUCAUGGAUUCAUCCACCGCUCACUCUCGUCCCACCUUAUCUCUUCCCCUCCACUCGUUUCUCCCUUUCCCUUUUCAUUGUUCUCUUAUUCGUCAGCUGUUAGAUGAGACACUGGAGGGAAAUCAGGAGGACUGUCGACGGAGUUGAGGAAUCGAGUGCAGGAUCGUCGUGCAGUCGCAGUCCCGAUAUCCCACACGUGUUGCUGCCCUAACAAUUGAAAAUCGGGGAUCAUCUGCCAUUGUUGUAGGAGAGGAGAGCCGCACAACGCUGACCACCCUGUUGUCGUGAGUUGCAGGGCAGCCAUCGCUGCUGAUAAGGGCUCGUCGUAUCGCCGCUCGAGGGUGUGGCGCUGCCGCAAAAGGAGAUGUCGCAGCACCCGUGAAGUUGCAAAGUGGCAACGGUCCGCUUGAGGAUGAGGCGUUGCAGCUCUCGUCGUGCUACAAUGGAGUACUCACCGGCGGCAUGCAAUGCUGGUCGGUGUUGCCGAAGCUGCAGUGCAACGGUCACAAUGCUGCAAUGGAGCGCUCGCGUGAGUAGUCGGUGCUGCGGCGAGGCUGUUGCGUUGCAACAGUUGCGACUCUACAGGGAGAAACGGGUGCUUCGAUGCAGCUUUGUCGGUGGUUGUUUGUGCUGCGGCGCAACGUUGUCGGAGCUCCGAUGGGCGCUCAUGAUGAUGCAUGGACGAUGUUGGUGCUUCGAUGCAGCGCUCAUCGACGACUAUCGUGCUGCAAUGCAAUGCUCAUCGGUGGCUGUUGGAAGGUAAGACAGGGGUGUGGCAGGUGAACCUACUGAUGAGCAUUAGUGAUGGAUAUGACCCCUACCACGAAGCAGAGGCUGGGAGGCAGGCGACGACCAGAGGAGAAAUAAGCAGGACAUGUUGACACGGUUUUGCAUUGACCGAUCCAGCUGCUACGCGGGACGGCUCCAACGGCUUUCGACCCGACUGAUUUUCUCUAGAAAUGAGCCGGAUGAUCCCUAGCAGUGGCCAUGUAUUCCUAUAAAGAUAUUGUCAUGACAUUCUUUUUUUCGGAAUGAAAAGGAGUUUAUUCUAAUAUUAUAGGGUUACAAUCACGAGUCAAAUGCUCCUCACAAAACAGAGGACUCAUGUUCAACCAUACCGCAGGGCAACACUCGAUACGGCUAUAAUGUGUGAGAAGAUGUGCUACCCUAUUUUGCUCUCUACCAAUUUUACAAGGAACAAACUCACUAACAACUAUGUGAUUUUUAAUGUUAGCAUCCAACUGACUAAAGAUUGAUCUCGAAAGACUGACGCCUGAGAGUACUGUCAAGGCAUUCGUAGAGUCGUGUUGGACGAUUACCGGCUUGUUUGAAUGCUCAAUGGUCAAUGCCAUACCUUGCAUGAUUGCGUGAAUUUCUGCAUCAAGUGCGUCAUUGCAAUGAAAGAUAUACUUGUAUGCAUCAAAGUUCGCGGAAUCAUCCUCAUUUCACAGAACCAUUCCAGCACAUGCACGCCCAUCAUGACUCGAAAAUGAGCCUCAAACAGAAAAGGCACACCAUCCAGCUGUUGGAAAUAUGCCCUAGAGGCAAUGAUAAAAUAGUUAUUAUUAUAUUUCCUGUUUCAAGAUAAUCGUUUAUUAUCCAUGCUAUAAUUGUAUUGAAUGAAAGCAUAAAUGCAUGUGUGGAUAUAUAGACAAAACAAAGUCCCUAGUAAGCCUCCAGUUGACUAGCCAGUUGAUCAAGGAUGGUUAAGGUUUUCUGACCAUAUGCAAGUGUUGUCACUUGAUGACUGGAUCACAUCAUUAGGAGAAUGAUGUGAUGGACAAGACCCAAACUAUAAACGUAGCAUGUGAUCGUGUCAUUUUGUUUCUAUUUUUUCUGCGUGUCAAGUAUUCAUUCCUAUGACCAUGAGAUCAUGUAACUCACUGACACCGAAGGAAUACCUUGUGUGUAUCAAACGUCGCAAUGUUACUAGGUGACUAUAAAGAUGCUCUACACGUAUCUCCGAAGGUGUCCAUUGAGUUAGCGUGGAUCAAGACUGGGAUUUGUCACUCCGUGUGACGGAGAGGUAUCUCGGGGCCCACUCGGUAAUACAACAUCACAUAUAAGCCUUGCAAGCAAUGUGACUAAAGUGUUAGUCACGGGAUCUUGUAUUAUGGAACGAGUAAAGAGACUUGCCGAUAACGAGAUUGAAAUAGGUAUAGGGAUACCGAUGAUCAAAUCUCGGGCAAGUAACACACCGAAGGGCAAAGGGAAUGGUAUACGGGAUUAUAUGAAUCCUUGGCACAAAGGUUCAACCGAUAAGAUCUUCGUAGAAUAUGUAGGAUCAAAUAUGGACAUCCAGGUCCCGCUAUUGGAUAUUGACCGGGGAGUGUCUCAGGUCAUGUCUGCAUAGUUCUCGAACCCGCAGGGUCUGCACACUUAAGGUUCAGUGACGUUUCGGUAUAGUUGAGUUAUAGGUGUUGGUGACCGAAGGUUGUUCGGAGUCCCGGAUGAGAUCACGGACAUCACGAGGAUUUCUGGAAUGGUCCGGAAACGAAGAUUGAUAUAUAGGAUUGUUUCAUUUGGCCUCCGGAAAGAUUUCAGGCAUUACCGGCAGUGUACCGGGAGUGACGAAUGGGUUCCGGGUUUUUACCGGGAGGGAGCCACCCACCCGGGAGAGAACCCAACAUCACAUGGGUGGCGCACCAGCCUUUGGUGGGCUGGUGAGGCCAGCCCAAUGGGUCUAUGUCGGCUAGAAGAAAAAUCAAAGGAGAAAAAGAAAAAAAAUGAGGUGGGAAGGAAGGAGGGGACUCCUCCUUCCCCAAACUGAAUUGGAGUUGGAGUCCCCUCCUCCUCCACUCGACCGACGCCCUAGGGGCUCUCUUGAGCCCCAAGGCUAGUCCCCCCCUCCUGUAUAUAUUAGAGGUUUAGGAUUUUUGGUGACACAACUUUAGCCAUGUGCAACUGUAAACCUCUACUUCGUAGUUCUUCCUCUAGAUCGGUUUUCUAUGGAGCUCGGGCGGAGCCUUGCAGGAAUAGAUCAUCACCAUUACCGGGGCGCCAUCACACUGUCGUGGAACUCAUCUACUUCACCGUCUCUCUUGCUGGACCAAGAAGGCGGAGAUCGUCAUCGAGCUGUACGUGUGCUGAACGCGGAGGUGCCGUCCGUAAGGCGCUAGAUUAGAACGGAUCGUGGGACGACGGUGAUUUGAAUCACGAAGCUGUUCCACUACAUCAACCGCGUUUCUUAACGCUUCCCACUUAGCGAUCUACAAGGGUAUGUGGAUCCGAUCUCCCUCUCGUAGAUGAACAUCACCAUGAUCGGUCUUCGUGGGCGUAGGAAUUUUUUUGUUUCCCAUGCAACGUUCCCCAACAGUGGCAUCAUGAGCUAGGUUCAUGCGUAGAUGUAAUCUCGAGUAGAACACAAAAGUUUUUGUGGGCGUUGAUGUUCGAUUUGCUGCCCUCCUUAGUAUUUUCUCGAUUCGGUGGUAUUGUUGGAUUGAAGCGGCCCGGACCAACAUUACUCGUACGCUUACGAGAGACCGGUCCCAUCGACUAACAUGCAAAUUGUUGCAUAAAGAUGACUGGCGGGUGUCUGUUUCUUCAACUUUAGUUGAAUUGGAUUUGACCGAGGCGGUCCUUGGAGAAAGGUUAAAUAGCAAUUUGCUCAUCUCCGUUGUGGUUUUGCGUAAGUAAGAUGCGAUCAUACUAGAUACCCAUAUCAGCCACGUAAACACAUGCAACAACAAAUUAGAGGACGUCUAACUUGUUUUUGCAGGGUAUGCAUGUGAUGUGAUGUGGCCAAAGACAUGAUGUAAUAUAUUGGAUGUAUGAGAUGAUCAUGUUGUGAUAGUUAAAUAUCGACUUGCACGUCGAUGCUACGGCAACCGGCAAGAGCCAUAGGUUUGUCUCUAAACUAACGUUUGUGUUCGCAGAUGCGUUUACUAUAUUGCUAGGUUGUAGCUUUAGUAGUAAUAGCAUAGUUAGCACGACAACCUCGAUGGCGGCACAAUGAUGGAGAUCAUGGUGUGGCGCCCGUGACGAUGAAGAUCAUGCUGGUGUUUGGUGAUGGAGAUCAAGAAACACAAGAUCAUGGCCAUAUCAUGUCACUUAUGAAUUGCAUGUGAUGUUAAUCCUUUUAUGCACCUUAUCUUGCUUAGAACGACGAUAGAAUUAUAAGGUGAUCCCUCACUAAAUUUCAAGAUAAAAUUAUGUUAUACCCGACUGUGCACCGUUGCGGCAGUUCGUCGUUUCGAGACACCGCGUGAUGAUCAGGCGUGAUAGACUCAAUAUUCACAUACAACGGGUGCAAAACAGUUGCACACGCGGAACACUCGGGUUAAACUUGACGAGCCUAGCAUGUGCAGACAUGGUCUCGGAACACAUGCGACCGAAAGGUCGAGCAUGAAUCAUAUACUCCAUCCGUUCCUAAAUAUAAGUCUUUUAAGAUAUUUCACUAGUAGUUUACAUACGGAGCAAAAUGAGUGAAUCUACACUCUAAAUUAUGUCUAUAUACAUCUGUAUGUAGUCCACUAAUAAAACUUCUUUAAAGACUUAUAUUUAGGAACGAAGGGAGUAGUUAAUAUGAUUAAUAUAGAGAUGUUUACCACUGAAACUACACUCAACUCACGUGAUGAUCGGACUUGAGUUAGUGAAUUUGGAUCAUGCCACACUCAAGUAACUAGAGGGAUGUCUAUUUGAGUGGGAGUUUAUUAGUAAUUUGAUUAGCUAAACUCUAAUUGUCUUCAACAUAGUCAAGUCCAUUUUGAAAUAUUUUAUGUUGUAGAUCAAUGGCUCACGGAGUAGCAACCGUGAAUUUCAAUACGUUCCUAGAGAAAGCUAAGCUGAAAGAUGAUGGUAGCAACUUUGUAGACUGGGCUCGUAAUCUAAGGCUCAUCCUACAAGCUGGGAAAAAGAAUUAUAUCCUUGAUGCAGCGCUAGGAGAUGAACCACCCGCUACGUCUGAUCAAGAUGUUUUGAAUGCUUGGCAAGCACGUAAGGAGGACUACCCAGUAGUUCAAUGUGUAGUCUUGUAUGGCUUAGAACCGGGACUCCAACGAUGCUUUGAACGUCAUGGAGCAUAUGAGAUGUUCCAGGAGUUAACGUUUAUCUUUUAGAAGAAUGCCCGGAUCGAGAGGUAUGAGACCUCCGAUAAAUUCUGAUCUUGCAAAAUGGAGGAGAAUUUGUCUGUCAGUGAACAUGUGCUCAAAAUGUCUGGGUACUCAAAUCGUCUAGCUGAGCUGGGAGUUGAACUUCCGCAAGAGGCUAUCACUGACAGAAUUCUUCAAUCACUGCCACCUAGCUACAAGAGCUUUGUGUUGAACUAUAACAUGCAAGGGAUGAACAAGUCACCCGCGAGUUAUUCGCGAUGCUGAAAGUCGCAGAGUCAGAACUCCGGAAAGAACAUCAAGUGUUGAUGGUCAAUAAGACCACUGGUUUCAAGAGAAACAGCAAAGACAAGAAGGGUAACUCUAAGAAGAGCGGCAAAAUUGUUGCCACUCCGACGAAGAAACCUAAGGCUGGACCUAAGCCGGAAACUGAGUGUUAUUAUUGCAAGGGGAUGGGUCACUCGAAGCGCAACUGACCAAGUAUUUUUUUGAUAAGAAGGCGGCCAACGCCAAACCAGGUAUAUGUGAUAUACAUGUUAUUGAUGUGUAUCUAACCAACUCUCAUAGUAGUGCCUCGGUAUUUGAUACCGGUUAUGUUGCUCAUAUUUGCAACUCGCCCAUGGGUGGCGCACCAGCCCUUGGUGGGCUAGUGAGGCCAGCCCAAUGGGGCUAUGUCGGCUAGAAGAAAAAUCAAAGGAGAAAAAAAGGAAGGUGGGAAGGAAGGAGGGGACUCCUCCUUCCCUAAACCGAAUUGGAGUUGGAGUCCCCUCCUCCUCCACUCGCCCGACGCCCUAGAGGCUCUCUUGAGCCCCAAGGCUAGCCCCUCCCCUCCUCCUAUAUAUACUAGAGGUUUUAGGGUUUUUGUGACACAACUUUAGCCACGUGCAACCCUAAACCUAUACUUCGUAGUUCUUCCUCUAGAUCGGUUUUCUGUGGAGCUCGGGCGGAGCCCUGCAGGAAUAGAUCAUCACCAUCACCGGCGCGCCGUCACUCUGACGGAGAACUCAUCUACUUCCCCGUCUCUUUUGCUGGAUCAAGAAGGCGGAGAUCGUCAUCGAGUUAAACGCGGAGGUGCCUUCCGUUCGACGCUACAUCGGAACGGAUCGUGGGACGACAGUGAUUUGAAUCACGAAGUUGUGCACUACAUCAAUCGCGUUUCUUAACGCUUCACGCUUAGCGAUCUACAAGGGUAUGUGGACCGAUCUCCCUCUCAUAGAUGAACAUCAUCAUGAUAGGUCUUCGUGUGCGUAAUUUUUUUUGUUUCCCAUGCAACGUUCCCCAACACCAGCAGGUGGAUGAGGCCAUGGUACAAUAAGUAGCACACGUUUGUUGUGUACACAGCUUGGCCUUCCUCCAUCGUUGGCAUUUUUCCUUCUAUGAUUUCUUCCGUAUUGAACUUAGUUGCCAAGUUAAGCGACUUAUAAUAGAUGUUCAAAUAGUCAACUAUAACUUGAAUCGGGGUCUCACACUUCCCAUGUGUAAAAUCAUUCUGAAGUUGCCAAAUUCGUCAAAUGGUCAUGAUCACCAUGUCCUUGGUUUGUACCGAACAUUUAUACAAGAGUUGCAAGGGCCAAUCCUUCCCUCAUACUAUCCCUUACAACGAACAUUCACCAGCUAUCCAUUGUUGUGCAAGAAACUUAACUAAUACAUGGGGAGGUGUUCUUCGUCGAGGCAUUAUCGCUUCCCUACAACAUGCAAUUCAUGAAUAAGUCUCCACCAAAAACAAAGAGUUGAUGCUUUUUCCGCCCCAAUCACUUUGGCUCCUCAGUGUAAUGCUCGUCCUUUCAAAGUGUUGGAACACCGGGAAUGCAAAGGCAUUUCGUCAGCUUGAUAUCCAUUCAGACACAUUACUUCGACUUACGAUUUCAUAUUUGGACCUUUGGUCUCAUAGACUUUGUAAACAUGAGUUGAAAAUGCCUGAACUUCCAUGCCUCCGGUUCAUGUCGAAUAAGGAAAAAAAACAUUAUCCUACACGAAGGCAGCGAUUUUUCUUCACCCAUGAUUAAAAAGAAACAAUUCUCAUAUAUUUCUCCCGGAGCACUCUCCAACAUGAAAUUUCUCGCUUCGUCACCUUAAGUGUUUCUCUGGCCAGGAAUAAUUACACCUUUUAGGGCAUGAAUCCAACCACUAGUCCGGUUCGGUCCUAUUCCCUCAGUUCAUAAAUAUUUGUCUUUCUAGAGAUUCCACUACGGACUACAAAAGGAUGCAUAUAGACAUAAUUUAGAGUGUAAGUUCACUCAUUUUGCUCCGUAUGUAGUCCGUAGUUGAAUCUCUAAAAAGACAAAUAUUUAAGAACGGAGGGAGUACUUUCUAGGAAAAAAUCUGGUGCACCGACAAGCCAAAAAUCUACACCCUAUAUGAUGAUUUACACCAAUUCAUCUUUGACAUGGCUAGUAUAAAACCGCCCACAUAGCACUGCUGCUGAAACAAGAUCAAGCUCGCAUCAUAUACGUGUGUCGACCUAUAUCGUUCUGCCCUAUAAAAGCUUCAGCCAAACAGUGAUAAAUAGACUCAAACCUACAAUACCUUUCAUAUGUAUAGGGGCCGACAAAUGAGUAUCCUUUGAUGUUUGCAACUCCUGUGUCAGCGAUGAAGGAAACACCGAACGUUUAUUUUUUCCCAGCCCAGGAGAAUCGGUUUCCAGCAACAGCCCUGUCAAUUCUGUAUAGAUACCAAAGUUGGGUAGAGUUUUAUCAGAGACUUGCAAUGGAUAUCUUCUGAGCACCGAGAAGAUAUCUCCAUUUUGGCUGCUGACUAGCUCACAUUUUGACACUACGGUUAUCCUAUACUCAGUGUGUUCAUUGCAUCACUCGUAAGGACAGAAAACAUAUCCAUGGUGUUUUAAACUGGAAACCGCACGUUCUUCAAUCUUUUCAGUGUAGACAACGUGUGUUUCAGCCGCUCUGAACUGCAACCUGCGUUUCAGUGCGUUCUCGGCGUUUUUCUUGUUGUUGCUGUUCUAAUCACCUUCGAUUUCGUGCCGCCGAUCAUGGUAGUACCGGAAUUCAUACAUGUAGUAUUUGAGCAUGUCUAACAAUAUGUGAUUCUCUGAAGAACUCCACGCAUCAAAGGUACUGCGCUAAACUGAGUGACAAUAAUUAUGCACCACAGCACACAGUAUUUCUCAUUUCUUCAUCCAACAACUGAAUGAUAUCACAUAUUCUAUCUGACGGAUCAAGUUCCUGCCCGCCUGAUACAAACACCUUAGCAGCACCUUUCAGUUGGAUCCAGCUACAGCCAGGAGACUUCUUGACACCAUGCUCUGCCAUGGCUCUUCUCACCCCCUCCGCUUCCUUCCACUGCCCAGUGGCGCACAACAUGUUGGACAACAUCACAUACCCAGUGUCUCUCACAGGCUCCAUCGACACCAUGCCGCUCCCCACCUUCCUUCCGAUUCUUGUGUCCAGUUGCACCGAUGAGUAGGCACUAAGCAGAGACUCACGCAUAUCGCUGCUGUGCAUCUGAACCGUUUCAGAGUAUUGCUCCAGCACCUCAAUGGCUUUUGCGAUGUUCCCAGAUCUAGCAUACAUGUCGAGAACGCAAGCUAAAUGCUCCGGUGUUGGCUUCAGUCCAUGGACAGACACCAUCGACUCAAAGAAGGCUCUCCCUUGCUCCAGGAGGCCAGAAUGGCUGCAGGCUGUGAGCAAGCCUGUGAAUGUGACUUCGUCGGGGCAAACAUCCUGGGACAACAUCCUUUCAUACACUGCAAAUGCUUGCUUUGCCCAUCCAUUUAUUGCAAACCCGAACAACAUGGUGUUCCAUGACACUGUGUCCUUCUGAAGAACGGCAUGGAACACAUUGCUUGCCCCCUCGACGUCUCCGCACUUUGCAUACAUGUCCAUCAAACUGUUGGCCACGUACAAGUAGCAUGCAUAACCCGUUUGGAAUGCACAGCCAUGAAUCAUCCUUCCACUGGCCAUAGAUGCCGCAGCAGCGCAAGCAUGAAGCACAGCACCAAAGGUGAAGUCGUCAGGAUGGAUAUGCCCGUGUUCCAACAUCUUACUAAAUAGUGCAAGGGCCUCAUCCGCACAGCCAUUCCUCGCAAAACCUCCAAUCAUCGAAGUCCAGGAGAUGUCAUUGGUCUCAGGAGCACUUUGAAACAGAGCAGCAGCUUGUUCAAUGUGGCCAAGCCUUGUGUGUGCGUCGAUCAGUGAAUUCCAUGACACAACGGUUCUACUCUCCAUAGACUCGAAGAUCUUGACAGCACAAUCCAGCAAGCUGAACUUACUGUAGAAGGAAAUAAGCGAGUUAUUGACCUCAGGGAUGGCACUCCAGCCACUCUGAACCACAAUCUUGUGGACUGCAGCGCCGGUGGAUGGGCAGGGCAGCUCCGUGCAAGCAUCGAUCAGAAUGCAGAGCGUCGCAUCGUCGCAGGAAAGCCCCGACACCCGCAUCUCGUUGAACAGAAGCAGACACUGCUUGGCAUUGCCACAGCGGGAAUACCCCGUGAGCAGCGUGUUCCAGGCAACACUGCUAACGCUUCCAGCGGGCAUUUCGUCGAACAGCUCGCGCGCGAGCGCCAUGCGGCCCGAUGCGACGUAGCCGUGGAGGAGCGAGCACCAGGAGAGCGCGUUGCGGUCGCGCAUCUCCCGGAAGGCGCGCGCGGCGUCGUCGGCGCGGGCGCACCUGGCGUACAUGGCGACGAGCGCGUUGCCGACGGGGAGCGGCGCGCGCAGGCCGAGCCGGAGGAGGCGGGCGUGGAGCUGCGCGCCGGCGCCGGGCGAGCGGAGGGCGGCCGCCGCGGAGAGCGCGGCGGUGAGGGAGAAGGCGUCCGGACCGCGCAUGGCGGCGAAGAGGGCGAGNNNNNNNNNNNNNNNNNNNNNNNNNNNNNNNNNNNNNNNNNNNNNNNNNNNNNNNNNNNNNNNNNNNNNNNNNNNNNNNNNNNNNNNNNNNNNNNNNNNNACGCGGUUGAUGUAGUGGAACGUCCUCACGUCUCUCGAUCCGCCCCGCGAACAAUCCCGCGAUCAGUCCCACGAUCUAGUACCGAACGGACGGCCCCUCCGCGUUCAGCACACGUACAGCUCGACGAUGCUCUCGGCCUUCUUGAUCCAGCAAGAGAGACGGAGAGGUAGAAGAGUUCUCCGGCAGCGUGACGGCGCUCCGGAGGUUGGUGAUGACCUUGUCUCAGCAGGGCUCCGCCCGAGCUCCGCAGAAACACGAUCUAGAGGAAAAACUAUGGAGGUAUGUGGUCGGGCAGCCGUGAGAAAGUCGUCUCAAAUCUGCCCUAAAAGCCCCAUAUAUAUAGGAGGAGGGAGGGGGACCUUGCCUUGGGGUCCAAGGGAACCCCAAGGGGUCGGCCGAGCCAGGGGGGAGGACUCUCCCCCCCCCCCAAACCGAGUCCUACUUGGUUUGGUGGGAGGGAGUCCUUCCCCCUUCCCACUUCUUCCUCUUUUUUUUUCUUCCUUUGAUUUUUCUUCCUUGGCGCAUAGGAUUUGGUGGGCUGUCCCACCAGCCCACUAAGGGCUGGUGUGACCCCCACAAAUACCUAUGGGCUUCCCCGGAGUGGGUUGCCCCCCUCCGGUGAACUCCCGGAACCCAUUCGUCAUUCCCGGUACAUUCCCGGCAACUCCGAAAACCUUCCGGUAAUCAAAUGAGGUCAUCCUAUAUAUCAAUCUUCGUUUCCGGACCAUUCCGGAAACCCUCGUGACGUCCGUGAUCUCAUCCGGGUCUCCGAACAACAUUCCGUAACCAACCAUAUAACUCAAAUACGCAUAAAACAACGUCGAACCUUNNNNNNNNNNNNNNNNNNNNNNNNNNNNNNNNNNNNNNNNNNNNNNNNNNNNNNNNNNNNNNNNNNNNNNNNNNNNNNNNNNNNNNNNNNNNNNNNNNNNAAUAAUAACUAUACAUUUAUUAUUGCCUCUAGGGCAUAAUUCCAACAUAGAUGUCAUGCAAGUUUUUUUCCCUAAGCACGUAUGACUACAUACGGAAUACAUGCCUACAUUAGAUUGACGAAUGGGAGCUAGUUACUUCUCUCUCCGUGUUAUAACUGUUACAUGAUGAAUCACAUCUGACAUAAUCAUCCAUCACCGAUCCGAUGCCUACGAGUCUUUUACUACUGGUCCUUGCUACGUUACUCUGUUGCUACUGCUGUCACUGCUGCUACUGUUACUCCGUCACUACUGCUGUCACUGCUGCUACUGUUACUUUGUUGCUACUGAUUACAGUUGCUACUGCUGCUAUCAUACUACCUUGCUACUGAUACUUUGCUGCAGUUACUAAAUCUUUCAGGUGUGGUUGAAUUGACAACUCAACUGCUAAUACUUGAGAAUAUUCUUUCGCUUCCCCUUGAGCCGAAUCAAUAAAUUUGGGUUGAAUACUCUACCCUCGAAAACUGUUGCGAUCUCCUAUACUUGUGGGUUAUCAAGACCUUUUUCUGGCACUUUGCUGGGGAAGCACAUCUAUAUUCUCUGAGUCACUUGGGAUUUACGUCUGCUGGUCACUAUGAAGAAUCCGAUAGAUCCAAGAACUAAAGCCUUGCCCUCAACUACGAGGACAGGUAAAAAACUGCCAUCUAGCUCUGCACUUGAUUCACCUUCAGUUAUGAGUAAGUUUGCGACACCGCCCCCUGCUAGAAAUCUUGAUAUGUCGCAUGUGCUUGAUUUUGCUAGUUCUGCUGCCCAUGAUGCUUAUGAUGAUGCUAUGCUUGAUACUGCUUUGCCACUAGGUGCAUUCCUUGAUGUACAAAUUGCUAGAGUUGCUGCUAGAUGUGAUGAUACUUCUGAAACUGCUGAUACUAUUGAAGUAGAACCUGCUAUUUUGCCUGCUAGAACUAGCUCUUCUAGAAAUGAAUUGCCUGAUAUGUCUGAGCGUUAUGUUAUGGAGGGAGAGAUAGCUGAGGACUUUCUUGCGUGUAAGGAUAGCUAUGAUGUUGAUAAAUUACUGCUCAAGUGGAAAGAAAAAUGUAUGAACGCUAGGAUGAAAUAUGACCCGAAGUUUGCUACUUCGCCUAUCUUUGUUACCGAUAAGGAUUAUGAAUUCUCUGUCGACCCUGAGUUAAUCACUCUGGUCGAAUCUGAACCUUUUCACGGUUAUGAGUCUGAAACGGUUGUAGCCCAUCUUACCAAACUGCACAAUAUAGCCACCCUAUUCACGAGUGAGGAAAAGAUCCAUCACUACUAUAUCCUCAAGUUGUUUCCUUUCUCGCUAAAGGAUGAUGCUAAGACUUGGUUCACUUAUCUUUCUCCUGGUUGUGUGCGUAGCCCCCAGGAUAUGGUCUACUACUUCUUUGAAAAAUAUUUCCCUGCCCAUAAGAAGCAAGCUGCCUUGCAGGAAAUAUACAACUUUGCUCAAGCUGAAGAAGAGAGUCUCCCACAAGCUUGGGGGAGGCUCGUCCAACUACUGAAUGCUUUGCCUGAUCACCCUCUUGAUAAGAAUGAAAUAUUUGAUAUCUUCUAUAAUGGACUUACCGAUGCUUCCAGAGACCACCUAGAUACUUGUGUUGGUUGUGUUUUUAGGGAACGAACCGUAGAACAAGCUGAGAUCCUAUUGAAUAACAUCUUGUGCAAUGAGAAUGCUUGGACUAUUCCCGAACCACCUCCUAAGCCAACUCCGAAGAAAAGAGGUAUUCUAUUCCCCAGUCCUGAAGAUAUGCAAGAAGCUAAGAAAUCUAUGCGAGAGAAAGGCAUUAAAUCUGAAGAUGUCAAAAAUCUACCACCUAUCGAAGAGAUCCAUGGUCUUGAUAACCCGAUACAGGUAGUAGAAGUAAAUUCUCUGCGUAGGUUUGAUGAGAGUGAUAUUCCUUUUGAUAAACCUGCUAGCCUAUGCCUAGAUGAAUUUGAUAACUUUGUUGCCAAACAACAGAGUUUCAAUGAUUAUGUUAGCACACAAUUGGAACAAAAUGCUCGUAUGCUUAGUCAUUUAAGUGCUUGUGUGGACAAAAAUGUCAAUGAUCUUAAGCUCUUGAGUAAACAUGCCUCUAUGGUUACUACUCAGGUAGAACAAGUACUUAAGGCUCAUAAUGACUUGCUCAAUGAGUUGAAUGACAAUUAUGUUAGAGUCGUUACUAGAGGCGGUAGAAUGACUCAAGAACCUUUGUAUCCUGAGGGUCAUCCUAAGAGAACUGAAAAGAUUCUCAAGGAGUUAGCAUUGAUGCACCUAGUCAUCCUAGGAAGAAGAAGAAGGAUGAUAGGAACCUGCACGCUAGCAACCCUGUUGCUGCUACACCUGAGAGUCCAAACGAUGUCUCUGUCUCUGAUGCUGAAACAUAAUCUGGUGAUGAACAUGAGCCUAAUGAUAAUAUCGAUAGUGAUGUUCAUGAAGAUGCCCAACAUAGCAAUGAUAAGGAUGUGGAGAUUGAACCUGUUGAUCUUGAUAACCCAGAGCCUAAGAAUAGAAGAUACAAUAAGAAUGACUUUGCUGCUAGGAAGCAUGGUAAAGAAAGGGAACCAUGGGUUCAUAAACCUAUGCCCUUUCCUCCCAAACCAUCCAAGAAAAAGGAUGACGAGGAUUUUGAGCAAUUUUUUGAAAUGAUUAGACAUGUCUUUCUCCUAAUGCGUUUGACAGAUAUGCUCAAGAUGUCUCUGUAUGCUAAGUACAUGAAGGAUAUUGUGACUAAUAUGAGGAGGAUACCUGAGGUUGAGAUUUCCAUCAUGCUCGCUAAUUAUACCUUCAAGGGUGGAACUCCUAAGAAACUAGGUGAUCCCGGUGUGCCCACUAUACCUUGCUCCAUUAAAGGAAACUACGUUAGAACUGCUUUAUGCGACCUUGGGGCCAGUGUUAGUGUUAUGCCUCUCUCUCUUUAUCGUAGACUUGAACUAGAUAAGUUGACAGCCACUGAAAUCUCUCUGCAAAUGGCCGAUAAAUCAAAUGCUUUCCCUAUCGGCAUUUGCGAGGAUGUGCCUGUUGUGGUUGCCAACGUCACUAUCUUAACAGACUUUGUUAUCUUGGAUAUUCCCGCGGACAUGCCAUGGCGGUCAUCCUCGGAAGACCCUUUUUAAACACUGCAGGGGCUGUUAUAGAUUGCAACAAAGGCAAUGUCACUUUCCAUGUCAACGGUAAUGAGCAUACGGUGCACUUUUCGAAGAAACAAUAUCGAGUACAUUGCAUCAGUGCUAUCGAAAAAACUUCAUCGAUUCUUAUUGGGAGCUUUGAAUGCCCUAUUCCUCAUGUUAAGAUGAAGUAUGAUUUGCUUGUUGGGGAGAUACACAUCCCCAUUGAGGUGACCUAGUGACUAUUUGAAAAUUCUCCGGUCUCUUUUUCGAUUCGGAAAAGUUUAUCAAGGAGACUUGAUCAACCUCAUUGACAGAUUUCUUUCGAUGGACCAUGAGAUGGAUGAAUCGAGGAGUCACAAACCUCUAUUCCAAGCUUUCACCUUCGGUUGCUUAGAAUAAAAAUGACAGGUUUAGUUUAGUUUUCCCUGUUUUCUGUUUUAGCGUCCGGUAGAAAAGUACCCCGAAAAUAAAAGUUCUCCAAACGUCCUGAAAAUCAAGUAUGAUUUUUUCUGGAUUUUUUGAAAAAUACUGAGACGAAUAGCUAGUCUGGGGUUGCACCAGUGGGCCACAAGCCCUGGAGGCGCAGGAACCCCCUGGCCGCGCCUACCUGGCUUGUGGGUCCCACGUGCACCCCCUCCACUCAUUCUAGCUCCCAUCUGGUUCUCCUAACUCUAGAAAAAAAUCGUCUUGCAGCUCAAACCCGUGUUCUUGCUCCUCUUGCUGGGAUUUUCGAUCUCCUUGCUCAAAGCACCAUUCUCCGAACUAUUUUGGGAAAUUACUCCUUGGUAAGUGACUCCUCCAUUGUCCAAUUAGUUUUUGCUCUAGUGCCUUGCACUUCGCGUAUUUUUGCUGCCUUGGUGACCAUGUUAUUGAGCUUUGCAUGCUAAUUUUAGCUGGUCCCAAGUGGUUUUGAUGCGUAAUAUGGCCUCUAGGCACUUGUGGGAGUAGUUGCUACGAGUUUCGUUGAGCCUUGUUCACUUUUCCUUAGAAUCACUAAAAUUUCAGAAAUUUUCAGAGAUAGAAAAAGGAAAAGAUGAGGAGGUUCUUAAGAGGCUCUUCAAGCCGUGACCCCAAGGAUGAUGGAAGUGAGAAGAAGCCCAAGUAUCUGGUCCCUCGAGUCGCAGAAGUUCAAGCGUGCGAGUGGCCAAGCGGUGUGUUCUUACGCGCCGCCAGACUUUAUGAGGAAUUUUACUACUUGGUGGAGAACGCGGGCCUUACCGCCUUCGUUGAAGAUAAGUGUCCGCAAUACCUCCUCCUCACUAAUAUCUUCGUACAAAUCUUUAACUUCUAUCCGAGGAAGAAUCCUCCUAUGGUUGAGUUCAAACUUUAUGAUAUCCCCCAGCGCAUGUCACUCCAGGAUUUUUGCAAUGUCUGCAAAUUACCUUACAUUGGGGAUAUUCAUGAACCUCGUCCACGGGACUUGGAGGCUUUCAUCGGUACAAUUGUUGUAGGAGAGGAGAGAGGAGUGUCUUGCGCUAGAGCUAUUAGCAUUCAUUUUCCCGUGCUACGGUACUUCUCAUUAUUCGUGGGAAAAUGUUUGAUUGGUCGUGGGAAAGCUGGGUCACUUAGUUCCCCAGAUCUUGCGGUCUUGGGCGAAGCCCUUUAUAAUGAUAAAACUUAUAGCUUGGGCGCUAUAGUAGCUCAACGGUUGAACACGAACCAUUCUAAAGGCAUUGUCUAUGGAGGUAUCUAUGCUAGUCGUCUUGCUAGACACUUUAAGAUACCUAUUAGACUGGAGGAGGAAGAAGAGAUUCUUCUUCCCGAGAGAUAUCUAGAUUACGAUAGCAUGGUUCGCCAUGACUUUCUUGAUAGAGAUAUAAAUAGAAGGAUGAUCUAUAACCUGGUAUUUAGUCAGGGUACUCGUGAGACUAUUACUUUGCCUGCUCCUUAUUUGUUCAAUCUUCAUGCAUGUAGGUACAUUAUUAUGCCCUUGGACAUCUACGCAUAUUGGGGCUUGGCCCAACCACAGGUGCCCGUGCCCGAGCCACCAGUCGAGUACCAGACGCCGGUUUAUCAGUGGGAGCCAGAGGAGCUCACACAGCAUUGGCAUCCUCAGUCCACUCUGGAGUAUCCCGGAGCUAGUUAUUUCCCUCCUUGGGAGUAGCCCAACUUAGGCCAAAAGCCUAAGCUUGUGGGAGUACGUGUUUCUCACCGACUUUACAUUCUUGCUUAUGCUUUCACUUUGUUCGUCGGUGUUCACACUUUGCCAUUGUAUCAUCCAUGCUAGUUUAUUUCUUUUUCUCAUUUUCUUUUCGUGUGUCUGUCUAGUUUGAGAAAACCCAAAAAGAUUUUCUUUUUCUUCUCUUGCUUGUUGGGAGCUUUCCCGUGUAAAUAGUUUUCUUUUUCAUUGGGUCAAGGUAGAAGACCAUGGUUACAAUGUUUAAUGGCUCUCGCAUGCAUAUAUGUUUAUCUGUUAAAGAGCCAUAUUACUUUGUCUUCUCCUUUGUGUUUGCAUGCAGAUUCCAGCUUAGUCCAAUGCACAAGCACUCUUAUUAUUGUUCACAUCGUUCGGUCGUGAAAGUGAAAGGCAAUAAUGACGAUAUAUGAUGAAGUGACUGAGCCUGGAAAAGCUGGUAUGAACUCGAUCUAUUUUGUUUUUAUAAAUAUGACUAGCUCAUCGUGCCUGAUUCAGCUUUGUUGUGAGAGAAAGAUGUUUGCAACUUAGAGAUCAUAGUUGCUUAUGCCAUGCUUAUUUAGCUAGGAGCUUAUAAUGGUUUGUCUUGGAUGCCCACAUGAACUUUGAGAUGACUAUGAUGUAGUAUGAUAGGAUGGUAUCCUCCUUUGAAUGAUUCAAGUGGCUUGACUUGGCGCAUGUUCACGCAUGUAGUUGAAACAAAAUCACCAUAGCCUCUACGAUGUUCAUGUUCAUGGUGAUUUAUGUCCUACUCAUGCUUGCACUCAAUGUUAGUUAAUCUCGUUGCAUUUUGAUGACCGUUGUCGCUCUCUAGUUGGUCGCUUCCCAGUCUUUUGCUAGCCCUCACUUGUACUAAGCGGGAAUACUGCUUGUGCAUCCACUUCCAUAAACCCAAAGUUGUUCCAUAUGAGUCCACCAUACCUACCUAUAUGCGGUACCUACCUGCCGUUCCAAGUAAAUUUGCAUGUGCCAUUCUCUAAACCUUCAAGAAAUAAUAUGUUUUGCUUGCCCGAACCGCUCAUGUGGUGACAGGGGGCUAUCAAUAUCUUCCGUGCUAGGCGUGUUAUCCUCGAUAUGUGUUUAUUCACUAUCAUUCACGAGAAAGGGGCCGGUAAUUAGAAUGCCUAGUUCCAUGCUCAAAUCGAAAAGAUAAUUGCAAACAAAACUCUCCCUAGAUUGAUGUUGGUAUGGACGGCACCCAAGGAUUCGGCUAGUCGUGGAGUGUGAUUGAUCGGUGGUGGGGGAGUCAAAACUUUACUUUUCUGUUUGGGAACCGCCUAUAGCAUGUGUAGCGUGGAAGAUGAUGAGAACUCUUAGUCAUUGCGUUGACAAUGAAAGCAUGCCACCCAAAAUUAUUAUCUCUGUUUUCAAAGCUUGAGCUCUCGCACCUCUGCAAAUCAACGCUUCCCUCUGCGAAGGGCCUGUCUAUUUAUGUUCCUGUUGAGUCAUCCUCCUCUUAUAAAAGCACCAAUUAGAGAGCACCUCUCUCAUUUUUUAUGCUUUGCUUUUAACUGUGUUGAGUAUGACUCUGACUGGAUGUUCUUUGCCAUGAAUUACAAUGUUUAGUCAGCCCUUGGUCUUUGAAGGUGCUCUGCAUUUAUGUUUUGCGGUCUCAGAAAGAGCUAGCGAGAUACCAUCUGUUCGUACUGCUUCAUGAUUGUUUUGAUUGAAGUGUUGACGUUUGAGACUUAUUAUUAUUUGCUCGCUAGUUGAUUAUGUCGUUGAUAUGAGUUUAUCGUGAGACCUUGAUGUCAUUUGCUUAUGUGGUUUGUUUGUGAUCUUGCUGAAAUUCUGGUUAUGAGUUAGACAUAGUUGCAACCACAAGAUCAAACCGAGUUCGUCAAAUUUUUUCUUUUGUCCCUUUCAGUUUGUCAACUGAAUUGCUUGAGGACAAGUAAGGCUUUAAGCUUGGGGGAGUUGAUACGUCUCCGUUGUAUCUACUUUUCUGAACUCUUCUGCCCUUGUUUUGGACUCUAAUUUGCGUGAUUUGAAUGGAACUAACCCGGACUAACGUUGUUUUCAGCAGAAUUGCCAUGGUGUUGUUUUUGCGCAGAAAUAAAAGUUCUCGGAAUGACCUGAAAAUUUACGGAGAAUUUUUCUGGGAUUUAUGAAAAAUACUGGCGCAAGAAUUAGCGGAGGGAGUGGAGCCGUGAGCCCAUAAGCUCACCAGGCUCGGGCCCCCCUGGCCACGCAUGGCAGGCUUGUGGGGCCCACAAAGCUCCACCGCCUCUCAAUCCAGCUCUAUAUAGUCCGUUUCGUCCGGAAAAAAAUCAAGGAGAAGAGUUCAUCGCAUUUUACGAUACGGAGGCGCCGCCACCUCCUGUUCUUCAUCUGGAGGGCAGAUCUGGAGUCCGUUCUGGGCUCCGGAGAGGGGAGAUCGUCGCCAUCGUCAUCACCAACCUUCCUUCAUCGCCAAUUCCAUGAUGUUCUUCACCGUUCGUGAGUAAUCUUAUCGUAGGCUUGGUGUACGGUGAUGGGUUGGAUGAGAUCUAUCAUGUAAUCGAGUUAGUUUUGACGGGGAUCGAUCCUUAGUAUCCACUAUGUUCUGAGAUUGAUGUUGCUACUACUUUGCCAUGCUUAAUGCUUGUCACUAGGGCCCGGGUGCCAUGAUUUCAGAUCUGAACCUAUUAUGUUGUUGCCAAUAUAUAUGUGUUUUAGAUCCUAUCUUGCAAGUUGUAGUCACCUACUAUGUGUUAUGACCCGGCAACCCCGGAGUGACAAUAGCCGGAACCACUCCCGGAGAUGACCAUAGUAUGAGGAGUUCAUGUAUUCACAAAGUGUUAAUGCGUUGGUCCGGUUCUUUAUUAAAAGGAGAACCUUAAUAUCUCGUAGUUUCCAUUAGGACCCCGCUGCCACGGGAGGGAUGGACAAUAGAUGUCAUGCAAGUUUUUUCCCUAAGCAUGUAUGACUACAUACGGAAUACAUGCCUACAUUAGAUUGACGAACGGGAGCUAGUUACUUAUCUCUCCGUGUUAUAACUGUUACAUGAUGAAUCACAUCCGGCAUAAUCAUCCAUCACCGAUCCAAUGCCUACGAGUGUUUUACUACUGGUCCUUGCUACGUUACUCUGUUGCUACUGCUGUCACUACUGCUACUGUUACUCUGUCACCACUGAUGUCACUGCUGCUACUGUUACUUUGCUGCUACCGGUUACUGUUGGUACUGCUGCUAUCAUACUACCUUGCUACUGAUACUUUGUUGCAAAUACUAAAUCUUUUAGGUGUGGUUGAAUUGACAACUCAACUGCUAAUACUUGAGAAUAUUCUUUCGCUUCCCCUUGAGUCGAAUCAAUAAAUUUGGAUUGAAUACUCUACCCUCGAAAACUGUUGCGAUCCCCUAUACUUGUGGGUUAUCAAGCACCUCCGCCGGCUUGUUUUGCACGACCAUCGUUGACCUUGCAGGGAGGGGGAGUGGGUGGUGUGUAGCCGGUGUUGCAAAUCUCACCUAUGCAGCGGGAGGAACACCUGGUGCUGUAGACCUCGCCGCACCUGGCGACGAUGUCUGCUGCCACGCCGGCGAUGGAGUUCCGUUGCAGCAGGCGAGGCUAAGGGGAAGCUGCAUUGCAACAGGCCACAUCGAUGGCGAGCUGCAUGGCAGCACGAGAGGCUACGAGGACACUGUGAGGUCAUGCCAGUGGUAGAAGUUACGGGAAUGUUGCAUGCCAAAAAGCCACGCUGGCUGCGAAGCUAUGUUGCUAUGGACUAUGGGGACACUUCUGUCAUGCCCCCGGGGUGGAGCUGCGUUUUAGCAGACGGAUUAUGAUGUCGUUGCUGCCAUGCCCAAUGUGAGAGCUACGUUGCAAGAGUGGUCCAUUGCAACAGGGUGGCUGGAGACAACACUGCCAUGACCAACGACGAUGCAACUUCAAGCAGGGGCGGAGCCCAUGGGGGCGAGCAGGGGCCAGACCCCCCCCCNNNNNNNNNNNNNNNNNNNNNNNNNNNNNNNNNNNNNNNNNNNNNNNNNNNNNNNNNNCCCCCCCCCAUCGUUCGGCCACCCCCAUCGAUUUUCAGGGGGGCUGGAUGUAGAAGUUUUGUUAACUUGCGAUAAUUAGUACUAGAUCAUGGAAGUAAUUAUAUUGAUAUAAGUAGUCAAACACCAAGUUGGGAAAAGGCCCAAGCCUAGGAAGCAACUGACAUCGGCCCAUUAGAUGGAUGCGUAACUUUUGUAUUCUAGACCGAGUGCACCUGCACUACUCGAUGAUGUAUUAGUUGACUACCAGUAGUCGGCCCCGUGCGCUAGGGCAUCGUCAGCGUCUGGCGGCGACACAUGUGUUUGUUGAUUGUCCCCCCGUGCGCUAGGGCAUCGCCAGCAUCCGGCCACAAUGCGUGUAUUCGUCGUUUGUCACCCGUGUGUGCUAUGGGGAUCGCCUGCGGCGAGUCUAUGCGCCAAUUUCAUGAUAUCCAUGUGUUAGGCGCUUCAGCUUAUACCAUCAGAAUAACACUAUACCACUCGCGCCGGAUCUAAGGUAAUCAUAUUACGAUUUCAUGUCUUGGAUACCAUGUGUUAUUACUAUUGCUAAAUCUGUAUAUAAAACUGCUAGAUGCUAAAUACUGUUUGUUCAUCGGUUAUAAAUUAUACAUAUCGUCUAUACAUAACAGCCUCAAUAUCACAUAUUUUUAUAUAGAAACUGCCAAUCAAAUAUUUAGCGUAAAUAGAAAUUGCACAGCAAACUAGACAAUAUAAGAUUCUGAAUCUGUUACAUGCAUUUUUUUGUUGUGUUAGUGAUACAUCCAAACUAAUAAAAUUCUACAUGUUUUCUAAGUACAAAAUAUAUGUUAUCACGUGUUGGUCUUGUAUAGGCCCGGGCCCACAGUGGUGCAAACUGUGCGGCCCGUACAGGGCCCAAAAUUUUAGGGGGCCCAAAAAAUUUUAAGUAGGCCACGUACUAAAAAAAAACCUAUGGACUACUCACUACUCGACCAGUGGGCUGCUGGGAGCCAACGAGCCAGCGAGGCUCGAUGUCCCGCUGAGGCCAUCAAGGCAAGUAUCCAUCCAGCCAGAUUCUGCUUCCCCUAAUCACGCUGCUGCCGUUUUUUUGGAUCGUGGCAGCCUGCAGGUUGCCUCUUCGUCCGUUCGUCGCCUCGUCGUUCGUCUCCCCCUCGAGUCGCUCGUCCGCUCACAGGCUGGUCGUCGCCUCGUCGCUCGUCUCCUCCUCGAGUCCCUCGUCCAUUUGCAGGAUGCUCAUCGUGUCGUCGCUCGUCUCCUCGACGCCUCGUACUGUCAUACAAACUACAGACUACAGAGACUUUGCCUCCUCUCAAAAAUUUUAGAUUCGUGGACGUUUUCUUGUCCGAUUGAUCUUCAAGUUCUUUUUAUUCAUCGUCUAAUCGUCUUUAUAUUAUAUUUCAACAAUGCAGAUUUGAAUCAUCAUGGGAAAACAACAAUCUGAUGCCUAUAAACGCAAGAUAAAAACACAAGAACAAAAUUUAAUAAAUCUUAUAAAGAAGGUAUGGACAUAUUUGUUAAAAAAACACCAGAAGUAUCAUCUGGUAAUCGGUCUGUUGAUCCUUCUAGCCUUGCACUUGCAAUUUUUCCUUACAUUGAUUCAAGAUCUGCUCACACAGAGACAGAUAAUAUAGAGGUAGAGACAUAUAAUAUUGAGGCUGAUGAUUAUUUUCAAUAUGAUAUAUUUGACUCAAAAAACUGGAAUUCUCUUGAUUGUAAACAGAUUUAUAUCUUACCACAAAAUGAUCCAAAAAGAGACAAAUCAAUUAAGAAAGGUCCCAAAGAUAGACAUCGUAAAAGGUUUACUGCAGCCUUCUAUACUAGAUUCCUAUAUUUUCACACAGGGCCCCGGUUUUUGUCGGCCCGGCCCUGGUCUUGUAUGAUCAUUGUAUAAAAAAGUGUAUGAAAAUCUCUGGCAGGAGCUCGCCACCAUCAGGGUUAGUUUUCCUGCAUGUGUGUGGUGGGGUGGGCUGUAACUGGAUUUUCCUGCUCCUUUUUGUCGCAAGGCAAUGGGGGCGAAGCAGCCUCUCUAAUAUGUUGUGUAUCGAACGGUUAAGCCAACUUUAGAGUACGAUCCCAUUCGGUCCAGCUCUGUUUAUUUGGGUCAAAACAAACAAACCUCACUAUCCAGCGCGCAUCGUUCUGGACGCAUCUCGUCCGUUUUGUGUCCGGGACGACCCAUUUCCGACGCAAACAUGCGUCCAGUUUGGGUCCUGAUGGACAGCGAGCAGACGCGUUCGAGCCCACCUCUCGUCCGCGUCGGGGACGCAUGGCAGGCGGCCACCUACCUCCCACCCGCCCGUAUUUACUAUGCACGCCCGGUAGGCCCCACCUGUCAUCCACUCAGGCGGGCUAUCGUCGUCCUUCUUAAAUCGGGAAGCCGUGGACCGGCAUCGUACAACGCACGCGUCCACUCCACUGCCUCCUCGGGACCGACACCAAACCCGCGUGCCCGCUCCAAACCCUAGCUUCUCCCCCUCUCUCGAUCUCUCCGGCCGCCGACAGCAAUGGGAUGGUGGAGCACCGGCGGCAAGGGGAAGGGGGCGCACGACCACGAGGCUGGGUCCUCGUCUGGCCGCCGCAGCGCCGCAAGCGAGUCUUCUCCUCCGCGACGGCCUACUCAGGCACCCUUCUCCAUUGCCCCUCCGGACGCCCCGACGCGCUCCCGGCAGUACGUCCACGCGGAUGUGUGCCCUGACGACGAUGACGACAACGGCGGUCCCUGAAGACAUGACGGGCACAACAGCAGCGCGGGGCGGCCCCAUUUUUAUCUAUUUUUUUAAUUAUGUUAAUUAAGGAUUGUGGGUCGUGGGACCGUUAAAUUAUUGAUGUAUAAUUACUAAUGUUUGACUUUAUUUAUAUAUUUUUUUUGUUUUUUUUUGUUUUUCCAAUUUUUUAAUUCCGGAUAAUUUGAUGUGCGGCCACGCGUUGGACACAUCGACCCGGCCACGGACCGAUCCAGACAUGGGCAGGCCAAUUAUCGUCUCAAACGGAUAGAAUUGAGAUCAAACGGACAUUCGGAUGAGGUCACGCGCUGCAAUUGGCGUUAAGGAAGACGAAAUCGAGACAGAACAAGCGGCCAGCAAGCCGACUGAUUUUGGGACGCCUAGCAGCCGGCUACCAACAAAUACACAUGUGUGUCCUAUGAGCACAUCCGAAGGAAUGAACCAACGGAUCUUAAGAUUGAAAGUUCACCACAGACGCAAAUGUUGUAACAGUUCUCGUGCUCUAUUCCGUGAUGACCAUGGAACUAUGGAUGCAUUCGUCGUUUAAUUUAUUCCACUCCAUGGAGAAUAGCGGUUCANNNNNNUCCAUGGAGAAUAGCGGUUCAGCAGAUAACAUCGUUGUGGCACUCUCCAACGGCAGGUGCGUAGCUGCCAACAGGUAUGGAGCACACGUCUACCUCUAGGUAGCUAAGCUAGCUAGGCGAUGUACCCUAGCCUCUGGAGCAGCGCGGAGCGGAGGGCGCCGUCGCCGUCGUCGUCCUGUAGUCCAGCGGGCACGUCGAUGACGACGUCCUGCACCGUCACGCCCUCCAUGCGGUGCACGCACGCGUGCUGCACCUGCAGCUCUAGCGACCGGAGCGCACUCAUCAGCCGCGCCGGCGCGUGCCGGGCUCGUCCCGAGCUCAUCACGCGCACCGCCGCCGCGUCCUUCCCCACCAUCCGCACCUCCACCACAUCGUCGCCAGCCCCGGCGUGGCUGCCUCGGGACGAAGAAGCGGGCCCGUUCGACGCCUCCCACCUAGCGGCGGCCGCCUGCCGGCCCUCCUCCUCGAGCCGCGCGACGCGGGAGCGCAGCUCGGUGAUGUAGGCGACGGCGUCGGCGAGGAGUGAGGCCUUGUCCAUCCGGGACACGGUGGGCACGGCGGCGCGGAGGUCGCAGAAGCGUCGGUUCAGCUUGUCGCGGCGCUGGCGCUCGGCCUCCACGUGGCUGACGGUGAGACCAUCGGGCCGCGGCACGGGCUUCCGCCCACGCCGCUUUGUAGGCGUGGUCGUCGACGCCGGCGGUAGCUCGGAGUCCGGGGAGAGCGACGAGCUCCCGGCAGGCCACAAGAAAUCUACAUCCUCGCUCUUGGCCGGCACUGCGGUGUCGCCGAGCAGCCAUUGCUCGGGGACCUCGCAGGAGGCGAACUCGAGGAGCUGGUGGUGGGACCCUUCGGCGGUAGAGAACUGGGUAGGCGGCGAUGGCGGGAAGAACGGGGAGCACGGCGAUAGCAGCUCGUCCAUGGCCGGCACGCCGCUGUACCCUGUACGUCUCGCUAUGCUAACUGAAGAGCUCGAAGUGGCAAAUUAGCGGCCGGAGAUGUGUGGUGUGGUUUACUGUGGGCGAGUGUCUUAUACAGGUGGCAUAUUUGCAGUUGAGACCUUGCUUACAUGUAGGAGUAUGUGUCAUGUUAAAUGCAUGUAUCUGUCCUUCUCGAUUUUAAUUCCCUCUCGCGAAAAACAUGUCCCUUUGGGAUUAGAAGUACGAAAGAGAUUGGAAGUUUGGAACCAAUAGCUAAGGCUAUCUCCAAUGUAUCGAUGUGCUAAGCACAUUAAAAGACUUAGCAACUAAAACAUAUUGUUGCGAACGGACUAAAUCUGGGUCGUCAAUUAGCAAACCGUCGUUAGGACGUGAUUAGUCACUUAUUAGUCCAAAACGUCGUACGGACGCGUCCGUCCGUACAGGCGUCUUUUUGUACAGACACCUCUUCGCAUGCGUCCCAAACCUUGUAUAUAUAUUUCAGAUCAAUGAAAGAGAGACAGUGAUUCGCACAAUAUUUUGCUUUCGUUGUUUCACACGUUAUCAAGCACUGCUCUGCCAGAAAGAUAAAGAAGAAAUAGAUUUUACGGGAAAAUAAUCCAAUGAAAGAAGAAUUAUGUUUGGUGGACAGUUGUACCACUAACACAAUUUUAAGGGAAAUAAAAUAUUUCCAAACUCUAACUAAGAGAAAAGGGAAUAUUGUGACAAUCGCCGGUCGCGAUGCAUCAAUUAUUGGUUCAGGACGAGCCACACUUGUUCUACCUAUGGGUACUACGAUUGUAAUUGAGGAUGCACUCUUGUAUCCUGAAUCUACACGCACCCUUCUAAGUUUCAAAGACCUCAGAUCAAAUAAUUUUCAUGUGGAAACAAUUUCUGAAAAUAAUUCUGAAUAUUUGCUUUUAACAAAAAGCAAUGGGUUCUGAGAAACAAAUUCUUGAAAAAUUCCCCUCACUUUCAUCUGGAUUAUAUUACAGUUAUAUAAAACCCGUACCACAUGUUGCGUACAAAAUAAUUUUUCAAGACCUUGAUAAAUUCAAGACUUGGCAUGAUCGCCUAGGUCAUCCUGGCAUAGGGAUGAUGAGAAAAAUUAUUGACAAUUCUAUUGGUCACAGCCUUCCAACUAAAAAUUUUCCAAAAUCAUCAGAUUUUGUGUCCACCGCAUGUGCAACUCGAAAAUUAAUUAUAAGACCAUCUUAUCUUAAGGUAAAAAGUGAGUCACUUAACUUUCUUCAACGCAUUCAAGGAGAUAUAUGUGGUCCAAUUCAAUCACUAUCUGGACCUUUUAGAUAUUUCAUGAUGCUCAUAGAUGCAUCUACUAGAUGGUCAGAUGUAUGUCUAUUGUCCACACGAAAUCAUGCUUUUGCCAAGAUAAUUGCUCAAAUUAUCAAAUUAAGAGCAAAUCAUUCUGAAAAUAGGAUAAAAACAAUUCGAAUGGACAAUGCCGCUGAAUUCUCUUCACGAGCAUUCAAUGAAUACUGCAUGGCUAUGGGCAUUCAUUUAGAACAUUCUGUGCCUUAUGUCCAUACUCAAAAUGGUUUGGCUGAGUCUCUCAUCAAAAGAGUAAAAUUAGUUGCUCGACCACUAUUACAGAAUUGUAAUUUACCAGCAUCUUGUUGGGCACAUGCAGUAUUACACGCCGCAGAUCUGAUACAAAUCAGACCAACUGCAUAUCAUACAACCUCCCCACUGCAACAAGUACGUGGCACUCAGCCAAGUAUUUCCCAUCUGCGAAAAUUCGGUUGCGCAGUAUACGUACCGAUAUCACCACCGCAACGUACAUCCAUGGGCCCCCACAAAAAACUAGGGAUCUAUGUGGGUUAUAAUUCUCCGUCAAUUAUUAAAUAUCUUGAACCUCUUACAGGGGACCUGUUUACUGCCGGCUAAGCUGAUUCAAUUUUUGAUGAGGACCAUUUCCCGACAUUAGGGGGAGAAUCAAACCACAAAGAAUACCAGGAAAUAGAUUGGAAUGUAACAGGCAUUCAGUCCUUAGAUCCACGUACUAAAGAAUCUGAAACUGAAGUUCAGAGGAUCAUAGACUUGCAACACAUUGCAAAUAAUUUGCCAGAUGCAUUUACUGACCAUAAAGGUGUCACUAAAUCACAUAUUCCCGCUGUUAAUGCACCAGAACGAGUGGAGGUACCAACUAAAACCACUCAAACCCCAAAUGAGAGUAAGAGGGGGAUAAAUCUGGUUAGCCGGAAUAUAGCUUCUCAAAAGCCUCUGCGGAAACAGAAGAAACCAAAUCCUGUACCAGUAAAUGCAAUUCAACCUCAAGUUGAAGGACACCAACCAGAUGCUCAACAUCUUGAACCUAGCAUAAAUGCGCAUAAAAACAUAAUAGCUGGGACAUCGGAACACCAUGACUCUAUUGUUGUGGGAAAUCACAUAGAGUCUGAAGGUAUAAAAGAAAUUUCCAUAAACUAUAUAGAAUCAGGAGAAUCAUAUAAUCGAGAGACUACAAUUGUCGACAUAUAUUUUGCCUCUGAAAUUGCUGAAACCCUUCAACUGGAUCCAGAACCAAAGACCGUCAGGGAGUGCCUCAAGCGUCCUGAUUGGCCUAAAUGGAAGGAAGCAAUUGAGGCAGAACUGCACUCGCUCAACCAAAGAGAGGUGUUUUCCUCAGUAAUACCUACUCCUCAGAAUGUCUUCCCUGUGGGAGCAAAAUGGGUUUUGUCCGAAAAAGGAACGAAAACAAUGAGGUGGUGAGAUACAAAGCGAGGCUUGUAGCACAAGGGUUCACGCAGAGACCCGGCAUCGAUUAUGAUGAUACAUACUCUCCUGUUAUGAGUGGAAUAACGUUUCGAUACUUAAUAUCUAUGGCAGUACAAAUGAGUUUAUCUAUGCAGUUGAUAGAUGUAGUGACAGCAUACUUAUAUGGGUCACUCAAAUCGGACAUAUAUAUGAAAGUCUCUGAAAGACUUAAAAUGCCGAAUCCAAAAGCAAAUCGCAACGCAUGUUGUGUAAAAUUACAGAAGUCACUAUAUGGCUUAAAACAGUCGGGUAGAAUGUGGUAUAACCGACUAAGUGAGUUCCUUAUUCAGAAAGGCUACUCAAAUAAUGAUGAUUGCCCUUGUGUAUUUAUAAAGAAGUCCUCAAAUGGAUUUUGCAUCAUCUCAGUGUAUGUUGAUGACCUCAAUAUCAUUGGAAGUACAUCUGAUAUCGAAGAAGCACGCAAUCAUCUAAUGGCGGAAUUUGAGAUGAAAGAUUUGGGAAAAACCAAAUUCUGCUUAGGCUUACAGCUUGAGCACCUUCCCUCAGGAAUUUUAGUAUACCAACCUGCUUAUAUUCAAAAGGUUUUGGAAAAAUUUAAUAUGGAUAAAUCAUAUCCAACCAAAACACCCAUGGUUGUCAGAUCCCUUGAUAUGAAUAAAGAUCCUUUUAGACCUUGGGAUAAUGACGAAGAGAUAUUGGGACCUGAGUUCCCAUAUCUCAGUGCCAUUGGUGCGCUAAUGUACCUUGCAAAUUGCACGAGGCCUGAUAUUGCAUUUGCGGUAAAUUUACUAGCUAGACAUAGCGCUACUCCAACAAAACGUCAUUGGAUGGGAGUAAAGAAUAUCCUUACAUAUUUACAUGGCACAAAAAACCUUGGCUUAUUCUAUCACAAAAACCAAGGUAUGACUAUGGUAGGAUAUACUGACGCUGGCUAUCUAUAUGAUCCUCACAAUGCCAGGUCACAGACAGGUUUCGUAUUCUUAUAUGGUGGAACUGCUUUUUCGUGGAAGUCAACAAAACAGACUCUCGUAGCAACUUCCACUAAUCAUUCUGAAAUUAUUGCAUUAUUUGAAGCAUCAAAAGAAUGUGUAUGGCUUCGUAGGAUGAUUAACCACAUUCAAACUACAUGUGGUGUUGGUUCAUUAGGAUCACCAACUAUUAUUUAUGAAGAUAAUGCAGCUUGUAUUGCUCAAAUGCAAAUGGGUUAUAUAAAAAGCAAUAUCACAAAACACAUUUCUCCUAAAUUGUUCUAUCCUCAUGAAUUACAGAAAAAAUGGAGAAAUUGAUAUUUUGCAAACUAAAUCAUGUGACAGUCUAGCAGAUUUGUUCACAAAGUCUUUACCAAAUUCAACGUUCCAGAAAUACAUUCAUGGAAUUGGUAUGAGACGACUUCGUGAUUUGCAAAGUUCAGGGGGAGAAAUCUCCUGAAAAUAUAACCCUUUAAUUAUCAUCAGAUAAUGAAUAUUGUACUCUUUUCCUUUAUGAGUUUUUCCAAGAGGUUUCUCAUAAAAGGUUUUUAACGAGACAAUUAAAUACAAGCAUUGAUGCAUGCCAUAUCAUAUUUCUCCUUAUAUUUUUCCUACUAGGUUUUAAAGGAGUUUUUCAUGGCACAUCUCAUUGCACUCUUUUCAUUAUGAGUUUCUUUGAAAUUUUCUCUCAUAAUGUUUUUAAUGAGGCAAUAUCUUCAUUAAUAUCAUAUGCUAUACUUGCUAUUUUUCCUAUUAAGGUUUUUAAAGGAAAGUAUCUAAAGCAUAUUUAUUGUCCUCUAAAACUCACUAAUAAUUUUCUCCUUCUUUGAAGGUUUUUCUCAUAUGAGUUAUCAAGAGACAAUAAUCACUAUAUGUUGUAUUAUUUUCUCCUUAUAAUUUUUCCCAUUGGGUUUAAAAGGAGUUUUAACAACAUAUCUAUACAUUUCUCCUCAUAUUUUUUUCCCACAGGGUUUUUGGGGGAGAAUCUCAAGAAUUGACUGAUGGAUAUACAAGGAGUUUUCAAUAAUGGAUUACUCAAGAUGGCGUUGUACAAGGGGGAGUGUUGCGAACGGACUAAAUCUGGGCCGUCAAUUAGCAAACCGUCAUUAGGACGUGAUUAGUCAGUUAUUAGUCUAAAACGUCGUACGGAUGCGUCCGUCCGUACAAGCGCCUUUUUGUACAGACGCCUCUUCGCAUGCGUCCCAAACCUUGUAUAUAUAUUUCAGAUCAAUGAAAGAGAGACAGUGAUCCGCACAACAUUUUGCUUUCGUUGUUUCACACAUAUAAGGUUGUCCGUAAUGGGAGUAUCAUAGCUAGUAUCAUGCAUGCGAACUAAGCAAUUUUGAUGAAGUGGCAUAGAAUUAAAUGAAGAAAAAGAAGGUUGAGUAUCAUAUUAUGAUACUGUAUCAUAUUAAAUGAUGUGCUACUAUGUGGCUUGCAUGACAAUAAAUGAACUAUCUUAUGACACUAACAUAUGAUACUAUGCAUUACGGGUGUGGUAUCAUACACUAGUAUUAUAUGCAUAAUACUAGUAUAUGAUACUACCCAUUACAACCAGCCUAAUGCAUAGGUGUUUAACUUGUUGUUGCUAAGUAUCCUUCACUUAAUGAUUUAGGAACUAAAGUUAUUCAUACAUUGGCGUGUUUCUUUCAUUUAAGUGUUUUGUCUAAGUUCAUGCGCUUGGCAUUGUUUCUUCAUGAGGUUACUACACUCAUCUCUUUCCUUUUAAUUAUCUUGCACAUCACAUUUUCCAUCUACAUUGCAGCCUUAGCACCUAUACAAGGUGGAGCACCAGAUGUAGUCAUUUUGCUUUCCGAAGCAGAUGUAGUCAUUUAUAACUUGAUUUCGAUAUACAAAUGGAAAACAUGUAAGAGCAUCACCAACGACGAUCCGCAAACCGUCCGCAUAUGUCCUAAUUGUGUUGUUCGGAUCACGAAAGACAUCCAACGCGGGCCUGUAUCGGUCCGCAAGUCAGUUCGGACGCACUUUCUCCCGCAAACCGGAACCAAAUGGGAGACUUUGCUGGAGUACGAACACACGAAACUUCACUUUUUGCCCCCCUCCCCCGGCCCACCCAAAAGGAAGGCGUGCCCCCUCCCCCGGCCCACCCAAAAGGAAGGCGGAGCACGCGCUUUGUAGCAACCCGCACUGUUUCCGCACAAAAAUCGUCCACUCUCUUCUUCCAUCCCCUGCCGCUCUCCGACUAAUUCCCACUCUUUUGUCCCACCCUCUCCUUCCUUCCGUCGUCGAUGCAUGGAACCACCGGAGAUGGAGGCGUCGGAUGAUCCGAGCAUCACGCUCACCCAAAGAUGAACUCGGCUACGCGGUAGGAUCACCGCGUCAAAGCGAAGGCCGCAAAGGAGGAGAGGAUUAAGAAGCGAUUGGCCACCGGUGGGCUUGGUGGUGGCGUUGUGUGUGGCGGUCGUGAUGGUCAUGGAGGGCGUGGCAGACGUCGCCGGACGAGCACACCCAUGGUACAUACGGCACCGUGGAUGGAGCAUUAUAAGCCUCCAUACUACUACGCCGCCAAGCAUCUCGGAACCCUCUCCGAUAAGGUUCCUUUCAUCAUUGUCGUAAAUGGGAUGUCGUUCUUCUCCGAGUAUUGUUCAUUGCAGCUCGUGUGGGCGCGAACAAUGGUUGGGGAGCAGAUGGAUGACCGCACAUUGUUCGCUACAAUGCCUAGAGCGGAGGAGGGGGUGAAGUACUAUGAUAUGGACACGGAGAGGGUCAACAUGUUGGAAAUAUGCCCUAAAGGCAAUAAUAAAUUGGUUAUUAUUAUAUUUUCUUGUUCAUGAUAGUCGUUUAUUGUCCAUGCUAGAAUUGUAUUGAUUGGAAACUCAAAUACAUGUGUGGAUACAUAGACAACACACUUUCCCUAGUGAGCCUCUGAAGGACUAGCUCGUUGACCAAAGAUGGUCAAGGUUUCCUGAUCGUAGAAUGAGAUGUAGUUUGAUAACGGGAUCACAUCAUUAGGAGAAUGAUGUGAUGGACAAGACCCAAACUAUGAACGUAGCAUAUGAUCGUGUCGUUUAUUGCUACUGUUUUCUGCAUGUCAAAGUAUCUGUUCCUAUGACCAUGAGAUCAUGUAACUCACUGACACCGGAGGAAUGCCUUAUGUGUAUCAAACGUCGCAACGUAAUUGGGUGACUAUAAAGGUGCUCUACAGGUAUCUCCGAAGGUGUCUUUUGGGUUGGCAUGGAUCAAGACUGGGAUUUGUCACUCCCUAGACGUUGCCACCCUACCCUCCUCCCUUAAAAACUUCGGCCUCCACCAAAGGAAGCCGGUAGGCAAUCCCUGCCCAUUAGAUAGCAAACCCUGAUCUUCCCGCUCGUGAGACAAGAGAUCGACAUCCUGGAGCACGGCGUUGGCCCUAGAUGACGACCAUAUAAGAAGCGUAGUGUGGAUUACGGAGCGGCGACACGAGGACGAUGGUGGUCGGGUAGCCGGCGGUGGCCCGAGGAGGUGCCGAGGUUGCGAUGACCUCGUUCUUCGGGCAAGAGGCCAGUCAAGAAGGACAUGUUGUGUCUUGAAGUGAGAGAUUGGCGGUUGAUGAUGCGUAGUAGCAUGGUGGCUAGUAGGCGACCAAGGGGUAGAUGUCUGGUCGAGAUCAAGUCAUUGUGACGUUGUGUGAUGGUAGUGCUGGAGUUUGGUGAUUGGGGCGAGCGUUGAUUUCUUCUUCAUCGGAAGUGGCCUCUGUGAUCAUGAGGGAGAUGUAGAGGCUAGAUUUCGAGAUAGUGAUGUCCUUUCUGAGGCAUGCGGCGGUAUAGGACGCCCCCUCCACCUCUAGAGUCGGUUCGGUCUAUCUCCCUAGGUGCUGCACACGACGACUCUUGUGGAUGUGCUGAGUUAUGCAUGCCACCGCGAGGUGAUACGCACAUCGGCUCAUGCAGAGGCACCAAGUCAUGAUUCUGCGGGCAGGUGCUACACACUCUUGCUCCUAUAGACGCGACAAGUCAUGCAUGUGGCUGCUAUAACGAUGGUGCGAUAGUGAAGGGAGGCGAGACGAAGUGGUGCGUCUUGUCCUUCCGGUACCUUCUCUAGAGAUAACCGGGCAAGGGAUGAUGGUAGAGGCGGCUUCAACACCGAGUAUGCGCACUCCGAUGGAACAUAAGUCCCCUGAUUAGACUAUGUCAACAUGUGACUGCAUUGUGACCUUGCCAAAUAUGUUGGAUCGAAGCUCGGCUUAUGGGACGAAAUUCCGAGACCAAACUAUGUUUGGACUCAUCACUACCGGUGCAUGGAUGCCGCUUCCUUCGUGAAUGAUUAUCUUAGGAGUUGUGUAGUUUGCCUUUGUUCCUGUUUGUUUCCAUAGGGUUAGUGUUUGCUUAGUGUAUGUAAUGUCGUGAGGCAAGCGACCUUUCUUUUUUCUUUCCAAGUCAAAUUUGUUCGGUUGUUGGAGUUUGUUUUAUGAAUGAUAUAUGACAUGUGAUGCAAAACCUAGGGUUAUCCUCCUUUCCUAAAAAAUAUGCACACAUGUAUUAACAUGAUUUUCCGUUUGUCUCUUCUUGAGAGAAGUCUGUUUAUGUGGAGAAAUGUUCAUUGAGAGAUCCUUUAAACAUGUUCAUGUUAUUACACUUGAUAAAUCAUGUGCCGACUCUAAGUCCAUGAUUGGUUUGUUGACACAUGCCGAUAUUUGAAAAUAUUGAAAUGCCAAAUAUUGGCUAACGAUUGCUUAUUUACCCAUUUUUCCCGUCAGCCCCACAAAAAAGUUGCCAGUUUUUGAUAAACUUUGAUUUUUGCCACAUGUCAACAAACCAAUCAUGCUCUAAGUUGAUCGUACGCAUAAGGACUUAGACAUGACAUGGAACUAUACUUUGCACAUAGGUGUGCACUCCUUGUAGCCAAAAGGACAAAAAUGCAUAUACAUUUGGACACGUUACGUACGUGCUUCACGUGUGCGCCCUUUGGCCGGUGCAGUGAGCAUGCGCCCGUACACAGCCCUGAAAGCAUCCGCACGCAAGCGUCUAUGUAGGUGGAAAAGUCAGCGUUCUCUAUCUCCUUCAAAUAUCUGUUGUCACUUGUCAGUUUGUCACGUCCUAGCACCAUCCAUAUAUGGUAUGUGAAAACUUUAAACUAUUUUUUCUGUAUCUAAAUGAUUGUAAUUAAAGAAAACUAAUCUAAGUAUGCUAUUUAAUUACCCAUAAUUUUUCUUAAAGUUAAUCACCGAUAAAUCUUGAAGCUUAGGCCAUUUUCAAUGCAUUGGUGCUAAGAUGAGGUGCUAAGCAUAUUAAAUAGUUUAUCAAUUGAAGUCCACAAUGCAUAGUUGCUUAGUUUAUUGUACUACUAAAGUUUUGCAUAUUUAAUGCUUUUACAACUAAAGUUGUGCAUGCAUUGGUGCAUUUCCUUUAUUUAAUUGGUUUACCUAGUUUCACGCGCUUAACAUUGUUUUUUUCUGGGGUCACCACACUCAUCUCUCUCCUAUUAAUUAACAUGUCACAUCAGAUUUUUUGCCUAUGUGACAGCCUUAACACAUGUACAAGGUGGAGCAUUGGGAGUAGCCUUACCGAUGUGUUGUGCUGCUUUGCUUAGAGCAAGUACAAUAAGGUACAGUCAGCAGGCUGUAAGAAUUAAAAUACUAUAUUUUUGCUGAGUUGGAUGAGAGAGAAGAGGAGAGAGAAGGAAAGCGGGCUCUUCGUGAAGAGUCAGCUGUAGCACGUGCUCCUAGGUGAUUUGUGAGAAUGAAAGAUGGACCAUAUAUGAUAAAAAUAGUACUAUUUUAUAGCUAAUUAUUAUAAAAGCUAGCUAUAAGAUGAGCUAUAAGACUGCUUAUAGCCAGCAGUUGGCUAUACUAUUAAUCAUGCUCUUAGACGCGUAGGGAUAAGAAUGGACACGUUGGACGUUUUGCCAUGUCCGGGAGAGACUGGCCGACUGCAACGAGGAGAUUCGUUGACAUUUCAUUCCGCAAAAGAUAUUCCUUUGGCAUUUCUCCACAUAGAUGGGUGCCAGCAGGGCCAUAGCCCAGCCCGUGCACUCACGUACGUCAAGUGUGGGAAAUGGCCGAACGCAUGAUGCCGUUGCAGCCAACGGGGCGCAGAUAGAGGCCAGGGCAUGCAUGCCGCACUCCGGCGAGCUCGAAGGGACCGGACAAUUGGAGGAGGUCCAGGAGGGACACGUGUAGUAUGGUCCUACAACAGCGCGGCAGGCAAAGGGCCUGGCCUGGUCCUGGUCCUGGUCCAUCGUCCACGCGACGUAGGUCGUGGACCAACAACGUAGUACGACGCUCCGCCCCGGACGGACGUGUUAUCUUUACUAAAUGGCCCCUAAAGGAUUUUAUGUCGCACAUUGACCCUCCAAAAAACUUGUUUCGUCCUCUGAUCCUCACAUUCAUUUCCCGAUCUGCAUCAUAUGGUUCUCCAACGUGUUUAUAUUUUUUAAUUGUUCUAUGCUAUUAUGUUAUUAUUUUAGGAUACUUUUUAUAUUAUUAUUUACCAACUUAUAUUAUUUUUGAGCACUAACUUAUUGACCCGGUGUCUAGUGCCAGUUUCUGUUUUUUUUGUGUGUUUUUUGUUUCACAUAAAUUCCAUAUCGAGCGAAGUUAAAACGCGAUAAAAACUUACGGAGACUAUUUUGGAAUAUAUGUGAAUUUUGGGAGUUAGAAUCAACGCAAGACGAUCCUCAAGGGAGGCACAAGCCAAGAGGGCGCGGUCUGGGAGGGUCGCCCCUCAUGGCUCUGUGUCCACCCCUUAAGUCGGUCGGAGCUUUCUUUUGGCCGCAACAAAGAUAUUUUUUUAAUAAAAAUUCCCUCAAAAAUUAAUUGUGGUCGGAUUUUGGGAUAUCAGGUUAUUGAAGUAACGGUGAAGGGCCAGAAACAAGUCGUGCAAACAGGAGAGAAACACACACAGACACGCACACACACACACACACAUAGAGAGAGAGAGAGAUCCAAUCCCGGAGGGGCUGCUGCCCUCCGGGUCCCAUGGCGGCCUUGGACCAGAGGAGAAACCCUCCUCCCACCUAGGGAGGAGGCCAAGGAAGAAGAAGAAGAAGAAGGAGGAGGAGGGGGCUCUCUCCCCUCUCUCCCGAUGGCACCGGAGAGCUGCCGGGGUAACCCUCGUGACGGGGGUCCACACCAACAACUUCGCCGCCGUCACCACCAACUCUCUCCUCCUCUAUGCGAUGGUGUAAAAUCUCUCUUCCUUGUUGUAAUCUCUACUUGAACAUGGUGCUUAAUGCUAUAUAUUAUUAUCCAAUGAUGUGUGGCUAUCCUAUGAUGUUUGAGUAGAUUCCUUUUUGUCCUACGGGUUAAUUGUGAUAUGAUGUUAUUGAUAUGAAUCGUGUGUUGAUAUGAUGCUAUCCUAAGGUGUUUUCCGUUAGGCGCACACUUGAAAGAUUCACGCUGGAGGGUUUGCAAUAUAUUCUUGAUUCGCUUAUAGUGGGUAGCUAGAGUGACAAAAUCUUACACCUGAGUAAGGAAGUUGUGCGCAUGUGGAAGUAAAGAGGACUUGAUGUUUAAUGCUAUGGUUGGGUUUACCUUAAUGGUUUCUAGUAGUUGUGGAUGCUUGUUAGAGGCCCAAUUGUAAGUGCAAAUGAUCCAAGUACGGAAAGUGUGCUAGCGUAUGCCUCUCCCUCAUUGCAUAUGAUAUGUAUCUAUUAUGUUAUAUUCAAUUGCCUAUUGACAAUCUUCCUAUUGCGUUGUAGAGAAAAUCUGUCUACUAAAUAGCCCCUUACUUUUAUUCACUUGCUCUUUUUUUUCUUGCAAAACUAUCUAUUUCACCUAGUAAGUACUUCUAGUCUCCUUCCCGAAAAAUAGGUUCAUACUUGUUCUAGAUAAAGUAAGCGUUAGCGUGCGUAGAAUUGUAUCAGUGGUCGAUAGAACUUGAGAGAAUAUUAAUUCUACCUUUAGCUCCUUAUUGAGCUCGGCACUUACUUAUCGAAAAAGACUACAAACGAUCCCUUACACUUGUGGGUUAUCAAGACCCUUUUCUGGGGUCAUUGUCGGUGAGAAAUAGCGUAGUGGUCGAUAUUCUCGUGUGCUUGUUUUCUUUAUCACAAAGUAAUUUUUAUUUUCUGUUAUUGAUUGUUUUAUAUCUUUAGUUAUGGACAUGGAACACAAAACACCCAAAAAAAUAGUUAUACUUGCUACUCAUGGAGAUGGGGAACCUCCUAAAAUUCUCGAUGCUAGUUAUGUGAAACACAUUAAUUACUGCUUUGAUAAUACUGAGAAAUCCUCAUUCAACUUGAUAAUUGGAGACACGUUGGAUCAGCGUGAGUACUUUAGGGAUUAUCAUUUGUCUCAAAAAGGAAAACACUUAUGGGAUCAAAUUAAAAUGUUGCGUUGGUAUGUUUGGGAUUUAUGCGUGAUAAGUGAUUAUACUUGUUGCUCUAAAAGCAAGGGUCUAAACCUUCCCUUUCAAUGUAAAUUUAAUGAUAAUAGAACCAUAGACUCUUAUGCUAAUGGUAUAUAUGAUUACUAUGAUGUGAACAAAAUAAAAGAAUUUGUUGCCUUUAAGGGUGCAUAUUAAAUUGCUUCUUUGAUUGGAAAGUAUGAUGAUAUUCCUUAUAAAUCUGAAAAUUUUGACAUACUUAAAUAUUGCUAUGAGAAUUAUGAAUAAAAUGUUGGUAUUAAUGAAUUUCUUGAAAGAAUGACCGUUGCCUUGGAAUAGAUUAACAUUUUGCAGGAAUCUAUGGAAGAAGAAAUUGUUGAAUCUCUGAGCUCAUUAGAUGAAAAAGAUGACGAGGAGAGCGAAGAGAGGGAGGGUUGCAGCACCCAAUGCCACAGCACGGCCUCUCCCUCUCCCUAUAGAUCGUCUCUUCCUCUAGAUAUUCCGGUAGUGCUUGGCGAAGCCCUGUCGGGACAGCAACAUCACCAUCACCGUCAUAUCGUCGCGCUGCCAGGGGACUCAUCUACCACUCCGCCCUCGCUUUCUGGAUCGAGAAGGAGAAUACGUCAUCGGGUUGUACGUGUGCUGAAUGCGGAGGUGCCGUCAGUUCGAAACUUGAUCGGGAGUUUGCGGGACAGAUCGUGAUAGGAUCGCGAAGACGUUCGACUACAUCAACCGUGUUUCUUAACGCUUUCGCUCAGCGAUCUACAAGGGUAUGUAGAUUCAAUCUCUCCUCUUGUAGAUGUGCGUCUCCUAGAUUGAUCUUGGUAAGCGUAGGAAUUUUUUUGUUUCCUAUGCAACGUUCCCCAACACUUCUAUCUGUGUUAACAUGGGAAAUCUCACAAACACAUUAGUCCCUCAACCACGUUUGUCUUCAAUACUCCAAAACCAACAAGUGGUGGAACUAGAUGCACUUACGAUCUCCCCCUUUUUGGUCACUGGUGACAAACUGGCUGAAGUUUUCAACGGGGAUAAGAAUAUGUGAAGAUAAAUACUUGGAGAUUAUGAGAGCUCUCCCUCAAGAUGUUCUUAUGAAGGUUUUUCUUUGAAUGCAAAAGCACAUGGUAGGUUGUAGUUAGUGGAUAUCUCCUCCUAUAUCUUGGAAUCCAUUCACUAUGCAUUUUAAAGGUUUCAUGAAGAUUCUGUAAUGCAUAAUGAAAAAUAGGCAUCUGCUGAAUGACUUCAGACGCAUAUGAUAAGAUAUGGAAUAGCGCCAAAGAUACGAUAAACAUAGAAUAUGAAGACGUCCAUCAAGACUUAAGUUUUACAACCCAAAAGUGCAAUUGUUCAGAACAAGAGUUCUAAACUUAACAAAAUAGCAGCACCCAACCCUUAUAGACCCAUUCGAAUACUAUCAAUCCAAUGCUUCUCCCCCUUUGUCAUGGGAUGACCAAAAAGGGCGAAGACAUUGGGAACUACUCGUCCCCAGCUUGUGAAUACGUUGGUGCAGCAGGGUCAUCAAAGGUUGGUGCAGGUUCGCCUGGUUUAGUGUCGAUGCGAUCUGUUGGUGCAACAGGGGAAGUACAUCAUCAGUGUCAUUGUUUGCAAGAUUGGUAUGACCGGAUACUGCUGAAGAAGAGUAGUAACUUUAUUCGAUGGAUGGUGUCUUGCAUCAUUUCUCCGUACGAGGAGGAGGGGCACAAAAUUUGAAGUAUUUUUCAUAGCCAUCCUCACGAAGAUCUUCCUCCGGAGACAUGAGAGUCAAUUUCUUCCAAGAAUGCCUACAAGUUUCAUGUGCAACAAAGAUAUUCUUGGUGGAGAGGUUGCGAAUGCGAUUGAUAUCUGUUGCCAUAGAGUGCAUUUGUCUUCGCGUCACUCAUGGUGACAAUCCUACUUUUGUAUGAGCGAAACAAGAAGCUCUUGAUUAGUCAUAGCAUGUUCCCGUCUGGGUUGGGGAUGUUGAGGCAGAGUGCUAGCAGUGGCUUCAGUUGAGGUGGCACUUGGUUGUGGUUGACGGAAUGUGCCAAUCAGUCUUGCCUUGACAGGAUCACAAGGAAUGUGAAGCCCUUCAAUAUGUGUGGUGCCACUAGUGCCUUCAAUAAUGGGAUUCUUGCCCUUGGAUGGAUAAAUGUCUUUGUGUCUGACUUCCACAUCCAGAAGAUAUAUUCCAUGAUUAUGAGCGGAGGGUAGAAACCUUGUAUUUGUUAUGCGCUUAAUGAAGUGCAUGAUCCAUGGUGCAUAGAUCUUGAGUUCAGAGAUUGAUGCUAUUGGCAGCCAGGGUUCUCAAAAAUAAGUCUUGAAGAUUGAACCUGAUGCCAUAGACGACAUUGUAGAUCAACGUCUUCAAUGCCCCUUAAACCUUGCUUGAAGAAUAAUGUCAUUUGAUUGGCCAUAUGGUGUGACAAAGAAUAUGGUAGAUAGUCUUUGGUAGAUAUUGAAGAUCAUCAACAAAGAAUGUUGUGGGCAAGUCCGCAUCUGGGUCUAAAGGUGAAAGGACGUGGAUGUCGCCUAGAGGGGGGGUGAAUAGGCGCUUUAAAAUAAUUAAGGUUUAGGCUUGAACAAAUGCGGAAUAAAACUAACGUUUAAUAUGUCAAGCACAAAACCUCAAACAACUAGGCUCACCUAUGUGCACCAACAACUUAUGCUAAGCAAGAUAAACAACUAAGUGAUAGCAAGAUCUAUGACAAGAGACAAUAUGGCUAUCACAAAGUAAAGUGCAUAAGUAAAGGGUUCGGGUAAGAGAUAACCGAGGCACUCGGAGACGAUGAUGUAUCCCGAAGUUCACACCCUUGCGGAUGCUAAUCUCCGUUGGAGCGGUGUGGAGGCACAAUGCUCCCCAAGAUGCCACUAAGGCCACCGUAAUCUCCUCACGCCCUCGCACAAUGCAAGAUCCCGUGAUUCCACUAAGGGACCCUUGAGGGCGGUCACCGAACCCGUACAAAUUGCAAACCUUGGGGGCGGUCACCGAACCCGUACACGUGGCAACCCUUGGGGGCGGUUACCGGUACCCGUACAAAUUGCUCGGGGCAAUCUCCACAACCUAAUUGGAGACCCCGACGCUUGCCCGGAGCUUCACACCACAAUGAUUGAGCUUCGAGACACCACCAAGCUUCUAGGACACCAAAGCAUCCACGAAGAACAAUAUCUAUGGUACUAAGUACCAAAGGUAAUAAGCUUCUCAAACUUCACUUCCACGUAUCACCGUGGAGAACUCAAACCGAUGCAACCAAUGCAAUGGCAAGAACACACGAAGUGGUCAAGUCCCUCACACUCAAAUCCCUCCACAACAACGAAAGCUAUGGAGAAAUAUGAGAGGAAGAACAAGGAGCUCACAAAGAACUCCAAGAUCUAGAUCCAAGGGGUUCCCCUCACAUAGAGGAGAAAGUGAUUGGUGGAGAUGUGGAUCUAGAUCUCCUCUCUCUUUUCCCUCAAGAACAAGCAAGAAUCAUUGGAGGGAUUGAGAGUAAGCAAGCUCUAAGAAUGUCAACAAUGGAGGUAGAACAAGAGCUCAACGGAUGGAUAAGGCCAAGGGGCAAGAAGACCCCCUUUAUAUAGUGGGGGAAGGAAUCAGACCGUUACCCCCACUUACAACCCGAGUCCAGCGGUACUACCGCUGACCCUGCAGAGGUACUACCGCUGAGCCCAUGGUAGCGCAAAGAUACUACCGGGCCAAUCACCGCCAAGAAAGUCUUCGCAAAAAGGUCCGACGAAGUACAGCCGCUAGGAAGGCCGUACUAAGCUCCUGGAGCGGUACUACCGCUGACCAGGGGCGGUACUACCGCCAGCACAGCGGUACUACCGCCAGCUCUAGCGGUACUACCGCCAGCUCUAGCGGUACUACCGCUAGGGCCAGCGGUACUACCGCUCGCCACUGAAACAACCAUAACUUUCGCAUACGAGCUCCGAAUCGAGCAAACCCAAGCUUGUUGAAUUAAGACCAUGCUGAUAUGAAAAUGCCAAUGAUCUAGAGAUGUGAGACCUCUAUAAAUGAAGAACCGGCAAAAACUCCAACAUCGAAAACAUCAUAGUAGUUGCAUAUGGACUCCGUUUUUGAUGAACUCGAGCUUGUCAUGAAGAUGACCAUAAGCUCUAAAACUCACAAAGAGAAACACCAAAUAAGAACCAAGAAGUAUGAUGCAAGGAUGCAAAUGGUUUGAGCUCUCAACGAACGAUACGAUCAAGCUAAUCACUUGAGAGCCCCCUUGACAGUACAUCAUUCUAUCCUAAACAGAAAACCUAUCAAGGGAAAACCUAUACCUUGCACCUCAAUCUCUUGAGCUAGAUGAUGAUGAUCUUGGCUUCCUCAAGAUGGACCACCUUUCUUGAUUGCGUUGGCUUGAUGAAGACUAGGUUAUUGCUCCCCCAUACUCACUAUGGAUGAGCCACUCUUCAACAUACCUUCACAAGUCCAUUGCCACCACAAUGGACGGCAAGCUUCAAGCACGAUAUAUUCGUGUUGAUCCUCUUGAACUUGCACACCGCAAUCUUGAUGACGAUCACCACUUGACGUCAUCCUUCAUGGGUUGUAUGAGAUCUUCAUUUUGACACAAGCCCAUGGAAACACACCUAACCCACACAUAGAACUCUCACGAAGACCAUGGGUUAGUACACAAACACGUAAUGGAUAAUGCUUACCAUACCAUGGGAUCACUUGAUCCCUCUCGGUACAUCUUGUACGCUUUGUGUGUUGAUCAUCUUGAUUUACUCUUUGUCUGAGAUCUUGAUCAACCUUGUGUCUCUAUGACCAUUCUUUGGAUAAUACCUUGAAUACCACCUUGGUCAUCAUAUAAACUCCUUGAACCCAACAGAUGGACUUCAAUAAGUGCCUAUGGACAAAUCCUAUAAAUAUAACUUAAGGCAACCAUUAGUCCAUAGGAAUUGUCAUCAAUUACCAAAACCACAUAUGGAGAUAUAUGCUCUAACAAAAGGCUUCAUAAGUGUCAAAAUUUCAGACAUGUUAGGCUCACGCAUUUGAAAGAUGCUUCUUAUGGCUUCUUCAUAGGUGGGAGAUUUUGGAUCAAGAUCUUAGCCUGAUGCAGCAAGUGGAGUGGUGGCAAAGAAUUACAUAGCAAGAGCUUUCACAUGCCCAUCAUGGAUCAUGAAAUCCAUAACCCAUGUCUUCAGAUCUCAUCCAUAGCCAAAGAUGUGGAGAGUUGCAUAAAAUUGAAGAAUUGGUUCUUAAUUCCAAUCUUCAUGAUCAACAGCAAACGACAACAAUCCAACAUCUCAAAGACAAUUGAAGGCCUGGUCAAAACAAGGAAGACCACUCAUGGCUUCCAUGCUGAGAUGCUUGGGGGGAUCCUUUUUGGUCAUAUAGCACACAUGUAUAAUAGGUACGUUGAGGUACACUCCAGAAGUGAUCAGAUUGAAUCUUUAGACGCGUAUAAGGAUUCUUUUUAGAAUCAAGGAAAGUGUUGUCGAGCCGGAAUUCCCUCACGCUAAAGACAAGAGGACGUGUUGUUCCUAGUUGUCAAAGACUUGGAAGCCUAGGCAUUGGAUUCAUAACUUUUGGGCGACGAAAGAUGUUUAAUUCAUAUUGUGGACCCAUUCUGUUGGGUGGUGAAACAAGCUUGGGCCAUUUUGUUGGCACCAUCUCUCCCGCCCUAUUGCGAUCCAUGACAAUAUUGUCAGCAUUGUCGUCGGUCAAUGGCGUAGCACGCACAGGAGAACCAUCAGGGGAUGGAGCAUUGGCUUCUCCAUCAGUAAUCGGUGCUUCUAGAGGUGCAACGGUGUCAUCAGCAGCAAUGUCUUCACAUGCACUCGCUUCGAUCUAAGGUUGUUCACGAGCAACAUGUUCAAGUAUGAGAACUUCAUCGACUGAUGCAGUCAGAGUCACACGCACUUCAUCUUCUGGAAUGAUUUACAUUGAAGAUAUAGGUGGCCUUGGUCCUUUGUGAAUCCUUUUGAGAGGCGAUGCAUGUUCAGUUGUUUCAACUUCCAUGGGAGCAAAUGGGAAUUUAGGAGAUCUUGCCACUAGAGUUGGAAAUGGACUAGGCAGAGUGCUAGGAUUGGCUUCAGGCACGUUUCACCUUAGUGGAGUGCCAAUGUCCACAAAUUCACUGCCUUCAUGCAUUGGCGAUGAUACCAUUGGUGCAUCACGUUGAGGCACAUCAGUUUCUAUUUCAACAUUGUCUUCGGCAGAAGCAACGUUUUCAGCAGGNNNNNNNNNNNNNNNNNNNNNNNNNNNNAGCAGGAUCACCUGCAUUGUCUUCGGUUGCGGUGGUUUCAGCAGCUGGUGCAUCAUCUGUUGUUUGAGCCUUUAUGGUAACAGACUCAUGAAGAACAACUUGCCUCUCGACAUUUUCCUAGGGAUUUUAUCUCAACAAAUUUAAAUAAUCUCUAAAAUAAAUUCUCUUAUGCCACCGAGUAAACAAUUUGAUUAGGGACUAGUAGCGAAGGGAAUUAAAUCAAUAUAAAUUUGUGUUUAAAAGAUAUUAGCAAUCUAGGGUUUUGAGCAAAUUCAAAAUCUACUAUGCAAAUUUUAAAACUUCUGAAUCUAUGCAAAACUUCAUGUUAUUUGUGACAUGUUGCCAAAAGAAUCAACUAAAAACAAUCAAAAACUUAAAAGAUAUUAGCAAAACAAAGUCAUGAACUCCUCUCGAUUUGAAAUAAAGCAAAUAAAACAAAACAAGAAUUAAGUAUCGGCCAGGGGUGAUGUGGCACAUUCCUAUUGUGGCAGCGAAGUGUGCGCGAGAAAGAACACAGCGGCUAACUGAACACUAGCGUGUACCGGUUCGUGAGUUUAAGUGAUCUAAUCUAGAUCGUUCAUUGCAGAUCUGACGGUGGACACGAGAGAGAAGCUUACAACGGCGACGAUGGAGUUCUCCAGCGAGGCAGAUGGCUUGGGGUUGACGGCGAUGGUGCUCCAAUGGUCUUCCGGCAAUGGUGUCAGCUCCAAUCGAUGCACGCGAAGACGAUGGUGAGGUUGGUGGCAUCGGACGGUGUCGGGGCAGACUGCGGCGAGCGGCACGAGCUCAACGGGCUUCGGGCAUGGCAAAAACUAUGACGAGAUGUUGGGGUGGCAGUGGAGCAUGGAGGAAGGGUUUUAGGGAGGAAUCGGGUGCGGGAGGUCGGGGCUUUAUAGGAGAGGCAUUUGGUGGGGUCAAACGGAACGGGAGCGGCGAGAUGGAUCAGAUCCGGAGAUACGUCGGAAAGGGAAGGUGAGGUCGGGUAAAGGAAGGCGCUGACCGAGGGGGGUUCGGGUCGGGCAGGUGGGGUCGGUGCGCGAGAGGUAGGUGACCGAUUCGUUCGCGAUUCGGAUCCGAUCAGAGAGAAAAUGAAAAAUAAAGCAAAGAAAGUAUAUAUAAUAUAUACCUAUUAUAUAUCAACAAGUUCAGAAAAAAUAGCUCUACAACAUGAACAUAUUUUCAAGAAUUUUUGAAAUACUUAAUAUUUUUUUCCAAAAUUCAAAAAUGUCGUUGAUCCAAAGAUCAAAUAUUUUCCAAACAUUUUUCUGAGUUUGUAAAUUCAAAUGAAAUCAAAUUUGCCCCUGGUUUUGAGUGUGAUGUUUCUCCUCUCUUUAUUUUUAAUAUGAUCAUGUGCAUUUGAAUUUAUUCCAAUUCAAAAAUUGAAAUGGAUCGAAUUUGCAAAUGGAAAUACUCCAAAUGGAAACUUUUAAGAACUUUCAAAUCCCAUUUCAAAUUCUUCCAUUGAAGAAGUCGUGUCAUAUUCUCUCUAUGAUUUUAAAUUUGAAUUGGAUUUGAAUUCAAAAGCAAGGAAGAAAGUUUUGGGAAAGUCAUUUUAUCCCCUCUCUUCUAUUUUCCAAAAGUUUUCAAAUUCACUCAGUUUCACACAAUAAUUCAGACAAUCAAUCAAUAUAGUUCAUUUAAUAUGACAUUCCAAAAUUUAGAAUUUUGGGACGUUACACGCAAUCCUUCAAUGUUUUGCACCCAGAUGUCUCCUCAUUUCGCUUAGUGCUACAGAUAUAAAUGGUUGGUGGAACAAGAUCUCCGGGAAGUGGAAACGCAAAACUGGCCCAUGAUGAUAACUCGGUGGCGGCUUGCAUUGCUUAAAACCACUGGAAAGGGAGGAAUCACGGAAUUUUGAGAGGAAGGGGGUAAACCAUCCUUGGUUUGUGAAGCAUCAUAAUUUUUCUUGAAAGGAUUUAUCUGCUUGAUCUACUCCCUUUAACAGUGCGUUAUCCAAGAUGGGAUUUAUUUUCCAAGCGAAUGAGAUAAUUGUCCCCGGUUUGCGUAGCAUGAUGAAAUUUUUUUAGACACACGAAGCAUAAUGAUCUAAGCCUCCUGGACAAGCCCGUUGGAGACAUGGCCCUUAAUCUUCGUGCAGUCCAGACCCAGUUGCACCUUUGCAACAUCUGUUUUACACUGUUUCCCUCUUCUUAAUCGGGAAGCAGAACAUUUGCUGCGCUUGUGAAAAAAUUAUAUCCGGAUCACUACAUGGGUAGUGGUUCAGCAAGAUCCACCUUCAAUUUCACUGACUGAUAAAUAUGCUAGGACAAAAGAAACUGCUUACUGUUCCUCGUGAAGAAACGAUGUAGUUUAUGGAGUAUGUACGAGUCUUCCCAGAUUUUGCGUUUCCAUACAUAUAUUACGACCAAAAGGGUGCAACACGGCCACUUUUAUAACCGGAUGAGCACUUGUCCGUUGUCACCAAGUUCCCAUCGAUCUUUCGUACCUGGACCCGAGUGGCCUGGACGCUGCAGCUGAAGAACACUGUACCGAGUUUCAGACGGUGCCUCUGAGUCGAACAUUGUGUGGACCUGGCACGGCGCCUCAUCCCAUCAGACAAGGAGGCACCCGUAUCUUUCCGCAUUGUACAUACGAAUUGUAAGGCAGAAGCUGUGCUGGUGCUGGUGCUGGUGCUGCUCUAGCUCUACCCUGUGCACAAAGCCAUGCUACAGUGACAGAAUUCCUCUGCGCAUCAAGCAUUCCUGNNNNNNNNNNNNNNNNNNNNNNNNUCAAGCAUUCCUGCACGGCCAAGGUUUUAAAUUAUGUACUCUCACCAUCAUGGCCCAUGAAUUGGUUGUUCGGUUCGCCCGACAAACAAACCAACCAACAAGACGUAGUACUUGCUGGUCAGACAGAAACGGGCGUGUCCAUUAAAUCCUCUCGGAAAAGGAGUAUUUUUGAAGAAAAAAAAAGGUAAGCAACUCGCACGGGGUGAACUGAAGAUAACACUGGCAAGAGUUAGAGUAGCAACGAACUGACAAGGAAAAACAGACAAGGAUUCAGUACAACAGCAAGAGUUCCGCGUGGUAAAAAGGUCUCAGAAGUCUCAUGCUACAGUAGGCAAGUUGUGCUAGGUUUCCAUGGAACACUUGCCACAGAAGAGAUUUGAUUCUAGAUCUUACCCUCCCAGAGGCACUCAGGGGAGGGGCCGCCGUUGUUGCGGUUGUUUCCAGAGGCGGCGCGCGCUAGGAGAUCACCAAGGUGGGGCGGUGGCUGGAGGCCCAUGGCGGAAGCACGCUCCCAGCGCUGAAGCCUGUUCACACCGAUGCAUGGGCCAAACUUCAUGUCCAUGUCAAACUGCCGCAGCUGCUCCUCUUGCUCACUGAAAUCAUCUGCAGCAUCAUAAGCAAGAGUUAUUGUUUGCAAACAUAAAGCACUUGUGAGUUUAAACUGUAUGCAUAACAAUCUCUCCAGCGGGUACCUUUGAGGUCAAAGGAUCCGUGAGAAAUUAGUGCUGCUGUCUGAGCCUUAUUCGAGGCCCCAACAGAGGCCCCUCCAGUAUAAUUCUGUGGUUUCUUCUUAGAAGAUGCUGAAGUUUUGCCGGCACCUCCUUUCUUCUUCUGCCGGUAGAAAUCUUUCACGCCAGUAGAAGCCAUUCUUGUCUAUUAUUCAGUCCUACCUGUGUUUUCCUGUCAAAGACCCCCAACGGAAACUUAAAAUCACUUCUGCUGUAGCUUUUGUGUUUCAUUUGCAUUUUAUUCAUUUCACCACAAAGAAUGCUAUGAGCUAUAAUAAGUACGAUGUGAACAUGACAACAGCAGAAACCUUUCAUGGUUUGUUCAUAGGUCUUACAUAGCCAAGUCCUUAUUCCCGAACACUAACGACCCAAUUUAAUAGAAGGAAUCUGAUAGCUGACGUUGUUCUAUCUACGAGAAUAUCAGUUUUUCUGUGACGACUUGUAAACGGCAUACAGUAUGAUUUAAGACUACGAUAAACUAGGUGCGAAACAGUUACUGCAAGAAGCAGCAACUACCAAGUAAUAUUUGCACAUAGGUUGUAAGACAUUAACCCAGCCAGUUCAAGAGUAAAUAGUCCGUUUGCCUGCCAACGUCAGAACAAAUGGAGCAAUCAUCUGACAAAAACAUGGAGCAUAAAUAAAACAGCAAGCAGGCAUGAAGAGAAGACAUAAAGCAUCAUUGUUCCCCAUCAGCAUAUAGUAUACCGACGACAACCAAACUACAAAAGGCCUACCUAUCUCUGUCAUUUCAAGGUCUAUUAAGCAGUGAGUUUAAGACACUGAAAUGCAUUGAUACAAGAGACACAUCUUGGUUCUUGAAACUCUGUAAAACAAAAACUCAUACUACUAACUAGUUAUGCCCAUGGUCAGCCACCGAACCCGAUGCUCCAAAACCAGAAUUGGCACUCUAGUGGAGAUGUCAUUUGUUCUACUUCCAUCACCCCCUGGGCUUAAAUACACAUAAUGUGCUCUUCUCUUAAGAACACCCCACCCCCCCCCCNNNNNNNNNNNNNNNNNNNNNNNNNNNNNNNNAAGAACCCCCCCCCCCCCCCCCCCUCCCUCCCUCUGGAAAAUCGGCCAAAAAGAGAGGCAAAACGAUACUAAUAAAACACAAUGAUAGCGGCUACUCCCCUUGCAAAUCUGAGGCUGUACCUCCAACUCCAGGCGGUCGCUCAACCAUUACAGUGUACAAAACCUAUCCCAAUCCCUUCCUGGUAAAGAAAUGUAUCCCCUAGACCUAGAAUCUCCCUCCCUCGAACUUGCCGCUGCGGUACAAAAUUAGGCGGUGAACGGCUGGGUUCUACGCAGGGAGGAACUCGGAAGUUGAUUGGAUGGAGCGGAGGGCGUACCAGGGGAGGCGGCGGAGCGGACCGAGCGGAGAGCCGGAGAACGGCGGCGAGGUCAGGUCGGUAGCGAAUCAGGUCUUCGCCUCUUUCGCGUUUGACUACGACGAUACUACAGUACUACUUUGUAUCGUGGCGUAAGAUAUGUAACGUAAACAUGCUGGCCCAGCGACGGCCCAUCAAGUCAGUGGGCGCUUAUAAACCAGACGUAGGGCAACCCAUCAAGUCGGGAAUUCCUACCUGCCGCUCGCUGCGGCAGGGGGUCGCUCCCAAGCACACGCAGGCGUCCUACUGGGCCUGCCCAUCUUUUUUUCUAAAGAAAAACGAUAAUUUCCUUUUUCAUUUCUUUUUUACUGUUUCUUCUUUCCUUUACUGCUUUUCCGCACCUUUUUUGGCUCCUUUUUCUUCCCGUUUCCUUUUUUAUUUUUGUAUCAAAACGAACAAAUGUUCAAUUUCUCAAUCUUUUUUUGAAAUACUAAAUGAUUUUUAAAUCAGAGAACAAAAAAUAAGGAGCUUUAUUUUUUGAAAAGUCAUGAACAAAUUUGGAGACGCGGACAAUUUUCUAAAGCAUGAACAUUUUUUGAAUCUUGAUAAAGUUUUUUGAAACAGAGAACAAUUUUGAAAAAACACAAACAAAUUGAAAGCACGACAUUUUUUGAAUUUUUAGAAGAAACAAAUUAAAGCACAAACAUUUUUUGAAUCUUGAGAACAAAAUUUUCAAAAAUAUAACAAUUUUGACAAACCCCAAACAAAUUUGAAAGCGCAAAUAAAGUUUUCAAGCACAAACAUCUUUUGAAUUUCUAGAACAAAUUUUGAAAUCAAAAACAAAAAUGAAAAAUCGUGAACAUAUUUGAAAGCGUGAAUAAAUUUUUUAAAGCAUGCCCAUUAUUUGAAUUUUGAGAUCAAAAUUUUGAAAUGAAGAACAAUUUUGAAAAACUCCGAACAAAUUUGGAAGCGCGAACAAUAUUUUCAAGCACAAACAUUUCCUGAAUCUUGAGAACAAAAUUUUGAAAUGGAGAACAUAUUUGAAAAACCCCGAACAAAUUUGGAAGCGCGAACAAUAUUUUCAAGCACAAACAUUUCCUGAAUCUUGAGAACAAAAUUUUGAAAUGGAGAACAUAUUUGAAAAACCCCGAACAAAUUUGGAAGCGCGAACAAAUUUUUAAAGCACGAACAUUGUUUGAAUUUUGAGGAGUUUCGAAACCAAUAACAAUUCUCAAAAAUCCUGAACUAAUUUGAAAGCGCAGACAAUUUUUUAAAGCACGAACAUUUUUUGAAUAUUAAUAACAAAUUUGAAUCUCAAGAAGAAAAUUUGAAGAAGUUUUCAAGUUGUGUACAAAUUUUGAGAAAAGAGAAACAUUCUCCAUAAAACAGGAACAUUUUUAUAAAAAAGUGAAAACAAUAACAUUUUCUGAAAACACAGACCAAUUUAAGAAAAAAUGAACUUUUUAAAAAAAACGAGCAAUUUUUUUUAAUACGAGAACAACUUUUGAAACACGAACACUUUUAAAAAUAUGAACACAUUUUGAAAGCAAGACGAAUUUUUGAAGCGCAAACAAUUAAAUAUAAAUAUUGAAAACGGGAACGUUUUUUGAAAUUCAAAACAAAUAUUAGAAAAUGUCAAACACAAAUAUAGGAAAAGGAAAAAAGGAAUAAAAGUGAAUGAAAUAAUGAAUACCAAAACAAAUAACAUUUUCUAAAAUUCGAAUAAUUGUUCUGAAAAUGUCGAACAUUUUUUUCAAAUCGCGAAAAAAAAUAGAAUUUAGAAAUGUUUUUGAAAAAUGGAAUUUUUUUACAAUUCCGAUUUUUUCUAUAAAAUUAAGAACAUUUUCUGAAUUUCAACAACAAUUAUCAAACAUGAACUUACUUUAAAAAAUAACCAUAGAAAAAAUGAGAAACAGAAAAAAGGACAAAAAAAGGGGGAAACGAAACAGAAAAAAGGACAAAAAAAAAAGCAAAAGAGGAACUGCCUGCAGAGGGAGAUGGGCCUCAAUGUGGUGAUUAAAGUAAUUAUAUUUCCAUUCCUCAAUGUGGUGAUUGAAAUAAUUAUAUUUCCAUUCCUUUGCUCACUUUUUUCCAACUGUUACAAUUAUCCUUGAUACCUAUAGAAAAGAUACAUUGGUCUAAAGAGUUUUGUGCAUUGUAAUAUUUGCACACAAUGUGUCUUCGUACCCACAGUAUACUAGGAUAUGAUUCCUGACUUGUUCACAUGCCACAAAUCUAAUUUUGAUUGUUUACAAUUAUCGGUGUUAAUGAUGCUUGUUCUUGUAAUUGACAUAAAGAAAGAAAAAUAUUAGUGUAGAUUCAUUGAUCUUAGAGUUCAAGAUUUAUGUUAGAAAUUGAAUGUGUCCUCGUUAAGAGGAGUUAAUCGUGUCCUUGUUGGGUUCGACACUCUUACUCAUCGAAAGGACUACGAUAGAUCCCCUGUAAUUAUGGGUCAUCAGGGACCCACAUGAACGUGGGUAGGCCCCACACCCCUAGUCAAGGUGCACCAAGAUCCCCCCUUAGAAGGAAUAAGAUCAUAUCCCGAAGGGAUAAGAUCAAGAUCCCUAAAAAAGGGGGAUAACAAUCGGUGGGGAAGGGAAAGGAUGGGACUUCUUUCCUCCCACAUUUGCCAACGCCCCAAUGGACUUGGAGGGCAAGAAACCGACCCCCUCCACCCCUAUAUAUAGUGGGAAGGCGCAUGGGAGCUUAACCCUAGCCCCUGGCGCAGCCCUCCCCCUCCUACACCUCCUCCUGCUCCAUAGUGCUUAGCAAAGCUGUGCCGGAGAACCACGAGCUCUACCGCCACCACACCGUCGUGCUGCCGGAGUUCUCCCACAACUUCUCCUCUCCCCUUGUUGGAUGAAGAAGGAGGAGACGUCCCCGGGUUGUACAUGUGUUGAACGCGGAGGCGCCGUUCGUUUGACGCUUGGAUCGGAUCUUCUGCGAUUUGGAUCAUCAUGAGUACAACUCCAUCAACAGCGUUCUUUGCAACGCUUCCGCUUAGCGAUCUUCAAGGGUAUAAAGAUGCACUCCCUCUCUCUCGUUGCUAGCAUCUCCUAGAUUGAUCUUGGUGACACAUAGGAUUUUUUUUGAAUUAUUACUACGUUCCCCAACAACUACCGCCAAAGAGUAGUAGUAAAAAACUACUACCACUCUUCCUACGGUACUAACGCUGGCACUAGCGGUACUACCGCUGUAAGUGCAUCUAGUGCGCCUUAGUGAUUUUGGUGGUUUGAAGACUUAUAGGUUAAGUAUCUAAUGUGUUUACGAGUGUACACAGGAUCUAUAAGUCACUGAGGAGUUUGAAAUAUUUGAGGAAUAUCGACCCCUAAAAAUGUAUAUCUUCGGUUGAAGAAAUUGGUCUAAAGCUGAAAAAUUGAAUCGCGAAGAAUCCGCGAUGAAAUUGAUAUUCCUCAUGAAGAUAUUGAAAUUGAGGAAUUCGGUGUGUCCUAAAGAAAAUCAUUCUGAAGACUUUGAAGCAUGAGGAUUUACUCUUUCUGUUUUAUUUUCUUCACACUUGAGUAAUAGGAACACCGUACUGUUAAAGGGGGUCGAAGUUACACUCUGGAAUGAAUUUCUUCAUGAUGCUCAACCCAAGCCUAAUCCUACCAAAAGCCUCAAGUGAGGAAUACGAGUGACAUGAGGACUCUCACAGUUGAGGGUUCCGACCGUUUCGAUAGCCACGCCACAUCAUUGGUCUUAUCCACACCAACGGUCAUAUUAUUUAAGGGCAUUAGUGUCAAAUCAUGUCAGGAUGCUCCCAGGCUAUAAAUAGCCGCCCCCACAACCAUUAGCUGGUUGGCUGCUCUGUUAGAAACUGACACUUGUCAUAAGAGCAACCCAAUUCCUCAGAGUCUUCGAGAGAAAUUUAUCAGUGAGGAAAUACCCCAAACACCAAACCACAAACUUAGAACCAAGUGAUUGAGCAUCACUGAAGAAGUUGUUCGUGUGUGGUACUGAAGCCUUUUACCUUUGAGGACUGUGCAUCCUCCAAACGGUUAGGCGUCAUGGUCUAGAGCAAUCGAGCAGUCAAUUGUGGAUCGCCGGGUGACCAAGUUUGUGAGGGUUUGGAAGUCUGCCCUGAAGACUUACCACGAGUGUUGGGUGAGGGCUGUGUGUUCUUAGCCCAAGGAGAAUACGGUAGGGACUGUGUGUCCCGGGACUGUGUGUCUUUUGGUUUCAAUACCAAACCGCUCCAAACCAGAUGUACGACUGUCAUAGCAGUUGGAACUCGGUCAUCAACUACUGUCUUCGCUGUGAAACGGAUUCUAAUUCCUCAACCCUUUACAUUCCUCAGAUUAUGUGUUGAUGACUUUCACUGUGACUGUUUGAAUAAUUUGCUGAAGACUUUCUCUGAAAUUCCUCAACCCCAAAUUCUUCAAACUAGUUAAUCCUCAUCUAUUUUCUGCCUGCCUGCUCACUGUGCAAUCUGUUUUCACAUUCCUCACACUGAAAAACUAUUGUUGUGAAACUUUGCACUUCUGAUCCUUUACUGUUUCCAAUGUAAGUUAGUCAUUAGUGAGGAAUUUCGUCAAAAGGAAUUUCCUGAGUAAUGAAAUUCUAAAAAUCUCCUAUUCACCCCCCUCUAGUCGAUAUAACGCACUUUCAACCGCUGGACACAGAAACUGCCAUAACUUUCGCAUAUGAGCUUCGAAUCAAAUGAACUGCAAGCACUGGGAGCUCGAGACAUUACUGAUCACGAAGUUGUGAAGAAACUGCUAAGAUCUUUGGAUUCUUCAUUUGAUACUUUAGUACUGAUGAUUCAAGAAAGACCAGACUACAAGAUGCUUGAUCCAGCUGAUAUACUCGAAAGACUCAAUACUCAUGAAUUCCAUGUAGAAGAAAAGAAAGAUCUAUAUGGACCAAGCUAUUCUAGACCACGUGCACUGAAGACUAGAGCAAUUUCCUCAUCUGAGGAAGAAAAUUCGGAUGAUAGCAUUGGUGACCCUGAAGAAUUUGGACAGGAGCUUGCAAUGCUCGUGAGGAAAUUCCAGAGGUUUACACGACGUGGUCAGUUCGGUAAAUCUUCAAGAAGAGACAUGAGGAAAUCAGAAUCUUCAUCUGAGGACUACAAGAAAAGAACCUGCCACAAAUGCAAGAAAUCAGGUCAUUACAUUGCUGAAUGUCCCCGUUGGGGAAAGGAAUCAAAGAAGAAGAAAUACAAGGAUGACAGUUCUGAUGACUCGUAGAAGAAGAAGAAAUCUUCAAAAUCCUCAUCUUCAAAGCCCUCAUCGCACAAGAAGACUAGUUUCAGAAAGGCUCGGGCACUUAUUGGCAAGGAAAUGGAUUCCGAGGCAGAAUCAGAGGAAUGUGAUGAAGAAGAGGGUUCUGAUGAAGACUCAGAAUCCGGACAGGCUAGUCUUGCACUUGCAACCACUUUCGUGAGCAAGUCAAUCUUCAACCUUGAAGAAGAUGACAACACCAUCCACAGUGAUGACUAUGCUGAUGACUUUGCUCCAACCUAUUGCUUCAUGGCAAAAGGUUCAAAGGUACCGAAUGAUGCUUCCUCCUCUGAUUCAAGUGACUCUGAACCUAAUGAUUAUAAAAAACCCAGUUACAGUAAACUUGCUAUCAUUGCCACUAAACAACAAACUGCCCUGGAAAAGCUUCAGAAACUGCUAGAUAGAAGUGAUGAUCUGUUGAAUGAUGAAAUGAAUCUUACCCAAAUCCUCACUGAAGAUGUGAAAAGUCUUCAGUCUAGAUUUGAUAAUCUUCAAGAUCGUUAUGAUACCCUCCUCGCUGAUCAUGAAAAACUUUCCUAUGAAUUUAUUCAAAGGAAGCUUGAUCUAGAGAAGUUGAGGAUUUCUCAUGAUGAUCUUCGUAUAGAAAAUGAUUCAUUUCUAGCUCAACAGAUCAGCGCUGCUCAAGCUGAAUUCAUUCCUCCAUGUCUUAAAUGCAUUGAAUGCGAAACUGCUAAUUCUUCACCAGAAUCAUCAAAUGCUUCUAUUGCUACAAAUUCUUCAACUGCACCUGUAGUGUCACUUGAGGAAAACACAAAUGUUACUGAUGAAAAUGCAGGGUUGAAGGAAUUGUAUGUGACAGGCAUAUACAAAAGCCUCAAAGGACAUCAAACCCUUUGUGAUGUUCUCAAAAAGCAGAUCUUGAACAGGAACCCGAGGAAAGAAGGAAUUGCCUUUGAGAGGAAAUUAAAUGCACAUGGAUCUUAUUGGAAACCUGAGCAGUAUCCAAAAACCUCAUGGGUUGCUGCUACUGGGCCUCCUUUUGAUCCAUCCAAUCUAACUGGCUUUUCAUGUGAAUUAUCCUAUUCCUCACAUGAGUCAUUUGACUCCAACUAUAAACUGUUCAAAUAUCAAUCUGGUGAAGUAUUUGCUCGAUAUGUUGGAACUAACUGCAGGAAUGGCCCUCCUUUGAGGAAAAUCUGGGUUCCCAAAAGUUGUCUUGAAAAUCUUCAGGUGAAUGUCCUCAUGACACCACCAAUGAAGAAUCUGAACCCCAGAUCAAAAUCCUCAGGAGGACCAAAGUCUUCAAGAGGAUCAAAAUCCUCAACUGAUCAAAAUUAUGCUCAUUCCCGUGCUAAUACUUCUAACAUGCAGGGAAACUACAAGGAAUAUGAAUAUGAGCGUUACUCUUCAAAUCAUUAUGUUCGUAAGUCCUCAAACCAGUUCUCUGCAUAUUCAUAUGAGUACUUUAACCCCCCUACUGUUAAGAGAAGUGCAUUAGCUUCAAUGCCACCUUUUUCAUAUGGUACUCGCAGGAUGAUGAAUGCUUUACCACCCCUUCAGAUGUGGAUGGUGAAGAAAUCGAACUAAUCACUUCUGCAGGUCAGGUCUCCACUUGAAAAUCACCAUCUGAAGAAUUUGCUGGAGACCUGAGGAAAUGCUUGAUAGGACGCAAGCUAAUAUUGAUGAAAUAGAAAUAUUUCACACGUCUUUUUUAAUUCUGUUAUGAUGAAAUUCUUAUCUUAUGAAAUUGAUAUCAUAUUCUUCAAAUCUGAAGUGUAUGAGAUGGUAAGCUGUACUAAUUCAUCUACAGGAUGACAAACCCAAGAAUACUGUGUGGGUUCUUGAUAGUGGCUGCACCCAUCACAUGACUGGUGAUAAAAGCUUGCUGAUGAAUAUGCCACUAACUCCAUCACCUCUGAAGCAAAUCACAUAUGCUGACAAAGGUAAAAGCAAGGUAUUGGGACUUGGCAAAGUGGCUAUUUCCAAGGAUAGGCAUAUGGACAAAGUGAUGCUUGUUGAAUCCCUUGGUUUUAACCUCAUGUCAGUCUCGAUGCUUUGUGAUCUUGAUAUGAUUGUUAUCUUUGGUAGAUAUAGAUGUGUAGUCUUCAUGGAAUCUGACAGAUCCAAAGUCUUCGAAGGUGUAAGAAGAGGGGAUUUGUGCAUUGUUGAUUUCUCUACAAGUCCUCAACCAGCCACUUGCUUACUAGCAAAGACCUCAGAAGGAUGGGUGUGGCACCGAAGACUAGGUCAUGCAGGCAUGAGGAAUUUGCACACGCUUGCGAAGAAGAAGCAUGUCAUCGGCAUCGAAUCAGUCAAAUUCCUCAAGAAUCAUCUCUGCGGUGCAUGUGAAUCUGGGAAAAUGACCAGAUCCAAGAAUCCCUCGAAGACUAUCAUGACCACUACACGUCCCUUAGAAUUGCUUCAUAUGGAUCUAUUUGGACCUACUCACUAUGCCACACUAACCAAUGCAGCAUCUUUAUAUGGCUUCGUCAUAGUUGAUGAUUAUUCCAGAUAUACAUGGGUGCAUAUCAUCAUAUAUAAAACUGAAGUGCAGGAAAUCUUCGAACGAUUUUCUUCAAGGGCCUCGACGAACUUUGGCAUCAAGAUCAAACAUAUCAGGAGUGAUAAUGGAAUAGGGUUCAAAAACACUGGUCUCGAUGAUUAUCUUGAUGAACUUGGUAUUACUCACGAAUUAUCUGCUCCUUAUAUUCCUCAGCAGAACGGUGUCGUCGAGAGGAAGAACAGGACUCUGGUUGAGAUGGCAAGAACUAUGCUUGAAGAAUAUCAGACUCCUCGUCGCUUUUGGCCUGAAGCAAUCAACACUGCAUGCCAUAUCAUCAACAGGGUAUAUCUUCACAAAUUCCUCAAGAAAACCUCAUAUGAACUCAUCACUGAUAAGAAACCCAAUGUAAGUUAUUUCAAAGUCUUCGGUGCAAAAUGUUGGAUUAGAGAUCCUCACCAUAGCUCAAAAUUUGCACCUAAGGCACAUGAGGGUUUUAUGCUCGGUUAUGGAAAGGACUCGCACACCUACAGAGUCUUCAACAACUAUCACAACAAAGUUGUUGAGACUGUAGAUGUGCGGUUCGAUGAAACUAAUGGCUCGCAAAGAGAGCAAUUGCCUUGUGAUCCAGAUAAGUUGUCUCCUGAGGAAGCAAUAAAGCUCAAGCCUACUGAAGACAUUGUUCCCACUGAGGAAAUUGAUGAAGAAACCAUCCCCAUCACUGAUGAAAAUCAAGAAGAUGCUCUUGAGGAAAUUGCUCCAGAACCUCUUCCUCAGCCCAGACGAAAUCCUCAACCAGCUCAUCCGAGGAUUGCAAAUGAAGUAGAACUUGACAAAAUCCUCAACGACAUCAACGCGCCAGGUCCUCUCACUCGCUCAAAAGCUUCACACUUAGUUAACUUUUGUGGGCAUUUUUCCUUUGUAUCUAUCACAAAACCCUCAAAAGUUGUUGAGGCUUUCUUGGAACCGGAGUGGAUCCAAGCUAUGCAAGACGAACUUCUUCAAUUCAAGCUGAAUGACGUAUGGGAGCUAGUCAAACGACCAGAUCCUCGCAAGCACAACAUCAUCGGAACAAAGUGGAUUUUCCGAAACAAGCAAGAUGAGGAUGGUCAAGUGGUGAGGAAUAAGGCAUGACUCGUAGCCCAAGGCUACAUCCAGGUUGAAGGAAUAGAUUUCGAUGAAACUUCUGCACCUGUUGCUAGACUUGAAGCUAUUCGAAUACUACUUGCUUAUGCUAAUCAUCAUAACAUCAUCUUAUAUCAAAUGGAUGUGAAAAGUGCAUUCCUCAAUGGUAAGCUUGAGGAAGAAGUAUAUGUUGCUCAACCCCCAGGUUUUGAGGAUUCAAAGAAUCCAGACAAAGUAUUCAGACUCAAAAAGGCGCUCUAUGGUCUCAAGCAAGCCCCUCGGGCAUGGUAUGACACAUUGAAGGAAUUCCUCAUGAAGAAAGGCUUCAAACCUGGUUCACUCGAUCCAACUCUUUUCACUAAAUCCUAUGAUAAUGAGCUAUUUGUGUGCCAAAUAUAUGUCGAUGAUAUCAUAUUUGGCUGUACUGACAAACGAUACAGUGAUGAAUUUGCUUACAUGAUGAGUGAAAAAUAUCAGAUGUCUAUGAUGGGGGAGCUGAAAUUCUUCUUAGGUCUUCAAAUUCGUCAACAACGCAAUGGAAUCUUCAUAUCACAGGAGAAAUACCUCAAGGAUGUUCUGAGGAAAUUCGACAUGCAUGAAUGCAAAGGUGCCAAGACUCCAAUGCCUACAAACGGACACCUCGGCACUGAUGAAAAUGGUAAAGAAUUCGAUAAACAGGUAUAUCGCUCUAUGAUUGGCACUUUAUUGUAUCUGUGUGCAUCUAGGCCAGAUAUAAUGCUUAGUGUUUGCAUGUGUGCACGUUUUCAAGCAAAAUCGAAGGAAUCACACCAUAAGGUUGUGAAAGCAUAUUCUUCGAUACUUAGCUCACACACCAACACUAGGAUUAUGGUAUCCCAAGGGCUCAAAUCUUCAUCUGGUAGGGUAUUCUGAUUCUGACUAUGCUGGUGAUCAUGUGGAUCGCAAGUCAACUUCUGGUACAUGUCAUUUCCUCCGAAGAUCACUAGUUUGCUAGUCCUUAAAGAAGCAGAAUUGUGUAUCACUCUCCACUGCCGAAGCUGAGUACAUUGCUGCUGGUUCAUGCUGUGCUCAAUUACUAUGGAUGAAGCAAACCCUCAAGGACUACGGCAUCAACAUGAAGAAUGUGCUUCUCUACUGCGACAAUGAGAGUGCAAUCAAGAUUGCAUACAACCCAGUACAACACUCGAAGACCAAGCACAUCCAGAUUUGUCAUCAUUUUCUUCGGGACCAUGUCCUCAAGGGCAAUAUCCUCAUCGACCAUGUGAAGACUGAUGAUCAACCGGCAGAUAUCUUCACUAAGCCCUUGGAUGAUAAAAGGUUUUGCAAGUUGCGGUGUGAGCUAAAUAUCUUAGAAUCUUCAAAUGUUUUGUAAAAACAUGCACACAUCCUAACACUUAUGCAAAAUUGAUGACUUAGAUGUGCAACACAUGAUGAAUCGAUUUUCUUCAACUAAUGAAGAAUAUCACUCUGAAUGUGGAGAAAUCAACGAAGAAAUUGAUUCUCACGGCCCUACGACAAUUGUACGCGGCGUCUGUAAUCAACAUUCUUAUAUGGUGGGUCACGCCACCGCCCAACGUGAAAUUCCUCAAGUUGAUUUUCUUCAAAGUUCCAUUUCCUCAAAACUUGUUUUUCUUCAAAAACACUUGAUGACUUUCGUUUAACUACAUAGACUGUGAUUUCAAGUCCUCAACAGCAUUCACUUAUAGCUAUUUCUUCAAGUUGAUAUUUCAUCUAAGUGAAUGUGAUCGGACCCUACUUUCCCUCUAUGCUAUUCUCAUCCAGUCUAUUCGAUUCUUCAUAUGCGUUCUGCUUGAAACUUUGUUCAAAAUCCUCACUGCGUCCUUGUCAGCUGAUGAUUUUGUAACUAAAAUCCUCAACUCUUCAAAAAUGUUUCUUUAAUGCACAGUAACCGAACCCCACUUCCCACGUUCGGAUAACCACGAUCUCCACUAUCUCCACCGCCUUGCUCGGGAGCUACACGUGUCCUGCGGAGACGUAGAGGCAGGGGUUGUUUGGUCCGAAUUCUUCGCGCCGACAGUAACUGCCUGGCUAUAAAUAUGUCCUUAUACCCCUCGGCAAACACUUCUUCGCUCCAUUGCUCUCCUGCUAUAGCAAAAGCCCCGAACCCUAGCGCCACCGGUGGAAGUCUCAUCGCCGGCAAAGAAGAGCUUCACUGCCUCGACUUCUCCGUCGCCGGAACCACGCCGGAGUCGGACCAUCUUCGUCCGCCGCCGCCGUAGACGUCCUCUGCUGCCGGGUUAGGGCGCAUUGGACACGCACCGAAGAGCUUCUCUCUGCAACUCUUCUCUGUUCUUCGUGCGCGCCAUCUAGGGUAAAUAAAAACCCUAUUUUUACAGCAAGUUAGAUCUACUAUUUUACAUCUCAGAUGUGAAAUCUAUUUUUCCUCAAGAAUCCAUAUGCAUCUGAUUCCUCAAACACUGCCUAUCACCACACUGUUGAUGAACUUCACUAAGCAUCUAAGAUUUUCACGAGAUUCCUCAAUUGUGUGAAUUUUUGGAUCUGUACAACUCUGGAACCCAAGAACGGUAUGCUUAGGCAAAUUCCUCAACCACUGGUUAAAUGUUAGAAUUAUGCCCUAGAGGCAAUAAUAAAUAUAGUUAUUAUUAUAAUUCNNNNNNNNNNNNNNNNNNNNNNNNNNNNNNNNNNNNNNNNNNNNNNNNNNNNNNNNNNNNNNNNNNNNNNNNNNNNNNNNNNNNNNNNNNNNNNNNNNNNUAAAGUGAAUGCAGCUGUUUCUAAUGCAUAACCCCAAAACGAUAACGACAAAUCAGUAAGAGACAUCAUAGAUCGCACCAUUUCUAAUAAAGUACGAUUACGACGUUCGGACACACCAUUACGCUGUGGUGUUCCAGGCGGUGUUAACUGCGAAACAAUUCCACAUUGUCUUAAGUGAGUACCAAACUCGAAACUCAGAUACUCACCCCCACGAUCAGACCGUAGGAACUUGAUCUUCUUGUUACGAUGAUUUUCCACUUCACUCUGAAAUUGCUUGAACUUUUCAAAUGUUUCAGACUUGUGCUUCAUCAAGUAGACAUAACCAUAUCUACUCAAAUCGUCAGUGAAGGUGAGAAAAUAACGAUAUCCGCCGCGUGCCUCCACGCUCAUCGGACCACACACAUCGGUAUGUAUGAUUUCCAAUAAGUCACUUGCACGCUCCAUUGUUCCGGAGAACGGAGCUUUAGUCAUCUUGCCCAUGAGGCAUGGUUCGCAAGUGUCAAGUGAAUCAAAGUCAAGUGACUCCAAAAGUCCAUUAGCAUGGAGUUUCUUCAUGCGCUUUACACCAAUAUGACCCAAGCGGCAGUGCCACAAAAAUAUGGCGCUAUCAUUGUUUACUCUAACUCUUUUGGUCUCAAUGUUAUGUAUAUGUGUAUCGCUAUCGAGAUUCAAUAUGAACAAUCCUCUCACAUUCGGUGCAUGACCAUAAAAGAUGUUACUCAUAGAAAUAGAACAACCAUUAUUCUCAGACUUAAAAGAGUAACCGUCUCGCAAUAAACAAGAUCCAGAUAUAAUGUUCAUGCUCAACGCAGGCACUAAAUAACAAUGAUUUAGGUUCAUCACUAAUCCCGAUGGUAGGUGAAGUGACAUGGUGCCGACGGCGAUUGCAUCAACCUUGGAACCGUUUCCUACGCGCAUCGUCACUUCGUCUUUCGCCAGCCUCCGUCUAUUCAUCAGUUCCUGCUUCGAGUUGCAAAUGUGAGCAACAGAACCGGUAUCGAAUACCCAGGCACUACUACGAGAGCUGGUUAAGUACACAUCAAUAACAUGUAUAUCAAAUAUACCUGAUUUUUCUUUGCCCGCCUUCUUAUCUGCCAGAUACUUGGGGCAAUUGCGCUUCCAGUGACCCAUACCCUUGCAAUAGAAGCACUCUGUUUCAGGCUUAGGUCCAGCCUUGGGUUUCUUCGGCGGAUUGGCAACAGGCUUGCCGCUCUUCUUCGAAUUGCCCUUCUUGCCUUUGCCGUUUCUCUUGAAACUAGUGGUCUUGCUCACCAUCAACACUUGAUGUUCUUUACGGAGUUCAGACUCUGCGACUUUCAGCAUCGCAAACAACUCGCCGGGAGACUUUUUCAUCCCUUGCAUGUUGUAGUUCAACACGAAGCUUUUAUAGCUUGGCGGUAGUGAUUGGAGGAUUCUGUCAGUGAUAGCUUCUUGCGGGAGUUCAAUCCCCAGUUCAGCUAGACGGUUUGAGUACCCAGACAUUUUGAGCACAUGUUCACUNNNNNNNNNNNNNNNNNNNNNNNNNNNNNNNNNNNNNNNNNNNNNNNNNNNNNNNNNNNNNNNNNNNNNNNNNNNNNNNNNNNNNNNNNNNNNNNNNNNNGCCGCCAGGAUAGCCGAUUCUCUCUAGCGGACUGAUUCAGAGGCUCGUAGAGGAAUCGAGCAGAUCCGCGCCUUGUUGCUUAUGGUGCAAUAGCAAAAUUCGGCGAUCUCCCAGUCGCACAACAGGAUCCACAACAGUUCUGUUCAAGCGAACACGCAUCGGUCGGUUUUCAGUCCCGACUCUCACCAGCGAUGCAGAGGGGGCAGCCGUUCCAAGGACCCGAGUCGGAAUACGCUUCCCAUUUGGUCUCAUCCCGAAGAUCGUCGCCGUUCGCGUACUCCUCCAUGGUGUGGGCCUUACGGGCCCCGGCAUUACGAUGAUCGUCGUUCGGGCGGUGGCGCGCAUGAUCCAAGGCCUGAUGCAAGAGGGUACAUCACCCAGACGAAGGUCGACAAAAGUCGAGCCCACCGUGAUGGUCAGGAUAGAGACCAUCCGAGUGGAAGCAGGACCGUUGUUUCUGGCCCCGAGUGCUUCAGUCGGGCCAUCCGCUCAGCUGACAUCCCUCCCAACUUCUGAUUGGUGACGGGAAUCAGCAAAUUCACAGGAGAGUCCAAACCAGAAACUUGGUUGGACGACUACAGAGUGGCGGUCCAGAUCGGUGGCCGAGAUGACCAUGUCGCCAUGAAAUAUCUCCCACUGAUGCUCGACGGUUCGGUGCGAGCUUGGCUAAACUAGUUAGCUCCGUCAAGGAUCUACAGUUGGGCAGAUCUGGCCCGAGUCUUCAUAAGGACCUUUCAGGGAAUGUGCAAACGCCCUGCUGGUCUCGUGGAGCUUCAUCACUGUGUCCAGAAGCAAAACGAGCCCUUGCGCGAUUUCAUCCAGCACUGGACGACCCUCUACCACAAGGUGGAGAAUGUCACAGAGCACCAAGCAGUCUGUGCCUUCAAGGUAGGCGUUCAAUACAGAGAUCUGUACCUGAAGUUUGGUCGGACAGGCGACAUCUCCAUGAGCAAGAUGAUGGAGAUAGCCACGCGCUAUGAAAUGGCGAAGAGGAGGACCACAUAUGUAGCGGCAAGCAUAAGUCAGUCGCCGAUGGAGAUGGGAACAACUGUUGGAAGCAGAAGCAGAAUUCUCAAUCCACUCCGCAGGCAUAGGCAGCAGCCGUCACAAAUGCCAAGUUCAAAGGCAAGGGGAAAGCACAAUACGCCCCCAAGAAGAGGCAAUCAGGAAAUUCCAUCCUAGAUCAACCGUGUCCAAUCCACACGAAGACAGAUGAAGAAGGCAAUGUCAUAUUGUCGAAGCAUACCACUCGGCAGUGUCGCCUCCUGAUCCAAGGAUUCGGCGAAGGACAACCGAGUGAGAAGGACACCGAGCAGGAUGAUGAGGACAAGGAGGAUCCGUUCCCCCUAGUCCAUGCAACAUUGAUGAUUUUUGUUGAUGUGGAAAGCAAAAGUCGACUGAAGCUGGUCAACAGGGAGGUAAACAUGGCAACCCCAUCCACUCCCACGUUCCUCAAGUGGUCACAGACUGUGAUCACCUUUGAUCAGUCAGACCACCCAGCACACGUACCCACCCCAGGGAGGCAGGCUCUGGUCAUCGACUCGGUGGUGGAAGGAGUUAGGCUGCGCAAAUUCCUCAUGGACGGCGGCAGCGGCUUNNNNNNNNNNNNNNNNNNNNNNNNNNNNNNNNNNNNNNNNNNNNNNNNNNNNNNNNNNNNNNNNNNNNNNNNNNNNNNNNNNNNNNNNNNNNNNNNNNNNACGCACACACUACAUGUACUAUGUUCGUUUCGUUUCAUUUUCUUUGUUSCGMRAARGGGUUAGGUUUUGGGAAGUUUGGGGUACCGUUGGGGUCGUUAGUUCGAGGAUGUAGGUGGGCAACGGGUASGCACACGGCAUGCACACAGGAGAUGCGGUCACUGAUCACGUAAGCUACUUGGUGAGUUUCUUGCACGAGGCCGAUGAUUUUCUUGAAGAAAAACUCAACGACCGAUGACGAGAGCUAGGGAGCGAGUGCGACACCAUACAACCGCGCAACUUCUGUAUGAUGCAAACCUUGACCUUUCGAAUCAUCUAGUUGCCUUCCCCGCCAAAAUUCUAGUUAAAUUUGGUGCGAUCACCCUCGGAGUGUGAAAAAACGGGUUCGGUUUGGUCCUAUGUUCAAACUGAAAAUGGUUGGAUGCAGAGAAGCAGCCAGGGAUUGGAUGGUUGGAUCAUCUCUAACAGAUUCCUUAAAAAUGGUUAAAUUUCAUAAGAAAUAACGUACAGUUGUCAACAAACAUCUCAAGUAACUAUUUUCAAACCGAAUAGUAGCCCGUAAAAGUGGUUAAAUCCGUAAACCCCUGAGCAUCCACCCCAUGACUCCUUUAUUUCCAUAUUUGGAGGCAGAACUGAGGAUACCUUAAAAACCGGUCAACGUUACUCCCUCCCUCCGUCCACAAAUAAGUGUACAUAUAGAUUUUUACUUAGUUAAAUUUUUUAAAAUUUGAUCAAUUUUAUAGAAAAUAGUAGCAACAUAUAUGGCAUAAAAAUGAUAUAUUUAAAAACUUCAUGUAAAGACGAAUCUAUUGAUACUUAUUUGAUGUCAUAAAUGCUAACACUUUUCUCAAUAAAGUUAGUCAAAGUUUAACUAGUUUGACUGACAGAAAAGGAAAAAGUACACUUAUUACCGGACGGAGGGAGUAUAUGAUAAAGGAUUUUGUCGUGCGCACACGGGCUCCGAUGACCUUUCACCAUGAAACUCGCCAACUCGAGCAGCUACGGACUAGCUAGCUACGCUAGAUCGAUUUGUAUUUGGCUGCUUCGUGUGCUGUUCGUCGGCUUUUUAGAGCGAGCUAGUUGAUCGUGGAUAUGAACGAGAUGAAGAAGAAGACUGAGACAAAUAUAAGCAAAUAUUCAGUUUUAUAGUUUAAGUUUGAGAGGUUUGUUCGACCGCAACUCAAAUCGAUUCUUAAAAUGCGUUUUUUUCUGAAUUGAAAACCGCGCUUCAGUUUCACGAUUUAAGGGUUCUGCUGGAGGUGCUCUUAGGAGGGUGUCCGUGCCCCGGGCUAUCACUCAUCAAACCUCGGGUAAUGGGCAUCAUUUAAAAAAAUAAGAGACGACAUUCUGGUGUGAGUGCACGCAUGCAUGAGUCUACAUUGUAACAUGUGUUUAAAAAAGGAUUUUGUUUUAGAGGAUUUGAUGCUUAUGAUCACCUAGUCAAGGAAAUGAGUUAAGAAACUCGGUAACUGGUUUCUUGUAAUCGGUGUUUUCCAUGUUGAUAAUUUUCUUCGUCGAAAAUUAAGAUAAUUUGGAAACAAAAAUAGGAAAAGAGUUUCUUUUGUUGAAAACUAAGAUAAUUUGAAAUGAAAACUAGGAAAAGGUGAUUUAAAAUAUAAAAAAUAUAUGUGACCAAAAACAAGAAACCGGUUGUGUAUAAAACUGCAAGCUUACACAAGGAAUUUUGACUUGAAAUUUAUCGGGAAACAUCCAUAAUCACAUAAGAACUCUAAAAUGUUUAGACAAAUGUGAAAUAUUCCACAUAAGGAUUCGAAAACUUUUGAGAACUUUUAGAAGUAAAAAAAUGUUUAUAUCUAGUCCCAUGUUCAAACUAAAAAUGGUAUGAUACUAUACAUUGGACAAAUGAAGUAGAAAAGUAAGGAAAAAAGGAAGUGUUGUAAAUAAAUAGUCGAAAACUUAAGUGAUUCGAAGGAAAACAAUGAAAAGUAAUGUUAAAAACUUACGGAUAUACAAAAGAAAAAAAGAAACCAAUUGUGAAAAAGGUAUACAUUCAUAGAAACAUGAUAUUUCAAAAUUGAAAUUGUCUUGGAACAUCUAUAACAUCAAAAAUUCUGAAAUACCGUUAUAGUGUAAAAAAACUGUCUGCAUGGAUUGUUUUUGUCUAGUUCACCUCUGUUUUUAGAAUAAAUGUGUCUGUUAGGCAUAAAAUUCAUAGGAGAUAUUAGCAUUUCUUUAAUAUUUUUAGCUCCUUGUUUGUUUUCAAGUUUCUUGUUUUCCCUACUUAUUUUUGCUAAGUGUAUGUCUUUUGCGUGAAUAAGUGGAUGCAACCUCGUCAUAAAAAACAUUACUUGGGUAAUUAACCAACUUCUAGACAAUUUGACAAUUUUUUAUGCUUUCAAAAACAAGAAURGCCAAUACAGAGUUAAGAUAUGACGAGGUUAUUUGGGUAAUUGACCAACUUUUAGACAAUUAUUUAUGUUCUCGGAAACAAGAAGUUGAGAUAUCAAACGGUUAUUUGGGUAAUUGACCAACUUUUAGACAAUUAGUUUGACCCACAAAAUAAUCGCCAAAAUAAGGGUUUGCACGGAAAAUGUUGCCACACAAGACCCUGCAAACGCGUCCGACCCGCAAACUUUUUUGACGGGCGCGGCAAAAUCCCCUCCCGACCCACGAAAACACAGGUUUCCGCCUCGCCUAUAGGAUGCCCUGCAUUCGAGGGAAGCGGUUAGCGGGACGGACAUUUCAGCCCACGCCCUUUCCCCACCCCCUUCCGCUGCCGCGCCGCCAUUAGUUCCCCCUAUCCCCCGUCGGUGAUUCUGCCGAAUCUACCGGGUGAAUCGCGCCGCUGGGCACCACUGUCCUCUUCCGCCAAGCCGCUACAUCGACUCCCCCGGAUCCGCCAAUCCACGGCGGCGGGAGAGCCACCGCCGGAGAUGGACUUGAGCCUGUGCGAGAAGUUUCCGCUCGAGGAUUCAUCCGAUUCGGACGACCCAGAUGUUGAGACGAUGUUCUCAUAUUUUGCCAGCAUAGUUUGGUGAUGGCCCUCGCCGUGAAGGAGCACGAAGACGAGCACCGAAAGAGGCGGCGUGGAUCAACUAUUAGUCGUCUUUGCAUUCCUCGAAAUAGCCAUCUCGGCAACGAGAUGCUGAUGCGAGACUACUUCGCCGCCAAUCCAACAUACCCGCCGCACCUCUUCGGGAGAAGGUACCGUAUGUGCAGAUCCAUGUUUGUUAAAAAAAGUUAAGCUUGCGAGGCUAAUUGUCGAUAUUUUACUCAAAGAAGGAAUGUCGCGGGCUUGAAGGGAUUUAGUGCAUAUCAGAAAAUCUCGGCAGCUAUGCGGGUAAUUUCAUACGGCGUUCCGGCUGACUAUACCGAUGAGUACCUUCGCAUUGGGGAAGACAGUACAAUUGAGUCGGUGCGUAGGUUUGCCAAAAUGAUUGUCCGUGUCUUUGAUCCUGAAUAUCUUUGGGCACCGAACGAGGAAGACACAAAAAAUUGAUGACAUUUAACGAAAGAAGAGGAUGGCUCGCAUGCUAGGAAGCAUAGAUUGUAUGCAUUGGACUUGAAAAAAUUGUCCAAAAGCAUGGCAAGGAAUGUACCGUGGCAAGUCUCGUGAUGCAACAAUUGUGCUAGAGGUCGUACCUUCACAUGAUUUAUGGAAUUGGCCUUGAUUUUUUGGUAUGCCGGGUACUCUAAAUGAUAUAUAUCAAUGUGUUGCAACGGUCUCAUUUGCUUGCUAGGCUUGCUAGUGGUGAUGCUCCAGCUUGCAAAUACACUAUCAAUGGGCAUGAAUACACAAAAGGAUACUAUCUUGCAUAUGGUAUAUACCCUUCUUGGUGCACAUUUGUGAAGAGCAUCAAAGACCCCCAAAGUAGAAAGGAGUCUGAAUUCGCAAGGGCACAAGAGGCAGCCUGAAAAGACAUUGAAAGAGCAUGUGGGGUUUUGCAAUCUAGGUUUGCCAUUGUUCGUGGUCCUGCUCGAUUUUGGGACAAACGAUCCUUAAAAAACAUCAUGACAUGUUGUGUUAUUCUUCAUAAUAUGAUUCUCGAAUAUGAGAGAGGCAUGAACUUGGAGUUCUUCUAUGCAAUGUGGACAGUCGUGUCAAACCAGCUAGAGACCCUAACCGAAUUAGAGCUUUUCUUUAGACCUACAGUGUAAUGACCCAGAUGUAACCCUUGCCUUUUGUGGAACCCUUUCCUAUUUUGGGUCAUGAUGGCAAUGCUAUAAGAGUAUCAUUUCAUGCGGUCAUUUCAUGUCAUCACUUUUGGAUCAUGCCAUUCAUUGCAUUCAUGUUUUCUCCUUUGUGUUGAUGUUGUUGCUUGAUCCUUCAUUAGUGGAGUGUGUUGUGUUUGAUGUGGUGAUGUCUUCAAAACAUUGUUGCUUUCAACUAGGUUUCAAAAACCCCUUCUUCUUUAUUUAUUCGAGCUCAUGUUUAACUUGCUCAAAAUCUAUUUUAGAAAUGUUGUUCAUUUUGUAGUUUUACCUUGUGGAUGAGGGAUACUGUUUUGGGGUUUUUAAAACUUAAAUGAAUGGGAGUUUAAAUACAAAAACAGCAUAGAUUUUCUGUUUUUGCAUUUAAAUUACUUGCUCUAAAAAUCUGGUUUUUAUUUUUUUUAAAUAGGGCAUAAUUCCCUUAUGCCCUGUGUGCUUUAGUUUUUAUUUUUCCAAACACUCUGGAGCACUGGGCUUUUUGCUUUCUGCUUGGUUUAAAUAAAAUAGGAAAAACCCUUGUUUUAUUUUUUUCCUAUCAUGCGCUAGAUAGGAGUGGGCUUCCUUUUCUCUCCCUGGGCCGCCUCCUUUUCUCCCGAGCCAGGCCCACCCGGCGACCCUCUUCUUCCUCCUCGCUGUCGUCACUGUGUACGACGCCACCUCCACCACUGAUCUUCCUCCCCCUUCGAUCUGGUGGCUCCAAGCAUGCCUCCCGAGGUCAUAUAAGGAGCCGGUGCCUCCCUGCGUCUAGGGUUCUAUUUUCCCCUCCUCUUCUCCCUCUAGCGCCGCCAGGAACAUAGCAGAGCAUCCCCAUCGCCAUGGAGACCUCCGGCCCGAGCUCGACGCCGGCGUAGCCUCGACCUCGCCUCCUCCCCGAAGCUGCCGGGAGCAAGAGGACUGAUGUCCCAUAAGCGUAUGGGAUCGCAACAGUUUUCGAGGGUAGAGUAUUCAACCCAAAUUUAUUGAUUCGMCAAGACGGGAAGCGAAAGAAUAUUCUCAAGUAUUAGCAGUUGAAUGUGUCAGAUUCAACCACACCUGAAAGAUUAGUGUCUGCAAGCAAAGUAUCAGUAGCAAGGUAGUAUGAUAGCAACGGUGCCAGAAACGAUCUGUUGACGGCAGACUAUUCCUAACUGUUGUAUCAAUGGCGCUAGCACGUUGACGGGGGAUUAUUCUUUAGAAGAAUGCUUCCCCGGCUACGGCUCCAACAAAGUCUUGCAACAAGUAACAGCGGAGUAGCAAGGAACAGCAGUAGCAGCAUCAACAAAGUAACAAGUAACAGCAGUAGCAAAGUGGCCCAAUCCCUUUGUAGCAAGGGACAAGCCUAGGCAAAGUAACGUAGCGAGGACCAGUAGUAAAAGACUCGUACGCAGUGGAUCGGUGAUGGAUGAGUAUGACGGAUGUGAUUCAUCAUGUAAUAGCUAUAACACGGAGAGAUAUGUAACUAGCUCCCUUUCAUCAAUCUAAUGUAGGCAUGUAUUCCAUAUGUAGUCAUACGUGCUUAGGGAAAAGAACUUGCAUGACAUCUAUUUUCCAUCCCUCCCGUGGCAGCGGGGUCCUAAUGGAAACUACGGGAUAUUAAGGUUCUCCUUUUAAUAAAGAACCGGACCAACGCAUUAACACGCAGUGAAUACAUGAACUCCUCAUACUAUGGUCAUCUCCGGGAGUGGUUCCGGCUAUUGUCACUCCGGGGUUGCCGGGUCAUAACACAUAGUAGGUGACUACAACUUGCAAGAUAGGAUCUAAAACACACAUAUAUUGGCGACAACAUAAUAGGUUAAGAUCUGAAAUCAUGACACUCGGGUCCUAGUGACAAGCAUUAAGCAUUGCCAAGUAGUAGCAACAUCAAUCUAGAACAUAGUGGAUACUAGGGAUCAAUCCCCGUCAAGAACUAACUCGAUUACAUGAUAGAUCUCAUCCAACUCAUCACCUUCCAGCAAGCCUACGAUGAGAUUACUCACGAACGAUGAAGAGCAUCAUGGAAUUGUCGAUGGAGAAAGGUUGAUGAUGACGAUGGCGACGAUUUCCCCUCUCCGGAGCCCGAAACGGACUCCAGAUCUCCUCCAGAUGAAGAACAAGAUGUGGCGGCGCCUCUGUAUCGCAAAACGCGAUGAAACCUUCUCUUUGAUUUUUUCCAGGCGAAACGGAAGAUAUAGAGCUGAGUUUGGGGGCGGUGGUGCCACGUGGGCCCCACAAGCCUGCACGGUGAGGCCUAGGGGGGUGGCCACGACCUGUGGACUUGUGGCCCACUCGCACGCCCCCUCAGGUGGAUUUUUGCGCAUGUAGUUUUCUUUUAUUCCAGAAAAAAUCUCCGUAAAUUUUCAGGACAUUCCGAGAACUUCUAUUUCUGCACAAAAACAACACCAUGGCAAUUCUGCUGAAAACAGCGUCAGUCCGGGUUAGUUCCAUUCAAAACAAGCAAAUUAGAGUCCAAAACAAGGGCAAAAGAGUUCGGAAAAGUAGAUACGACGGAGACGUAUCAAGGACCCAGGAGGGGUUCCAUUUUUGCUCAGAGCGGGAGCAGGGUCUUCUUCCACGACGUCCACGACGGCCGGCGUCCUCGUCAACUCCGGCGGCCUCUCCGUGCAGCAACACGUCGUCGGGCCUUCUUCCUCCACGGCGUCUCCCUCUCCUCGGCACCCUAGGUGACGCGCGGUUCCCUUCUCCUUCGUUUUCCCCUUGUAGCCGAGGCCCCGCCGUCGGUAGCCAUGUCCGCCGGCGAGCUGCUCGUGCAUGCGGUGCGUCUGUAGUGGUAACACCAGGAGUAGUUACAGGUUCAGCAGCNNNNNNNNNNNNNNNNNNNNNNNNNNNNNNNNNNNNNNNNNNNNNNNNNNNNNNNNNNNNNNNNNNNNNNNNNNNNNNNNNNNNNNNNNNNNNNNNNNNNCCUUUUGGGGCAUCGCCCUCAAAAUAGGAAAGGGCCGUAUCUUAGUCGUUACAUACAGGGAGAUUGAAAAUGCAAACACCGAGUGCCAACUUCAGAAGGAUCUCAUUGAGCACCAUUGACAAAGGGCUGGGCAUUAACUCAUUCUAUUUUUCCAUUCAUUUUCAUUUCAUUCAUGUGUGAUUUGUAUACGGGACAAGUUUUGUAUUCAUGUGUGACAUUCAUUUAGUUUGCUACGGUGAUUUGAAUAAUUAUUGUACUUUAGAUGAUUACUGUAUUUGUAAUAUUGGCAUUUUACUUAUAUUGCACAUGAUGAGUAAUUCUAAUUUACGGGGUAUCCGGGUUGUGGGUCGACGCGGUGGCGCCCAAGCAGACCCCGCAUUGACGAUCCGUAUAAUAGCAUCUUCUGUGAAUAUCCUUUUAUACGUAUCCAUUUUGGAGGGUCUACCUCUAUCCACGCCCGCGUCGAUCCGCAAAAACCGUUUUUCAUGAACUGUAAAAUAUUUUUUGCGGAUCGGCAUUAUACGAGGUCUUCUGGAGAUGCUCUUAGCGCAUCCUCAAAGCGAACCCUCAAAGCUUUGGUACACCGUGUCCGAACCAGUUUUGCUAACCUUUAUAAUUUAAUGGGACUUUAAACGUCUGCAGAUUAGUGUGGACCCCGAUUUUUGACAAAUUUAAAACAGAAUUGAGGAAGCUAUGGUGAAGUCGCGACAUGCAAUUGACCAAUAAAAAGCCCCUUCACGGUCCUCCUCUAUUUUCUCUCUAGUCACAUGCAUGACCACCCUCCUCCUCUCAACCGAACACAACAACACAAUAUCCCACUACAUGCAUAGUCCUCUUCUACUCUCUCUCUCUCUCUCUCUUCUUUCAUAUUAGUAAUUAUAAAUAAAAWUAAAACAACUAWUGCUAAAAACUAACUUAKUUGCGGUCGGUUACCGGUUUAGGGGUCUAGUGUUAGGAAAUCGUACCCUUAAGUAAAACGAAAUUAGNNNNNNNNNNNNNNNNNNNNNNNNNNNNNNNNNNNNNNNNNNNNNNNNNNNNNNNNNNNNNNNNNNNNNNNNNNNNNNNNNNNNNNNNNNNNNNNNNNNNCGGGUUUGGGGGGGUUCCGGGGGGGUAGGGGGUCGGGUAGGGGCCGGGAAGGGAAGGGAGGACCGGGACGGGUACGGUACGUUAGUGUAGUGGUGUGGUGUGGUGGUGURGGGGGGGGGGGSGCGGACGGCGCGACCGCACGUUGUGGUGUGGUGACGCACACACUAUGGGGGGUUCGUGCUCUGAUCUGCGGCUUGGAUACGUAAGGGGCUUGCGUUGGCGUGGCCUGGAGCGCAAGCAAGAGCCUGGAAGCGGCGGGGAAAAGGGGGCGAUGCGUAGCGGGGCCGUUGACCUUGGGGCUUGGCGCGCGCCUUCGGUGGUGCCCUCUCUGGUCUGGUGCAGUGGGUGGGCUGGCGCGCGCCGUCUUCCUCCGUGCGGUUUUCUAGAGCGCGUGCGAUGACGGUGACGGUGACGGUGACGGUCAUCCAACACGUGCAUCAAACAUCCGCGAACUGAUGAGAAUGCACCAAUUAACCCGUGGUUAGAUGGAUAGAAAGGCAGUGGUAUUACAGUCCAUCAGGCUUGAAGUCUUGAUACUCGUAUUUCUGAAUUUAUUCGGUAUUUUUUAUGACGCGUAUUUAAUGGAAGAAGACGUGACACUUGCUCUAUACUUUGUUAAAAAAAGAAGAAUUGAUAAGGCGUAUGAAAUCUCACAAACCAAAAACAAAACGAUAGACAAUCCAGAUGUAUCACGUGGACGUCCGACAUCUUUGCCCACAAUAAACCCUCUUUCUCGUUCCGCUUUCGCUAGAAGUAAGAACCAGUAAUAUAUUAUGAUUUCUACGUUUCAAGCCUUUCUUAGCUAUUUUAUUAUUCAACUAACAAUGUUCUUAUUUUCUUGGAUCAUAUGUGUAAGUGCAUCUAGUGCCAUCCUUUGUUGGUUUUGGAGUAUUGAAGACAAGCGUGAUUGAGGGAUUUAAUGUGUUUGUGAGAGUUCACAGGAUAACACGGAUAAAAAUCCAUGAAGAUUUGGUUUAACCAUCGAAGACGACCCCUAAAAAUAUCUGAAGACACUGAAGAUGGUUGAAGGCAACAAUAGGUGCGCGAAGAUAUAUGCAUGAAGCUAAUGAAACGUGAAGACGAAGUCUUUUGGUAGUUCCUUUUUUUCUUUCCUUAGUCAUAUGAACCAAUAUAUUGUUAAGUGGGGUCUAAGUGAUUGAAGUCAGAAUCUGACGUGAUGCUCAACCCAAACACCUAUGUCUUCGAGUGAAUACAAUAAGAAGAAAUCUCUUUCAGAGUUGGUUGAGUCAACAUUGCUUGUACCCCAAGUAAUGUUGCCAUGUGAGUCGUUGAAAUCCGACCACUGUGACAUGUGUCGGUUGGCCAUUGACCCAGGAUAAUUUCGGUCAUAUCAUGUCGGGUUGCCUGUUGGCUAUAAAUAACCCAUCGCCUCCAUCAUAAGUUGGUGGCUACUCAGAGUUAUUAUACAAUUAUUGUCGUUUUGGAGCGUCCCACUUCUAAGACAUUAAGAGCGAGAGCUAUCGUGCAAGGAUAAACCCAAACACCUAGAGCCAGAGUGUUUGGAGCAUCAUCGAAGUCAUUCUGUUCUAAGAGAACUAAAGAUUUAUUACCCUUAAAGACUGUGAUCUUCUAGCCUGUUAGUCGUCGUGGUCUAGAGCAUCCAAGAGUUACUCUGGAUUAUCGGGUGAUCGAGUUUUUGAAGGUUUCAAAAGUCUACCUUGAAGAUUUACCAGAGUGAUUGGGCGAGGUCUAAGAGACCUUGGCUCAAGGGGAAUAAGGUGAAGAUGAGGUCUUUAUAGUUAAAUCUCAGCCUCCCCAACCAGACGUACAGUUGUCACAACAACUGGAACUGGUCCACAAAUCUUGUGUCUUCGUCAAGCAGUUGGUUCUAUCUUUUCACUCCUUUACAUACUAUUUAGUAUUGUGAAGCCAUUGCUUGCUUAUUCUUGUAUGAAGACAUUCACCAAAGACAUUCAUCUGAUUUGCAUUUGUCUUCAUACUGCUCAAGUUUAUCUUUGAUUCACUUUUGUUUGCAUGAUGAAUGUGCCAUACUUGCCUGAAUGUCUCCGUAUCAUUACAUGCAUUGCCUAGCUCCUUGACUGUAAUCCCUAACUGAUCCUAAGUCAUUUUUGCUCACUUCGAAGACAUUUACUGGCUCAACUAGGCUUAGGGUUUUGGUUUGGAACUGGGGAUUUUAAAGCGGCGGGACGAUUUGAGCAAUUUCUUUCUCUUGUAGCUACCUAGGACAACCACUUCUAAGGAAUGGAGCGGGGUAGGUGAAGACAUGCAUGUUCAUGAUCGACAUAAAUUUCCAUCCGUAAAGUUAUGAGCUUUUGAAUAUGGUACAGUGGGAGGAAGUUUCAGCCACAUACAAAGAAGGUUAGCCUAACUCCCGCCGUUAGAAAUCAUUUGUUAUAUUAGGUGUGAUUCAAACACUUGAUUUUUUAUUUUGGAUGUGAUUAAGACACUGCCAUAGUUCUACGACUGUGAGUGCCAUUUUAAUUGAUAUCAAUAGCAAUACAUUAUAAAAGUUGUUUGGAUCACAUGGUAGGAAUUCACAAGAUGACUAUAAAACAUAACAUUUAGAGACUUGGUGCAAAAAACAUUUUUCACAAACUCUUUUAACUUGAAGGCAUAUUGACAGUAAGAAAACUAUAUGCUACAUGAUUUGAGAUGACAUAAAAAUUUACAGCAUGGUAGUAGACACGAUGCACUUCAUUUUAUUCAACAUGAGCAAAGGUGUUAGAGCAUAUUUAUCCAUAUGUGGUUUUGGUAAUUGAUGACAAUCUCUAUUGUCCAUAACGCUUUUGUGUACUAACCCAUGGUCUUCAUGAGAGUUCUAUGUGGGAUUAGGUGUGUUCCCAUGGGUUUGCGUUAAGAGGAAGAUCUCAUUCAACCUAUGAAGGAUGACAUCAAGUGGUGAUCGUCAUCAAUAUUGCGGUGUGCAAGUUCAAGUGGAGCAUCACGAAGAUAUCAUGCUUGAAGCUUGUCGUCCAUUCUGGUGGCAAUGGACUUGUAAGAUGUGCUGAAGAGUGGCUCACCCAUAGUGAGUAUGGGGAGCAAUCAACUAGUCUUCAUCAAACCAACACAAUCGACGAAGGUGGUCCAUCUUGAGGAAGCCAAGAUCAUCGUCAUCUAGCUCAAGAGGACUAGGUGCAAGGUACGGGUUUGCCCUUGAUAGGUUUAUCUAUUUUAGGAUAGAUUACCAUAUGUCAAGGGGGGCUCUUAAGUGAGUAGCUUGAUCGUAUCGUUCGUUGAGAGCUCAAACCAUUUGCAUCCUUGCAUUAUAUUUGUUUGUUCUUGUUUCGUGUUUCUCUUUGUGAGUUUUAGAGCUUAUGGUCAUCUUCAGGACAAGCUCGAGUUCAUCGAAAACGGACUCCAUAUGCAUCUUCUAUGAUGUUUUCGAUGUUGGAAGUUUUUGUCGGUUCUUCAUUCAUAGAGGUCUCACAUCUCUAUAACAUUGGCAUUUUCACAACUGCAUGUUCUUAAGAUUUCCAACAAGCUUGAUAGCUCUUGUCGUCCAGAAUCCACUGUUUUGAUAGCUCUUGUCGUUCUGAAUCCAACAAGCUUGAGUUUGCUCGAUUCGAAGCUCAUAUGCGAAAGUUAUGGCAGUUUUUGUGUCCAGCGGUUGAAAGUGCAUUAUAUCGACUAGAGGGGGGUGAAUAGGAGAUUUUUAGAAUUUCAUCACUGAGGAAAUUCCUUUUGAGGAAAUCCCUCACUGAUGACUAACUUACAGCGGAAACAGUAAAGGAUCAGAAGUGCAAAGUUUCACAACAGCAGUUUUUCAGUGUGAGGAAUGUGAAAACAGAUUGCACAGUGAGCAGGCAUGCAGAAAACAGAUGAGGAUUAACUAGCGUGAAGAAUUUGGGGUUGAGGAAUUUCAGAGAAAGUCUUCAGCAAAUUCUUCAAACAGUCACAGUGAAAGUCAUCAACACAUAAUCUGAGAAAUGUAAAGGGUUGAGGAAUUAGAACCCGUUUCACAGCGAAGACAGUAGUUGAUGACCGAGUUCCAACUGCUGUGACAGUCGUACAUCUGGUUUGGAGUGGCUUGGUAUUGAAACCAAAAGACACACAGUCCCUACCGUAUUCUCCUUGGGCUAAGAACACACAGUCCUCACCCAACACUCGUGGUAAGUCUUCAGGGCAGACUUCCAAACCCUCACAAACUUGGUCACCCGGCGAUCCACAAUUGACUGCUGGAUUGCUCUAGACCAUGAUGCCUAACCGUCUCGAGGAUGCACAGUCCUCAAAGGUAAAAGGCUUCAGUCCCACACAGGAACAACUUCUUCAGUGAUGCUCAAUCACUUGGUUCUAAGUUUGUGGUUUGGUGUUUGGGGUAUUUCCUCACUGAUAAAUUUCUCUCGAAGACUCUGAGGAAUUGGGUUGCUCUUAUGACAAGUGUCAGUUUCUAACGGAGCAGCCAACCAGCUAAUGGUUGUGGGGGCGGCUAUUUAUAGCCUGGGAGCAUCCCGACAUGAUUUGACACUAAUGCCCUUAAAUAAUAUGACCGUUGGUGUGGAUAAGACCAAUGAUGUGGCGUGGCUAUCGAAACGGUCGGAACCCUCAACUGUGAGAGUCCUCAUGUCACUCGUAUUCCUCACUUGAGGCUUUUGGUAGGAUUAGGCUUGGGUUGAGCAUCAUGAGGAAAUUCAUUCCAGAGUGUAACUUCCACCCCCUUUAACAGUAUGGUGUUCCUAUUACUCAAGUGUGAAGAAAAUAAAACAGAAAGAGUAAAUCUUCAUGCUUCAAAGUCUUCAGAAUGAUUUUCUUCAGGACACACCGAAUUCCUCAAUUUCAAUAUCUUCAUGAGGAAUAUCAAUUUCAUCGCGGAUUCUUUGCGAUUCAAUUCUUCAGCUUUAGACCAAUUUCUUCAACCGAAGAUAUACAUUUUUAGGGGUCGAUAUUCCUCAAAUAUUUCAAACUCCUCAGUGACUUAUAGAUCCUGUGUACACUCAUAAACACAUUAGAUACUUAACCUAUAAGUCUUCAAACCACCAAAAUCACUAAGGGGCACUAGAUGCACUUACAGCGGUAGUACCGCUAGUGCCAGCGUUAGUACCGUAGGCACAGUGGUAGUAGUUUUUUAUACUACUCUUUGGCGGUAGUUGAUAGGAAUACCAUGAAUGAUGUUGAAGAGGAUAUUCUUCAUGAGGCCUACACCAUCUUCUUCAUCAUCGUGUCCCUUGAUUGGUGCAAGGACGCUGCAGAGGAUUCUGUAAACAGAUCUUGGUUCAUACUUGAGUUCGUGGACAGGAAGGUUUUUCUCGGUGGUUGCCCUUUAGCCAAAGGCUUCAUGAGGACUUCCAUCAUCCUGUUGGGCAGCUCACGCUCACCAUAAAGCUUCACAACCUCCUCUCAGGGAAUUGAUACUGGCAAUUCACGCAGUAGCUCAGUAGCAGGAGCCUUGUAGUGAGUGUUUUGUGUCAUCCAGUCAAACACCCAGGUGUUAAUGUCUUCAGGAUCGCCAGAUAUGUGAAGAGUGGCAUAAAACUGAAGAAUGAGCUCACUGUUCCAAUCAGAGAUGUCUGAGCACAUUGGUAGCAGUCCAGCUUCAUGAAGAACAUUGAGGACUGGAACCAGGCAUGGAAUUGCUUCAAGUUCAACAUGAGGAAUAUGCUUGUGCUGGAAUAUCUUAUUUCUUCCACACAGCACAGAGGCAUAGUAAUUCAGCUGUGUCCUCGUCCAAAACUUCAGAUGUCUGAUUUGAGGCUUGUCAUAGGGAUUUUCUCCAAUGAAGUACAUGUGUUCUUCAAAGAAGUUCUCCUUUUGAAACUUUGGACGCUUGGAGAAUGGCUGAUGCUGCAUUGGCUGAAGAUUUUGCUGAGGAACUGGAGGGGAGACAACAAUUGCAGUCUCGGGGUUGAGCACGACGAAAGCAUUGUCUUGGUCAAGUGCAUUUUCCUCAACAUUGUCCUCAGGGUGAGGAAUUUCAUCAGCUUGGGCUUCAGGCUGAGGAGCUUGCUCAUGUUGUGCUUCAUGUUGAGGAAUGGGAUCUGGCUGGGCAUCAGGCUGAGGAAUUUCAUCAACUGGAGCAUCCUGUUGAGGGUUCUGCUCCGGAGAAGGAAUAGGUUCAUUCUGAGCCUCAGUGUGUAGAUCUUGUUCAGGUGGAGGAGUUGGUCAGCCUGUUCCUCAUCUUGAGGAUUUUUCUCAGGACUUUGAAUUUCAUCAGCUUGAGGAAUUUCACUUUGCUCUUCCUCAGCUUGCGUGGUGACAGAGACAGUUUCAUCAGCUGGUGCAGCUGAUCCUUGUACAGUGUCUUCCUGAGGAAUGGAGUGCUGAGGACUGUCGUCAAUACGAAUUUCUUCGUCAGUAUGUUCCUCAGAUGCAGCAUCCUUCAUUUCCUCAUCUGGCCCUUUCUCUUGGUCUUCAAAGGUGACCAUUUCAUAAGAUGGAGCGACGUUGAGGGGCACAGGGUCCAGUGGAGCAUUAUCUUCAAGCGCUUUGAGGCGCUUGGCCUCAGUGUUUUCUUCUGCUGAGGAGGCCUUUCUCUUUUUGGCUUCCUUCUCCGCGGCCCUCGUCUUCUUCACGUCUGAUGCAGACGGAGUCAUCUUCUACACCUUUGAAGCUUUUGGUGAAGGGGUUCUCUUGACAAAUUCAUCAGCUGGCUUUGAGGAACCAGCUGGAGUAGAGUCAUCAGCUUGCUUUGAUGCAGCAGCUGGAUCAGGGGCAGUCUCACCAGCUGUAGUAGAUUCAUCAGCUGGAUUUUCCAUGGUGAUUUCUUCAAUAGCCGGUACAUCCACACGGCUUUCUUGGGGUAUUUCCUUAGCUUGAGGAGUUUCAUCAGCUUGAGGAGAUUCAUAGGCUGGCUCUUCAAUCAGAGGCUGAGGAGUUGGUACUAGAGGGGCAGCCUUCUUGUUGUAGUCGUCAACAACUUUAGUGGCAAAUUUGAUGAAACUGCUUUUGAGACUCUGACGACCAGAUAGCUUGGAGUACUUAUCUGUCAAAGUCUUCAACUCGGCCUGUGUUGACACCAGUGCAUCAGGCGUCAAGUUGAGGAGAUUCUGCUUGAGGAAUUUCUCCUUUUUGAGCUUAGCAACCUUGGCCUGCUUGGCUUGCUGCUCCUUCCACUUGGCCUCAUUGAUGAAUGUGGCCACCAUGUGGCUGAUGCCAGGGGAAGUUUCAAAUCAUCAAGCGGAGUGUUAGGGUCCUCAUACCAGAUGUUUAUGUAGUCUAGGAGGACCUUGGGGUCCAUGGCCAGAGGAAUGGCGCUACCAGAAGCUUGAGCUACCCUCUCCUGCUUGUUUCUGAUUAUAGCUUGCAGGGUUUCAUCAUCAUAUUCAUCACUACCCUCUGAUGCAGACGGGACUGUGAUGAUUUUACUGGGGCUUGGUUGUGUUCCUCUUUCAGCAGACACCUGAGUCUUCAUAGGAGGUGGUGCAGACUUUGUCUCCGAGCUGGUUGCAGUUGGGAGUGAGGACCUGGAGGUAGCGGGCAGUGGCUUCAUGACCGGCUUCAGUUCUGGUUUUGAAACCUGUGGUGGUGCUGAGGAUUUUGGCGCUGAGGGUUUUGUAACUGUUGCCUGAGAUGGUUUCUCUUGAGGCUUUGGAGCCUUUGGUUUUGACGGCACAGACUUUGGUUGAGGAAUUGCUGAACCAGAGGUCUCAGCGGCAGAGGAAGUAGUUGCAGUUGAAGCAGUAGCUGAGGAUUCAUUGAAUUUCCUCACCGCAGCAUCUGCCUGCUUCUUAAUCUUAGCCAAGUGCUUGUCCUUUUCAUCAGGAUAGUCAUCAAGGGUCUUGAGGCUUGAGGGAUGUGCUACUUGAUGAGCCUCAAGUGGAGCCCGUUUGCCAGGAGGCUUCAGAGCGAAUUUCUUCGCAUACUUGGCAGUGACGAAUAUGUAUUCCUUCCACUCCUUUGCCCAUAGGCGUUCUAUCUUCUGAAGCCGAAUCUUUCUCUUUGCCAUUGUUUCAGAUUCAUCAGGUGUGCAAUAGUCUAAGUAAAUAUCCUCAGGGAUAUCCAAGGCUGUAUUCUGCUCAAGUUUCUUGCCUCCCUUUUGUUUCCUGUCAUCCUCCAUUUUCUUCAGCUGAGGAUUUUGCUGAUGAUAUUGAACUCUUGAGGAUUCUAAUGAGACUUGAAGAUUUUCUUCAAGAAACGCUGCAAAUGAGUUAAUGUGAUGAGAACCGAGAGAUUCAUCAGCUGACAUGUGUGUACCUGUGAACAAAGUAUAGUUGCGAGGAAUUUGGAGAGGUCAUAUGCUUUCUCAGAUUUGAAGAAAAUGAAAAAGUUUGACACUUGAGGAAUUUAAUGUUGGGGAACGUCGCAUGGGAAACAAAAAUUUUCCUACGCGCACGAAGACCUAUCAUGGUGAUGUCCAUCUACGAGAGGGGAUGAGUGAUCUACGUACCCUUGUAGACCGUACAGCAGAAGCGUUAGUGAACGCGGUUGAUUUAGUGGAACGUCCUCACGUCCUUCGAUCCGCCCCGCGAACAAUCCCGCGAUCAGUCCCACGAUCUAGUACCGAACGGACAGCACCUCCGCGUUCAGCACACGUACAGCUCGACGAUGAUCUCGGCCUUCUUGAUCCAACAAGAGAGACGGAGAGGUAGAAGAAUUCUCCGGCAGCAUGACGGCGCUCCGGAGGUUGGUGAUGACCUUGUCUCGGCAGGGCUCUGCCCGAGCUCCGCAGAAACGCGAUCUAGAGGAAAAACCGUGGAGGUAUGUGGUCGAGCUGCCGUGGAAAAGUCGUCUCAAAUCAGCCCUAAAACCUCCGUAUAUAUAGAAGGGAGAGGGGGGGCCUUGCCUUGGGGCUCAAGGAGCCCCAAGGGGGUCGGCCGAGCCAAGGGGGGAAGGUCUCCCCCCCUAAACCGAGUUGGACUUGGUUUGGUGGGUGGGAGUCCUUCCUUCCCUUCCCACCUCCUUCUUUUUUUUCUUUCUCUUUGAUUUUUCUUCCAAUGCGCAUAGGGCCCUUUUGGGCUGUCCCACCAGCCCACUAAGGGCUGGUGCGCCACCCUCAAGGCCUAUGGGCUUCCCCGGGGUGGGUUGCCCCCCCCGGUGAACUCCCGGAACCCAUUCGUCAUUCCCGGUACAUUCCCGGUAACUCCGAAAACCUUCCGGUAAUCAAAUGAGGUCAUCCUAUAUAUCAAUCUUCGUUUCCGGACCAUUCCGGAAACCCUCGUGACGUCCGUGAUCUCAUCCGGGACUCCGAACAACAUUCGGUAACCAACCAUAUAACUCAAAUACGCAUAAAACAACGUCGAACCUUAAUUGUGCAGACCCUGCGGGUUCGAGAACUAUGUAUACAUGACCCGAGAGACUUCUCGGUCAAUAUCCAAUAGCGGGACCUGGAUGCCCAUAUUGGAUCCUACAUAUUCUACGAAGAUCUCAUCGUUUGAACCUCAGUGCCAAGGAUUCAUAUAAUCCCGUAUGUCAUUCCCUUUGUCCUUCGGUAUGUUACUUGCCCGAGAUUCGAUCGUCAGUAUCCGUAUACCUAUUUCAAUUUCGUUUACCGACAAGUCUCUUUACUCGUUCCGUAAUACAAGAUCGCGCAACUUACACUAAGUCACAUUGCUUGCAAGGCUUGUGUGUGAUGUUGUAUUACCGAGUAGGCCCCGAGAUACCUCUCCGUCACAUGGAGUGACAAAUCCCAGUCUUGAUCCAUACUAACUCAACGAACACCUUCGGAGAUACCUGUAGAGCAUCUUUAUAGUCACCCAGUUACGUUGCGACGUUUGAUACACACAAAGCAUUCCUCCGGUGUAAGUGAGUUAUAUGAUCUCAUGGUCAUAGGAACAAAUACUUGACACGCAGAAAACAGUAGCAACAAAAUGACACGAUCAACAUGCUACGUCUAUUAGUUUGGGUCUAGUCCAUCACGUGAUUCUCCUAAUGACGUGAUCCAGUUAUCAAGCAACAACACCUUGUUCAUAAUCAGAAGACACUGACUAUCUUUGAUCAACUGGCUAGCCAACUAGAGGCUUGCUAGGGACAGUGUUUUGUCUAUGUAUCCACACAUGUAAAUGAGUCUUCAUUCAAUACAAUUAUAGCAUGGAUAAUAAACGAUUAUCUUGAUACAGGAAUUAUAAUAAUAACUAUAUUUAUUAUUGCCUCUAGGGCAUAAUUCCAACAGUCUCCCACUUGCACUAGAGUCAAUAAUCUAGCCCUCACAUCAUCAUGCGAAUUACAUUGUAAUAAAUCUAACACCCAUACAGUUCUGGUGUUGAUCAUGCUUAGCCCGUGGAAGAGGUUUAGUCAGCGGGUCUGCUACAUUCAGAUCUGUGUGCACUUUGCAUAUAUUUACGUCCUCCCCUUUGACGUAGUCGCGGAUGAGGUCGAAGCGUCGUUUGAUGUGUCUGGACUUCUUGUGAAACCGUGGUUCCUUUGCUAAGGCAAUGGCACCCGUGUUGUCACAGAACAAGGUUAUUGGAUUCAAUGCGCUCGGCACCACUCCAAGAUCCGUCAUGAAUUGCUUCAUCCAGACACCCUCCUUAGCCGCCUCCGAGGCAGCCAUGUACUCCGCUUCACAUGUAGAAUCUGCUACGACGCUUUGCUUGGAACUGCACCAGCUUACCGCACCCCCAUUAAGAAUAAAUACGUAUCCGGUUUGCGACUUAGAGUCGUCCGGAUCUGUGUCAAAGCUUGCAUCGACGUAACCUUUUACGGCGAGCUCUUCGUCACCUCCAUACACGAGAAACAUCUCCUUAGUCCUUUUCAGGUACUUCAGGAUAUUCUUGACCGCUGUCCAGUGAUCCACUCCUGGAUUACUCUGGAACCUACCUGCCAUACUUAUGGCCAGGCUAACGUCCGGUCUAGUGCACAGCAUUGCAUACAUGAUAGAACCUAUGGAUGAAGCAUAGGGGACGGAGCGCAUAUGCUCUCUAUCUUCAUCAGUUGCUGGGCACUAAGUCUUACUCAAUCUCGUACCUUGUAAAACUGGCAAGAACCCUUUCUUGGACUGUUCCAUUUUGAACCUCUUCAAAACUUUAUCAAGGUAUGUGCUUUGUGAAAGUCCUAUCAGGCGUUUUGAUCUAUCCCUAUAGAUCUUAAUGCCUAGAAUGUAAGCAGCUUCUCCUAGGUCCUUCAUAGAGAAACUUUUAUUCAAGUAAUCCUUUAUGCUCUCCAAAAACUCCACGUUAUUUCCAAUCAGCAAUAUGUCAUCCACAUAUAAUAUUAGAAACGCCACAGAGCUCCCACUCACUUUCUUGUAAAUACAAGAUUCUCCAACCACUUGUAUAAACCCAAAUGCUUUGAUCACCUCAUCAAAGCGUUUGUUCCAACUCCGAGAUGCUUGCACCAGUCCAUAAAUGGAUUGCUGGAGCUUGCACACCUUGUUAGCAUUCUUAGGAUUGACAAAACCUUCGGGUUGCAUCAUAUACAAUUCUUCCUUAAGGAAACCGUUAAGGAACGCCGUUUUGACAUCCAUCUGCCAGAUUUCAUAAUCGAAAAAUGCAGCUAUUGCUAACAUGAUUCUGACGGACUUAAGCAUCGCUACGGGUGAGAAUGUCUCAUCGUAGUCAACUCCUUGAACUUGUGAAAAACCCUUUGCCACAAGUCGAGCUUUAUAAACGGUCACAUUGCCGUCAGCGUCUGUUUUCCUCUUAAAGAUCCAUUUGUUCUGAAUAGCCUUGCGGCCCUCAGGCAGUACCUCCAAAGUCCACACUUUGUUCUCAUACAUGGAUCCUAUCUCGAACUUCAUGGCUUCUAGCCAUUUGUUGGAAUCUGGGCCCACCAUUGCUUCUUCAUAAUUUGCAGGUUCAUUGUUGUCCAACAACAUGAUUGACAAGACGGGAUUACCGUACCACUCUAGAGCAGCACGUGGUCUCGUCGACCUGCGUGGUUCGACAGAAACUUGAACCGGAGUUUCAUGAUCAUCAUCAUUAACUUCCUCCUCAACCGGCGUCGCAACGACAGAGGUUUCCCCUUGCCCUGCGCCACCAUCCAGAGGGAUGAGAGGUUCGAUAACCUCAUCAAGCUCUAUCUUCCUCCCACUCAAUUCUCUCGAGAGAAACUCCUUCUCGAGAAAAGCUCUGUUUUUAGCAACAAACACUUUGCCCUCGGAUUUGAGAUAGAAGGUGUACCCAACUGUCUCUUUUGGGUAACCUAUGAAGACGCACUUUUCCGCUUUGGGUUCCAGCUUUUCAGGCUGAAGCUUUUUGACAUAAGCAUCACAUCCCCAAACUUUAAGAAACGACAACUUUGGCCUUUUGCCAUACCACAGUUCGUAUGGUGUCGUCUCAACGGAUUUUGAUGGUGCCCUAUUUAAAGUGAAUGCAGCUGUUUCUAAUGCAUAACCCCAAAACGAUAACGGCAAAUCGGUAAGAGACAUUAUAGAUCGAACCAUCUCUAAUAAAGUACGAUUAUGACGUUCGAACACACCAUUACGCUGUGGUGUUCCAGGCGGUGUCAACUGUGAAACAAUUCCACAUUUUCUUAAGUGAGCACCAAACUCGAAACUCAGAUAUUCACCUGUUGGAGAACGUCGCACGGGAAACAAAAAUUUUCCUACGCGCACGAAGACCUAUCAUGGUGAUGUCCAUCUAUGAGAGGGGAUGAAUGAUCUAUGUACCCUUGUAGACCGUACAGCAGAAGCGUUAGAGAACGCGGUUGAUGUAGUGGAACGUCCUCACGUCCCUCGAUCCGCCCCGCGAACAAUCCUGCGAUCAGUCCCACGAUCUAGUACCGAACGGACGGCACCUCCGCGUUCAGCACACGUACAGCUCGACGAUGAUCUCGGCCUUCUUGAUCCAGCAAGAGAGACGGAGAGGUAGAAGAGUUCUCCGGCAGCGUGACGGCGCUCCGAAGGUUGGUGAUGACCUUGUCUCAGCAGGGCUCCGCCCGAGCUCCGCAGAAACGCGAUCUAGAGGAAAAAUCGUGGAGGUAUGUGGUCGGGCUGCCGUGGAAAAGUCGUCUCAAAUCAGCCCUAAAACCUCCAUAUAUAUAGGUGGGAGGGAGGGGACCUUGCCUUGGGGCUCAAGGAGCCCCAAGGGGGUCGGCCGAGUCCAAGGGGGGAGGACUCCCCCCCAAACCGAGUUGGACUUGGUUUGGUGGGAGGGAGUCCCCCUUCCUUCCCACCUCCUCCUUUUUUUUUCUUUCUCUUCGAUUUUUAUCUCUAUGGCGCAUAGGGCACUUGUGGACUGUCCCACCAGCCCACUAAGGGCUGGUGUGCCUCCCUCAAGGCCUAUGGGCUUCCCCGGGGUGGGUUGCCCCCCCCGGUGAACUCCCGGAACCCAUUCGUCAUUCCCGGCACAUUCCCGGUAACUCCAAAAACCUUCCGGUAAUCAAAUGAGGUCAUCCUAUAUAUCAAUCUUCGUUUUCGGACCAUUUCGGAAACCCUCGUGACGUCCGUGAUCUCAUCUGGGACUCCGAACAACAUUCGGUAACCAACCAUAUAACUCAAAUACGCAUAAAACAACGUCGAACCUUAAGUGUGCAGACCCUGCGGGUUCGAGAACUAUGUAGACAUGACCCGAGAGACUCCUCGGUCAAUAUCCAAUAGCGGGACCUGGAUGCCCAUAUUGGAUCCUACAUAUUCUACGAAGAUCUUAUCGUUUGAACCUCAGUGCCAAGGAUUCAUAUAAUCCCGUAUGUCAUUCCCUUUGUCCUUCGGUAUGUUACUUGCCCGAGAUUCGAUCGUCAGUAUCCGUAUACCUAUUUCAAUCUCGUUUACCGGCAAGUCUCUUUACUCGUUCCGUAAUACAAGAUCCCGCAACUUACACUAAGUUACAUUGCUUGCAAGGCUUGUGUGUGAUGUUGUAUUACCGAGUGGGCCCUGAGAUACCUCUCCGUCACACGGAGUGACAAAUCCCAGUCUUGAUCCAUACUAACUCAACUAACACCUUCGGAGAUACCUGUAGAGCAUAUUUAUAGUCACCCAGUUACGUUGCGACGUUUGAUACACACAAAGUAUUCCUCCGGUGUCAGUGAGUUAUAUGAUCUCAUGGUCAUAGGAAUAAAUACUUGACACGCAGAAAACAGUAGCAACAAAAUGACACGAUCAACAUGCUACGUCUAUUAGUUUGGGUCUAGUCCAUCACGUGAUUCUCCUAAUGACGUGAUCCAGUUAUCAAGCAACAACACCUUGUUCAUAAUCAGAAGACACUGACUAUCAUAGAUCAACUGGCUAGCCAACUAGAGGCAUGCUAGGGACGGUGUUUUGUCUAUGUAUCCACACAUGUAAAUGAGUCUUCAUUCAAUACAAUUAUAGCAUGGAUAAUAAACGAUUAUCUUGAUACAGGAAUUAUAAUAAUAACUAUAUUUAUCAUUGCCUCUAGGGCAUAAUUCCAACAGUCUCCCACUUGCACUAGAGUCAAUAAUCUAGCCCUCACAUCACUAUGUGAAUUACAUUGUAAUAAAUCUAACACCCAUACAGUUCUGGUGUCGAUCAUGUUUUGGCCGUGGAAGAGGUUUAGUCAGCGGGUCUGCUACAUUCAGAUCCGUGUGCACUUUGCAUAUAUUUACGUCCUCUUCCUCGACGUAGUCGCGGAUGAGGUUGAAGCGUCGUUUGAUGUGUCUGGUCUUCUUGUGAAACCGUGGUUCCUUUGCUAAGGCAAUGGCACCCGUGUUGUCAGAGAACAAGGUUAUUGGAUCCAGUGCGCUUGGCACCACUCCAAGAUCCGUCAUGAACUGCUUCAUCCAGACACCCUCCUUAGCCGCCUCCGAGGCAGCCAUGUACUCCGCUUCACAUGUAGAAUCUGCUACGACGCUUUGCUUGGAACUGCACCAGCUUACCGCACCCCCAUUAAGAAUAAAUACGUAUCCGGUUUGCGACUUAGAGUCGUCCGGAUCUGUGUCAAAGCUUGCAUCGACGUAACCUUUUACGGCGAGCUCUUCGUCACCUCCAUACACGAGAAACAUCUCCUUAGUCCUUUUCAGGUACUUCAGGAUAUUCUUGACCGCUGUCCGGUGAUCCACUGCUGGAUUACUCUGGAACCUACCUGUCAUACUUAUGGCCAGGCUAACAUCCGGUCUAGUGCACAGCAUUGCAUACAUGAUAGAACCUAUGGCUGAAGCAUAGGGGACGGAGCGCAUAUGCUCUCUAUCUUCAUCAGUUGCUGGGCACUGAGUCUUACUCAAUCUCGUACCUUGCAGAACUGGCAAGAACCCUUUCUUGGACUGUUCCAUUUUGAACCUCUUCAAAACUUUAUCAAGGUAUGUGCUUUGUGAAAGUCCUAUCAGGCGUUUUGAUCUAUCCCUAUAGAUCUUAAUGCCUAGAAUGUAAGCAGCUUCUCCUAGGUCCUUCAUAGAGAAACUUUUAUUCAAGUAACCUUUUAUGCUCUCCAAUAACUCUACGUUAUUUCCAAUCAGCAAUAUGUCAUCCACAUAUAAUAUUAGAAACGCCACAGAGCUCCCACUCACUUUCUUGUAAAUACAAGAUUCUCCAACCACUUGUAUAAACCCAAAUGCUUUGAUCACCUCAUCAAAGCGUUUGUUCCAAAUCCGAGAUGCUUGCACCAGUCCGUAAAUAGGAUCGCUGGAGCUUGCACACUUUGUUAGCAUUCUUAGGAUCGACAAAACCUUCGGGUUGCAUCAUAUACAACUCUUCCUUAAGGAAACCGUUAAGGAACGCCGUUUUGACAUCCAUUUGCCAGAUUUCAUAAUCGAAAAAUGCAGCUAUUGCUAACAUGAUUCUGACGGACUUAAGCAUCGCUAGGGUGAGAAUGUCUCAUCGUAGUCAACUCCUUGAACAUGUGAAAAACCCUUUGCCACAAGUCGAGCUUUAUAAACGGUCACAUUGCCGUCAGCGUCUGUUUUCCUCUUAAAGAUCUAUUUGUUCUGAAUAGCCUUGCGGCCCUCAGGAAGUACCUCCAAAGUCCACACUUUGUUCUCAUACAUGGAUCCUAUCUCAGACUUCAUGGCUUCUAGCCAUUUGUUGGAAUCUGGGCCCACCAUUGCUUCUUCAUAAUUUGCAGGUUCAUUGUUGUCUAACAACAUGAUUGAUAAGACGGGAUUACCGUACCACUCUGGAGCAGCACGUGAUCUCGUCGACCUGCGUGGUUCAACAAAAACUUGAACUGGAGUUUCAUGAUCAUCGUCAUUAACUUCCUCCUCAACCGGCGUCGCAACGACAGAGGUUUCCCCUUGCCCUGCGCCACCAUCCAGAGGGAUGAGAGGUUCGACAACCUCGUCAAGUUCUAUCUUCCUCCCACUCAAUUCUCUCGAGAGAAACUCCUUCUCGAGAAAAGCUCUGUUUUUAGCAACAAACACUUUGCCCUCGGAUUUGAGAUAGAAGGUGUACCCAACUGUCUCUUUUGGGUAACCUAUGAAGACGCACUUUUCCGCUUUGGGUUCCAGCUUUUCAGGCUGAAGCUUUUUGACAUAAGCAUCACAUCCUCAAACUUUAAGAAACGACAACUUUGGCCUUUUGCCAUACCACAGUUCGUAUGGUGUCGUCUCAACGGAUUUUGAUGGUGCCCUAUUUAAAGUGAAUGCAGCUGUUUCUAAUGCAUAACCCCAAAAUGAUAACGACAAAUCAGUAAGAGACAUCAUAGAUCGCACCAUCUCUAAUAAAGUAUGAUUACGACGUUCGGACACACCAUUACGCUGUGGUGUUCCAGGCGGUGUUAACUAUGAAACAAUUCCACAUUUUCUUAAGUGAUCACCAAACUCGAAACUCAGAUAUUCACCCCCACGAUCAGACCGUAGGAACUUGAUCUUCUUGUUACGAUGAUUUUCAACUUCACUCUGAAAUUGCUUGAACUUUUCAAAUGUUUCAGACUUGUGCUUCAUCAAGUAGACAUAACCAUAUCUACUCAAAUCGUCAGUGAAGGUGAGAAAAUAACGAUAUCCGCCGCGUGCCUCCACGCUCAUCGGACCACACACAUCGGUAUGUAUGAUUUCCAACAAGUCACUUGCAUGCUCCAUUGUUCCGGAGAACGGAGUCUUAGUCAUCUUGCCCAUGAGGCAUGGUUUGCACGUGUCAAGUGAAUCAAAGUCAAGUGACUCCAAAAGUCCAUCGGCAUGGAGUUUCUUCAUGCGCUUUACACCAAUAUGACCUAAGCGGCAGUGCCACAAAAAUGUGGCGCUAUCAUUGUUAACUCUAACUCUUUUGGUCUCAAUGUUAUGUAUGUGUGUAUCGCUAUCAAGAUUCAAUAUGAACAAUCAUCUCACAUUGGGUGCAUGACCAUAAAAGAUGUUACUCAUAGAAAUAGAACAACCAUUAUUCUGUGACUUAAAAGAGUAACCGUCUCGCAAUAAACAAGAUCCAGAUAUAAUGUUCAUGCUCAACACAGGCACUAAAUAACAAUGAUUCAAGUUCAUAACUAAUCCUGAUGGUAACUGAAGUGAAACUGUGCCGACGGCGAUUGCAUCAACCUUGGAACCAUUUCCUACGCGCAUCGUCACUUCAUCUUUCGCCAGCCUUCGUCUAUUCCGCAGUUCCUGUUUCGAGUUGCAAAUAUGAGCAACAGAACCGGUAUCGAAUACCAAUGCACUACUACGAGAGCCGGUUAAGUACACAUCAAUAACAUGUAUAUCAAAUAUACCUGAUUUUUCUUUGCCCGCCUUCUUAUCUGCCAGAUACUUGGGGCAAUUGCGCUUCCAGUGACCCAUACCCUUGCAAUAGUAACACUCCGUUUCAGGCUUAGGUCCAGCUUUGGGUUUCUUCGUCGGAUUGGCAACAGGCUUGCCGCUCUUCUUUGAAUUACCCUUCUUGCCUUUGCCGUUUCUCUUGAAACUAGUGGUCUUAUUCAUCAUCAACACUUGAUGCUCUUUACGGAGUUCAGACUCUGCGACUUUCAGCAUCGCAAACAACUCGCCAGGAGACUUGUUCAUCCCUUGCAUGUUGUAGUUCAACACAAAGCCUUUAUAGCUUGGCGGCAGUGAUUGAAGGAUUCUAUCAGUGAUAGCCUCUUGCGGGAGUUCAAUCCCCAGCUCAGCUAGACGGUUUGAGUACCCAGACAUUUUGAGCACAUGUUCACUGACAGACGAGUUCUCCUCCAUCUUGCAAGCAUAGAAUUUAUCGGAGGUCUCAUACCUCUCGAUCCGGGCGUUCUUCUGAAAGAUAAACUUCAACUCCUGGAACAUCUCAAAUGCUCUAUGACGCUCAAAGCGACGUUGAAGUCCCGGUUCUAAGCCAUACAAGACUGCACAUUGAACUACUGAGUAGUCCUGCUUACGUGAUAACCAAGUGUUCUUAACAUCCUGAUCAGCCGUAGCGGGUGGUUCAUCUCCUAGCGCAGCAUUAAGAACAUAAUCCUUCUUCCCAGCUUGUAAGAUUAGCUUAAGAUUACGAGCCCAGUCUACAAAGUUGCUUCCAUCAUCUUUCAACUUAGCUUUCUCUAGGAACGUAUUAAAAUUCAGGGUGACUAUCACGUGAGCCAUGAUCUACAACACAAAUAUAUUCAAAGUGGACUUAGACUAUGUUCAAGAUAAUUAGAGUUUAACUUAAUCAAAUUAUUCGCUAAACUCCCACUCAAAAAGUACAUCUCUCUAGUCAUUUGAGUGGUUCAUGAUCCACUUACACUAGCUCAAGUCCGAUCAUCACGUGAGUUGAGCAUAGUUUUAGUGGUAAGCAUCCCUAUGCUAAUCAUAUCAUCUAUAUGAUUCAUGAUCGACCUUUCGGUCUCAUGUGUUCCGAGGCCAUGUCUGCACAUGCUAGGCUCGUCAAGCUUAACCCGAGUGUUCCGCGUGCGCAACUGUUUUGCACCCGUUGUAUGUGAACGUUGAGUCUAUCACACCCGAUCAUCACGUGGUGUCUCGAAACGACGAACUGUAGCAACGGUGCACAGUCGGGGAGAACACAAUUUCGUCUUGAAAUUUUAGUGAGAGAUCACCUCAUAAUGCUACCGUCGUUCUAAGCAAAAUAAGGUGCAUAAAAGGAUUAACAUCGCAUGCAAUUCAUAAGUGACAUGAUAUGGCCAUCAUCACGUGCUCCUUGAUCUCCAUCACCAAAGCACCGGCACGAUCUUCUUGUCACCGGCGCCACACCAUGAUCUCCAUCAAUGUGUCGCCAUCGGGGUUGUCGUGCUACUCAUGCUAUUACUACUAAAGCUACAUCCUAGCAAAAUAGUAAACGCAUCUGCAAGCACAAACGUUAGUAUAAAGACAACCCUAUGGCUCCUGCCGGUUGCCGUACCAGACGUGCAAGUCGAUAUUAUCUAUUACAACAUGAUCAUCUCAUACAUCCAAUAUAUCACAUCACAUCGUUGGCCAUAUCACAUCACAAGCAUACCCUGCAAAAACAAGUUAGACGUCCUCUAAUUUUGUUGUUGCAUGUUUUACGUGGUGACCAUGGGUAUCUAGUAGGAUCGCAUCUUACUUACGCAAACACCACAACGGAGAUAUAUGAGUUGCUAUUUAACCUCAUCCAAGGACCUCCUCUGUCAAAUCCGAUUCAACUAAAGUUGGAGAAACCGACACUUGCCAGUCAUCUUUGAGCAACGGGGUUACUCGUAGCGAUGAAACCAGUCUCUCGUAAGCGUACGAGUAAUGCCGGUCCAAGCCGCUUCAAUCCAACAAUACCGCGGAAUCAAGAAAAGACUAAGGAGGGCAGCAAAAUGCACAUCACCGCCCACAAAAACUUUUGUGUUCUACUCGAGAAGACAUCUACGCAUGAACCUAGCUCUGAUACCACUGUUGGGGAACGUCGCAUGGGAAACAAAAAUUUUCCUACGCGCACGAAGACCUAUCAUGGUGAUGUCCAUCUACGAGAGGGGAUGAGUGAUCUACGUACCCUUGUAGACCGUACAGCAGAAGCGUUAGUGAACACGGUUGAUGUAGUGGAACGUCCUCACGUCCCUCGAUCCGCCCCGCGAACAAUCCCGCGAUCAGUCCCACAAUCUAGUACCGAACGGACGGCACCUCCGCGUUCAACACACGUACAGCUCGACGAUGAUCUCGGCCUUCUUGAUCCAGCAAGAGAGACGGAGAGGUGGAAGAGUUAUCCGGCAGCGUGACGGCGCUCCGGAGGUUGGUGAUGACCUUGUCUCAGCAGGGCUCCGCCCGAGCUCCGCAGAAACACGAUCUAGAGGAAAACCCGUGGAGGUAUGUGGUCGGGCUGCCGUGGAAAAGUCGUCUCAAAUCAGCCCUAAAACCUCCGUAUAUAUAGGUGGGAGAGGGGAGGGGGGGCUUGCCUUGGGGCUCAAGGAGCCCCAAGGGGGUCGGCCGAGCCAAGGGGGGAAGGUCUCCCCACCCCAAACCGAGUUGGACUUGGUUUGGUGGGUGGGAGUCCUUCCUUCCCUUCCCACCUCCUUCUUUUUUUUCUUUCUCUUUGAUUUUUCUUCCAAUGCGCAUAGGGCCCUUUUGGGCUGUCCCACCAGCCCACUAAGGGCUGGUGCACCACCCUCAAGGCCUAUGGGCUUCCCCGGGGUGGGUUCGCCCCCCCCGGUGAACUCCCGGAACCCAUUCGUCAUUCCCGGUACAUUCCCGGUAACUCCGAAAACUUUUCAGUAAUCAAAUGAGGUCAUCCUAUAUAUCAAUCUUCGUUUCCGGACCAUUCCGGAAACCCUCAUGAUGUCCGUGAUCUCAUCUGGGACUCCGAACAACAUUCGGUAACCAACCAUAUAACUCAAAUACGCAUAAAACAACGUCGAACCUUAAGUGUGCAGACCCUGCGGGUUCGAGAACUAUGUAGACAUGACCCGAGAGACUCCUCGGUCAAUAUCCAAUAGCGGGACCUGGAUGCCCAUAUUGGAUCCUACAUAUUCUACGAAGAUCUUAUCGUUUGAACCUCAGUGUCAAGGAUUCAUAUAAUCUCGUAUGUCAUUCCCUUUGUCCUUCGGUAUGUUACUUGCCCGAGAUUCGAUCGUCAGUAUCCGCAUACCUAUUUCAAUCUCGUUUACCGGCAAGUCUCUUUACUCGUUCCGUAAUACAAGAUCCCGCAACUUACACUAAGUCACAUUGCUUGCAAGGCUUAUGUGUGAUGUUGUAUUACCGAGUGGGCCCCGAGAUACCUGUUCGUCACACGGAGUGACAAAUCCCAGUCUUGAUCCAUACUAACUCAACGAACACCUUCGGAGAUACCUGUAGAGCAUCUUUAUAGUCACCCAGUUACGUUGCGACGUUUGAUACACACAAAGUAUUCCUCCGGUGUUAGUGAGUUAUAUGAUCUCAUGGUCAUAGGAACAAAUACUUGACACGCAGAAAACAGUAGCAACAAAAUGACACGAUCAACAUGCCACGUCUAUUAGUUUGGGUCUAGUCCAUCACGUGAUUCUCCUAAUGACGUGAUCCAGUUAUCAAGCAACAACACCUUGUUCAUAAUCAGAAGACACUGACUAUCUUUGAUCAACUGGCUAGCCAACUAGAGGCUUGCUAGGGACAGUGUUUUGUCUAUGUAUCCACACAUGUAAAUGAGUCUUCAUUCAAUACAAUUAUAGCAUGGAUAAUAAACGAUUAUCUUGAUACAGNNNNNNNNNNNNNNNNNNNNNNNNNNNNNNNNNNNNNNNNNNNNNNNNNNNNNNNNNNNNNNNNNNNNNNNNNNNNNNNNNNNNNNNNNNNNNNNNNNNNGAACCCCAACCCUACNCCSACCACCACCACACCACACCACACGCACGCGUCGGCGCCGCGCCCCCCCCCACCCCCCCCACCACACACACACAUCAUAAAGCUCCUCCCGGUCUCUCUCCGCCCAUCCACCCCGCCCCCAAAACAAUCGCGCCCGUGAGUCGUGGCUGCUGCUACCAAUCUGCCCAGCAGAGCCGGCUCUCGACACGCUCGCUCGCGCCGCGUUCGUUGCAUGCGCCGGGCCGCCGCCGCCACCAGCAGGGUCAGGAUCCACAUGGCGGCGGAGGAGGUCAGGCAGGCGUCCGCGGCCGCCACGGCGGCCGAGGCGGUGCCGGCCCCCGCGGGCUCCCGCUGGGCGCGGGCCUGGCCGGCCGCGCUGCGCUGGAUCCCCACCUCCACCGACCGCAUCAUCGCCGCCGAGAAGCGCCUCCUCUCCGUCCUCAAGUCAGUGCCCCCAUAUCCCCUACCCCUGUUCCUCUCCUCGGACCACGAUUACUUGUUUUCGUCCACGAUUACCACUUGUACCAUCUGCACGAUUAGUUGUUCCGCCUCUUCACUCCGCCAUCCCACGAUCCGUAACAGCUGAUUGACCUCCUCAUAGGGCCCAAUUUUGGGGUUGCUGGACGACUUGUAGGGCUGUAAUCCGCUCAUCCCCCCACCACGGUUCACUGGUUUCCGAGCGUCGGGCGAGGGCGAGUGCCAAAGCUGUCUGCUUGUGCUCAAAACCAUCCAGCCGGAUACUGAUUCUGCAGCCAAUUCUGAUGUUGAAGUUGCUACCUUCAUUGAUAGGACUAUAUCAGAGCAGUGUGUCACUUUGGGAUCACUAAAGCCUGGAUUUAUUUAUACGCACUACUUAAUUUGAACUGUUCGAUUGUUGUGCAUAUAUAACACUCAGUUUCGUUUAAGCAUGGAACCGGCGGCUGUUCUGUCUGCUUGUCAGUAUUGUCUAUUUGGUCUCAUGAAGCCCAUACAACAAUAUAUAGCAUAUGUUGUAGUCUUUGAUGAUAAUGUUGUUAAUACUUGAAAGCAUUGACGGGACUCCUUGACCAUUAGUUGGAUAUUGUCCAUUUGGUCUUUCUAUUAUACUGUUGAAAAGAUAUACUCAUGAACUGCAUGGUGAAACUUUGUUUGUUGUUGAUCUGGUACUUCAUUCCAAUGCAUGAUAGCUUGGUCAACACAUUGCUCUGUUUCGAUUUGUGCAAUAAGGAUUUAAAAAAAAAAUACAUUCUGUACCUGAACUCGCUAACGCCCUGAAGGGAUAAUGUUACGAGUUCGUUCCAAGACAUAAUAUUGUAUUACAGUACUACUGACAUGGGACUUCACAUCCCCGUUUUUUCGCCUACUUGGCCUUUAGUAGAUAUUCCAUGUCUUCCUUUGUUUUAUUGUAGAUAGAAGAGUUACUAUUUCAUUAUGCUGAUACAUGAUGUAACUUUUUUUAUCUUCACAGAACUGGGUAUGUCCAAGAACAAGUUAACAUUGGCUCGGCUCCACCUGGGUCAAAAGUAAAAUGGUUUAGAUCAUCAAGUGAUGAGCCAAGAUUCAUCAAUACAGUGACAUUUGAUAGCAAGGAGAAUGCCCCCACCCUUGUCAUGGUCCAUGGUUAUGGUGCUUCACAGGGGUUCUUCUUUCGAAACUUUGAUGCCCUUGCAAGCCGCUUCAGGGUGAUUGCCAUUGAUCAACUUGGGUAAGCUCUAAGAAAAUCAAUACACUAUUGUGACUAAUAUUCCUCAAUGUGGUGAUUGAAGUAAUUAUAUUUCCAUUCCUUUGCUCACUUUUUCCCAACUGUUACAAUUAUCCUUGAUACCUGUAGAAAAGAGACAUUGGUCUAAAGAGUUUUGUGCAUUGUAAUAUUUGCACACAAUGUGUCUUCAUACCCACAGCAUACUAGGAUAUGAUUCCUGACUUGUUCACAUGCCACAAAUCUAAUUUUGAUUGUUUACAAUUAUCGGUGUUAAUGAUGCUUGUUCUUGUAAUUGACAUAAAGAAAGAAAAAUAUUAGUGUAGAUUCAUUGAUCUUAGAGUUCAAGAUUUAUGUUAGAAAUUGAAUCUUAUCAGUGUGAGUUAAGAGGAGUCAAUCGUGUCCUUUUACCUCUAGGUAAGGAAAAUUAAUAUGAUGAUACAUAAAUGUUUGCCUACUAUUAGGAUAUGUGUCAUGGAUGAUAAAAAAUGUUUUAUACUGUUCUUGUAAUUACUCCACAUUGUUUGAUGUUGCAUAUUGUUGAAUUUUUCCUACCCUUUUGCAGUUGGGGUGGAUCAAGCAGACCUGACUUCGACUGUAGAAGUACUGAAGGUUAGAUACAGAUACUUUAUUUUAGUAUGCUACUGGUUCCCCUCGACUGCCACUAUCAUUUCUGUUGUUGACCAUGCCUUGGCAUCAAAUUUUAUGGUGAACAUCCUGUUUUAUUUUGAUUUUUGACGAUCCUGCAAGCAAUUGCUACUAUGGGAAACCCAUGUAGAUUUGUUCCAUCAUAUUGCUUUGUGAUGUAGUUUCUGCUAUAUGCUUUUUUUUUAAACAACGAGUAACAUGCUUCCUUUCGUUUUUUAUUUUGGUCAACUUUGUGAACAGAAACCGAGGCUUGGUUCAUAGAUUCUUUUGAGGAAUGGCGCAAAGCAAAGAACCUCAGUAAUUUUAUAUUGCUCGGUCAUUCUUUCGGAGGAUAUGUUGCGGCAAAGUAUGCGUUACAGGUAUAUUUAUAAUUAAUUUAGCAAGUGAAGCUACUCAACUGCUGCCUAUGAUAAUUAUACUAAAAUGUAUGCUUUAUUUCAGCAUCCUGAACAUGUUCAGCACUUGAUUUUGGUUGGUUCUGCUGGCUUUUCAUCAGAAACAGAUCAUAGUUCUGAGAGGUUAACCAAGUUCCGUGCAACGUGGAAAGGCAUGCUAGUAAACCAUCUUUGGGAGUCCAAUUUUACUCCUCAAAGAAUUGUGAGGUAAGGCUAGGGCUUCUUCUAUUUGUAUUUUCAUUUUUUUACCUAAUAAUGCAAAUGAAGACAAGAUGAAAAUGUAAGCCUCUCCACUUCAUAAUUAGCAAUCAUCCAUGUCUAGUUAAAUUUGGUUAGUGCACGUACCUUAACAAAACAGAGCAAUCCAUCACCCAUUUUAACUGGAAGUAUUAUGUAGCCAGCUGUGACCACCAUAUCAGACCAAACCUGCCAGCAUGAUUUUGUUAGGAAAACAGCAACGCAUAUUGAACGGAAGCUCCAAAAAUAAGCUGCAAUAUUAUUUGCUGUCAAAUAGAGAAGUGCCAAUUAUUAUCUGAAGUAACACGAAUUAACAAAAAUCGCAAUCAAAUUCAUUCUGCUGUCUUAGAAGUCCAUGAAGGCAUCAUAUAUACUCUGAACUGGCAGUCACAGCUGGGGCAUAUAACAACCUUGUCAUGCUUCAGUCAGUUAAAAUGGAUGGAAGGGCUGGAUUGCUCCUUCUAUCGAAGUAAAUGAGUACUACUCCCUCCGUUCCUAAAUAUAGGUCUUUUUAGAGAUUUCACUAGGGACUACAUACGGAGCAAAAGGAAUGAAUCUACGCUCUAAAGUAUGUCUAUAUACAUCCGUAUGUAGUCCGCUAGUAAAACCUCUAAAAAGACCUAUAUUUAGGAACAGAGGGAGUAUGUUCAAAUUGAAGUAGAGAUAGCUCAACAACGCAAAAAUAAUUUGAAGUGGAGAUAGCUGCAACAAUUCGAAAACUAUCGGAUUUCUUUAUAAGCUACCUCUUUGGUACCUUUUGUACUGAUGUCCGUUUGUUUUACUUAAACAGAGGAUUGGGUCCUUGGGGUCCUGAUUUAGUUCGGAAAUAUACCACUGCUAGGUUUGGCUCACAUUCAACAGGUGAAUUACUAACAGAACAUGAGUCCUCCUUACUGACAGGUAAACAUUUGUUGUUACAUUAAUUCUGUAAGUGCAUUUUCUUAGAUGAUGCUUGUAAUUGAACCUUAUUGUUGCUUUCUUGUAUAUGAAGAUUACAUUUACCACACUUUAGCUGCUAAAGCUAGUGGAGAGUUGUGCUUAAAACAUAUUUUCUCAUUGGGGGCAUUUGCAAGGAAACCACUUCUGCACAGGUUAGCUCCUCUUCCUAUGCACUUAGUUUCUUGGAACUGCCCCCCUGGUGAUAACAGCAUGUUCAAUUAUUAUGUUUCUCAGUAAUCAUUAAGAAUUUAAGAUAAGAGCCCCUCCUAUAAUACUACCUCUGUAACUUAAUAUAAGACGUUUUUUGACACUACGACGGUGUACAAAAACGUCUUAUAUUUUGAUACGUUGGGAAUAUUAUUUAGAACUGUAUUUAAUAAAAGUGAAAAAGGGUUGUGUGUGCGCCCAAGUAGCUGUGGAAAAUCUGCUUUCGUUGAUUGUGGCUUUUGAAUCUUUAGCGGACAGGAUGGAAUUUGUUUCACAUGUUCUUCCCUAGCAUACUUGUUAAUUUCUUCUCUCUUUAUAGCAUUAGUCAAGUAGAUAAGAUAACUAUGGCUGCCAAUAACCACUUAUUCGUUACCAUGAAUAGAUUUGAAUUCCAGAAUGGCUUAUCUAGCGAAAAGUUUGAAAAUCCGACUCUGUAACAAACUAGCUAUACUACCAAUUUUCGUCAGUAUAUUUGAUAUAUAAAACAUGAUAAGUUAAUGAUCUUGUAGAUGCAGUAAUGUAUUGACCAAAAGUACCAGAGUGAACUAUAUGCAGCGUAAAUAUAUUUGUGAUGUUUUCUCACUGGCCUAUGACUUGCGACAGUGCAUCCGACUGGAAAGUGCCAACUACUUUCAUAUAUGGCCACGAUGAUUGGAUGAAUUACCAAGGGGCGCAGCAAGCACGCAAGGACAUGAAAGUUCCUUGCGAAAUCAUCAGAGUCCCACAGGUCAGUUUUCCAUUCUGGCAGUAUGUGCCCAGCCAGCCAAAAGAUUAGUAUUGACGACAUAUACCUUAACUGCUAUGCAGGGAGGACAUUUUGUGUUUAUAGAUAACCCUGAGGGGUUCCACUCGGCGAUCUUCUACGCGUGCCGGAAAUUUUUAUCUGGAGAUGCAGAGGAAGGUCUCUCUCUUCCUGAUGGCUUGAUAUCUGCAUGAGGCGUCAUCUUGUGUGAUCUCGUACCGAAUAGCGGUGUCAGCAUAAAGCAAAGCUAUACAACAAUAGAAAUGUUUUUGUAUGUAUGAAUUGUGUGAAUAUGUCAUUCAUAUGUGCUUGCGUACCAACAACACUAGUGAGACUAUUAUUGUUUUUUUUUUUGUCAGGUCUAGACAUAAUUAUGUCAUAUAUGUAAGAUCUUCCUAGUCAGUUUUUAGGUCAAGUUGCUGUAAGUGAUGCUCUAUAUUCUUUCAGGGCAACUUUAUGUUUGCCUGCUACGAAACAUCUUCACAGUAUUAACUGCCGCUGUACAUUUGCUGCAGUCAUUGCUGCGUCGUAGCCAUUUUUAGAAAGUAUUUUGGAACAGUGGAAGUGCAUUUUGGUGUCUUACGAUGCUAUUAUCCUACCAGACUAUUUUGGUACUAGUACGUCUACGAGUAUUCUACAAUUAGUCAUGAGGCUGACAAUGGCAACGUCCGCGGGGGCUGUUCCUGUCCCUGAAGGAGUUUUUUUUGGCCCCGAUCGGACUUCCUUCCUCGAGCUCGGGGGAAUCCCUUGGUCCGGUCUCCGGACCAGGAGGCGGUGGCGGCAUGGUGUCACUAUCUUUUUGAAGGGGUCGUCUUGUUGUUCGAAGAGUCUCGAUGGUGCGGCUCGAGUCAAUGUUACCGGACUUCUUGGGCGUAAUGUAUGCCAUCUCCGGCGCCAUCUCAAAGACACCUUUCCUAGGUUUGGCCGUACCGUUCACUUGUUGAUUUUCUCUUGGCACAAUUGGUGAUAGUACGUUGGAAUGUGUUGAUGUUGAGGUGAUAGUACGUUGGAAUGUGUUGACGUUGAGUCUUGGUUUUGUUGUAGAGGUCUCGGUAUUGGUUGUGAUGUGACUUGGUUGCUUUUUGGCUUGAGUCAUUGUCAUUGACAUAAGGUUGGACUAGGGAAACAUAUAUCCUAGUAGACAAGGUGGAUAUGAGUGAUGAGUGUGGCGGCUAAUUCUCGUGAUUAACGUUGUAAUGGUCGAAAGGCUUUGUAUUCGGUUUCUUUUUUUAAUGUGAAAGGUGCUUCUUUAUACUUCUUUUAAUGCGAUGAUACGCAUAUUUACGUGUAUUCUAUAAAAAAAUCAUGGCAAAAAUAUUUGUGUUUACUAAGCUCAACAGCUUGCUGAUUCCUACUCUCUCAAAUAUAAAUCGCUUUAGAUAUUUUAAUAUGAACUAUAGUACGGAUAUGUAUAUAGAUGUAUUUUGAAACAUAAAUUCAUCUAUUUUACUUCCUACAUAUUUCCUCCGUUUUUAAAUAUUUGUCUUUUCAGAGAUUUAACUACAGACUACAUCGGAGCAAAAUGAUGAAUUUACAUUUUAAACUAUGUCUAUAUACAUUCAUAUGUAAUCGAUAGUGAAAUUUCUAGAAAGACAAAUAUUUAAAAACGGAGGGAGUAGUUUACGCACACACUAUCUUUAAAAUGAUUUAUAUUUAAAAACGAGGGGAGUAGUUCUCUUGGACAUUAUGCCUAACUUCCAACUCCAAACAAAGAAAAAGCUCGCCCUUUCAUUUCAGCAAAGAGGGAGCGAGCGUGCCGCUCUUUCGCGGUUUCGCCUACCCCAUUUGAUGAGCCUAAACCCACAGGCGGGGCGCGCCGCAGCUCGCGUGGCAGAGCAUGGAGCGCCCUCCGCCAUCGCCGGCCUGGCCGCCGCCACCUCCAGGAUCGCCUCCCACGGCCGCGCCGGCGACGCCGCCGCGGCGCGCGCCGUGUUCGACGCGAUGCCCCGCCGCGACGCCGUCGCCUGGAACGCCAUGCUCACCGCCUACGCCCGCGCCGGGCAGCCGCGCGCGGCCNNNNNNNNNNNNNNNNNNNNNNNNNNNNNNNNNNNNNNNNNNNNNNNNNNNNNNNNNNNNNNNNNNNNNNNNNNNNNNNNNNNNNNNNNNNNNNNNNNNNCGAACCCUCCAAAGACUUUUGGUUACAACCCGUGUCCGAACCAAGUUUUUGUCUAACCUUUAUUAAUUUAAUUAGGGACUUUAAACGUUACUGCAGAUUAGUGUGGACCCCGACUUUUUGUACAAAUUAAACUAAGAAUUGAGGAAGRCUAUGGUGAAGUCGCGACAUGCAAUUGACCAAUAAAAAGACCCCUUCCACGGUCCUCCUCUAUUUUCUUCUCUAGUCACAUGCAUGACCACCCUCCUCCUCUCAACCGAACACAACAACACAAUAUCCCACUACAUGCAUAGUCCUCUUCUACUCUCUCUCUCUCUCUCUCUCCUUUCAAUUGGAAUAAUUUGUAAAUAAAAUUGGACAUAAAAACAAACAUUUGCGGUGUCCGUUUAGGGGGUCAGUGUUGGAAAUGCCCUUAGUAAACGAAAAUGUAAUUCUAAGAUAUUUACUGUGAGAAAGGGGUGUUGGGAAUUAUUUGAAAUGCGAUACUCAUAUGACCAUAUGGGAUGCGGCGGGAAAAAAGAAAGAAAGGAGGAUAUUAUUUGGUUGGCUCCGUCGAGAGGAGAGAAGCGUGGGGAAAACAAACUGCAUAUAUACGGCCGGCGGGGUGGGUGGUGAAAACUAGGAGCGAGGAGAGAUCAGUUGGAUGGCGACUGGGAUAUGCGCCAUGUAGUAUACGGCCCGUGUCGUGUCAAUCAACACAUGUGUCGUUUGUUUGGCUUGUCCGUUUGUCAUUUCCUCCUUCGUAGGCACCACGACGAGCCCUGCGCCUAAACGGCAACCGCAAGUCUCAUAUGUGUUCGUCAGCUAGCCAGCUAGCUAUCCUCAAAGAAAAGGGAAAAAAGAAAAGUAGCUAGCUAGCUAUCCUCUUAGAAAAGGGAAAAAAGAAAAGUAGCUAGCUAGCUAGCGCCAUUGGUCGAUGGACGGGGAGGUUUGCGUUCCGUGUCCAUCACGGCCAUCUCCUGCCGAGCCACCGAGACCUUUCCAACCUUGGGAAGAACAUGGAGCGGAUCACUUCUAGAAUCUCUCGACAGUGGACGUUUGGUUUCUGGACUGAUGAAGCACCUGGACUCGGACGAUUGAGAUGUCAUCGCGGACACCAUGCUAUGUGGAGCAGCGUGCUGGUCACAGUCGAAAGUAUCGUAUAUUGAUACUACGUCCAUAAUGCAUAGAAUUAUGGUUUGAUAUCAUACUUAAUUUUAUUUAUUUAAUUAUAUGUUACCUUAAUAAAAUAUCUAAUUCACAUGUAUGAUACUAGCUAUUAUAUUACGGACGUGGAUUUUUUUUUGCUCUGGGGAGCAUAUGAUGCUCCCUAAUGAACAGUAAAAACCAAAAAAAAAAAGUAAAUAAGUUUUAAAAAUUCUGAAUUUUUUUUAUAGAUGUUCACAUUAGUGUGGCAAGUGUGCUUGCUAAUUUUCAUGACAUAUGGGAUAGCGGUGCUUCGUUGGUGAAAAAAUUAAAAUUAAACUAAACAUUUGAAGAUAACAUUUGACGUUGGACUUGUUCAUUUUGUGCAGACCAAAAUACUUAAGUUUUUGACCUGUAAAUUGCAUAUACCAUUUGAGUGUGACAAUGAACACAUCUGUUUUUUUCAAAAAAUUUGAUAUUUGUAAAAUACAUUUUUAACACGCAGAAGCAUAUGCUUCCUAGAAUCAAAUUGAAUAUCCAUUAUACUACCAGCCUAAGAGGCGACACAUCCGACAAACAAGUGUCAUUAAUAGGCACAUGCUCAGGUGGACAUGUUAUCAUAAAAUAAAUGAUCAAGUUAGAAACAAAGGAAUAUAAUACUCCUUCUUUCAAAAUAAAUGACUCGAUUUUAUAUUAAUUUUAUAAGGUUAGUAUAAAAUUAAAUCAUUUGUUUUGAAACAAAGGAAGGACAGGUCAAGGAGGAGGUGGCACAGACUAAAGAAAAGCUUAUCCUAUACCGACUAGAUGUGACUUGGACAUAUCCACCACAGGCAUGCAAAAGCGUCAAUGAAAAUACUCUAGGAAGGGUAGGGGCAACUAAAAUUAGAGCAUCUCUAGCACACCCUGUGUAAUGCCUCGUCCCGUAAAAUAACCGCCAAAAUAAGGAUCGAAAAUAUUACCACAUCAGAUCCCGCAAUGUGUCCGAGCCGUAAAAAACUUUGCGGGGCGCGAUAAAAGUUUGCCCUCAACCUUCAGAUUCACGGGGUGGGAGGCCGACCCGAGCUCGCCCCCUAUCCGCAACGAGAUUUAACGCGAGGGAAAUUUCCGCGCGGUUGUUCCCUGCUCCCCCCUCCUCGACUGCCAUUGCCACGCUACCGCGCGCUCCGGACCAUCUUCCCCACCAUUCCAUGCCGCCAUGGAAGCCUCUCAGCCGGCGGAUCUCGUCAACAUGGAGGUUACGCAUGCACAAUCCCAUCGGCGGAUCUCGUCAACAUGGAUUAAUACUUCCAACUCAUGGUCAAGUAUCCCAAUAAGACAGUACGAACCUUUCAGUCACUCCAAGGUCGUUGGGACGUGAUCAAGCCGACUUGUAGCCAUUGGGCAGCUUGCUUGGAACAAGUUCGCAAUGCUCCUCCAAGUGGAACCGUGGAAUCCGACUAUGUUAGUUUGUUUUCACGUCCCAAGUUCUACACACCAUUUGCAUCAUGUGAAAUGGUUCCAUCAUUUGACUUUGUUUUAAUUGUGUAGGAAAAAAUUGCCCAACACCGGUACAAAGACAUGGAAGCUUCAUAAGGCAAAAAAAUUAAACUAGAGCAUUGUUGGGAAAUGAUCAAAGACUGCGACAAGUGAAAGUUGAUUGACAAAGAAUCCCCACCGAAGAGAGGUUCACUUACGAACAUGGAUGAAGAUGAAGAUGAUGAUGACCCAAGAAACUUGAACAAGCCUGAUGGUGACAAGAAGACAAAGAAGAAGAUCAAAAGGGAACACGAAGCAUCGAGCUUGCGGGAUAGGAUAUAUGCCAUGGUAAAAUCAAAUGAGGUGAUGCUAGCGAAGUCUCUGGAGGCAAAGAUAGAGUUGGCCGAGAAGAAGGCAUGAGAGAAACAAGAGAGGUGGAAAUUGCUAAAGGACAUUGAGGAGAGAAGAGCACGUGUUGCUGAGAACAAAACCAUGGCCAACCUUCUUGCCGAAGAGAACAGGAUCAUGACUUUGAACUGUAAUGACAUGGACGACAUCAGCAAAGAAUGGCAUGAUAUGACAAGGAGAGAAAUCUUGAAGAGGAGGAUGCUUGCGUGUUACAAUGGCGGCGAUGUUUUCUCAUUGGGAAUCGGAACCAAUAUUGUCGAUGAUUUCAAUGCCGGAGUUGGAACAAGUGUCAGCGAUGGAUACGGGGGAGUCGAUGGAUUCAGGGGCGACGAUGACCUCGAUGGUGCGGAGUGAAGAGCGACCAGGAUGCAUGAAGUCCUUUUGGGUUUGUAUUUUAAACUAUGCUUUCAUUUUGCACGCGAACUAUGUUAUAUUGUUUAAAAUCGAAUUCAUUUCUCGGAACCGCUCUCAAAUUCGCUUAUUGGGAGGCUUUUCGGUUUACGGGUCAACGUGGCGGCAUCCGAGCAGACCCCGUAUUGCCAACCCGUAAAAAACAUCUUCUGCAAAUAUAUUUUUUACGGAUCCGUUUUGCGGGAUCUGAUUCCAUUCGUGCCCGCACUGGCCCACAAAACCCUUUUUUCUCGAACUGUAAACGACUUUGCGGGUUAACUUUAUACGGGGUCUGCUAGAGAUGCUCUUAACAUGAGAAUAGACAAUGCUCUUAACAUGAGAAUAGACAGUAAAAGGAGACAUCAAGGAGAGUGCAAAGUUUUAAUGGACGGGGGCAUUAGAGGACUUUAUUUCAAAAGAUUCAAAAAUGAUAUUUCUAUAUUUUUUUUAAAUCCCAAAAUAAAUAUUUGAAAACUUAUACGUAUUUGCAGUGGAUCUAUGAAAUUUCGUUUACUAAAAAUUUUAUUUUUUAACUAAGUCUGCAACAAAAAUUAAAAAAUUAAKUAGGACCCAAAAACAAAACCAAAAAAAGAAUACCUAACUUUUACUUAAUUUAAUUAGUUUUACUUUAGKUUUUUAUURUUAUACGUCYAMKUAUAGUAAAGUAUAUUAGUUAUUGUUAAUUUUUUCUACAACUAGUGUUGUGNNNNNNNNNNNNNNNNNNNNNNNNNNNNNNNNNNNNNNNNNNNNNNNNNNNNNNNNNNNNNNNNNNNNNNNNNNNNNNNNNNNNNNNNNNNNNNNNNNNNACGUAACGGUUUACGGUAACCCUACGUCCCGACAACCCCCUACCGUCCGUUACCCUUUCCCUAACCCUAAGACCACCCGGACUACGAGACGACUUAGUCACUUGUCAGCACGAUAGUCGUCGAUGAGCGCUGCAUCGAAGACACCAACCAUACGUCCACUGCAUCAUCAUGAGCGCCCAUCGGAGCUCCGACAACGUUGCGCCGCAGCACAAACAACCACCGACAAAGCUGCAUCGAAGCACCCGUUUCUCCCUGUAGAGUCGCAACUGUUGCAACGCAACAGCCUCGCCGCAGCACCGACUACUCACGCGAGCGCUCUAUUGCAGCAUUGUGACCGUUGCACUGCAGCUUCGGCAACACCGACCAGCAUUGCAUGCCGCCGGUGAGUACUCCAUUGUAGCACGACGAGAGCUGCAACGCCUCAUCCUCAAGCGGACCGUUGCCACUUUGCAACUUCACGGGUGCUGCGACAUCUCCUUUUGCGGCAGCGCCACACCCUCGAGCGGCGAUACGACGAGCCCUUAUCAGCAGCGAUGGCUGCCCUGCAACUCACGACAACAGGGUGGUCAGCGUUGUGCGGCUCUCCUCUCCUACAACAAUGGCAGAUGAUCCCCGAUUUUCAAUUGUUAGGGCAGCAACACGUGUGGGAUAUCGGGACUGCGACUGCACGACGAUCCUGCACUCGAUUCCUCAACUCCGUCGACAGUCCUCCUGAUUUCCCUCCAGUGUCUCAUCUAACAGCUGACGAAUAAGAGAACAAUGAAAAGGGAAAGGGAGAAACGAGUGGAGGGGAAGAGAUAAGGUGGGACGAGAGUGAGCGGUGGAUGAAUCCAUGAGGGCACAUGGCGUACGGAGGCGACGGUUUAAGGGAGAGAGAAUCAGUUGGUUGUUUUUAAUUGUUUUCUUUUUUCUUUCAAAGAAGGCAUUUUUUCUAAAACUGUCAUCGUUUAAUCUCGCGCCGUAACCAAAACGGUCAUGAAAAUGCAUUCGCUUGCCAUCUACCUUCCACAGAGGAAACGUUCGUCAGUUAGUAUUUCCGUAAAACAUUCACUCGAUGAGAUUUCGGUUCUAAGAGCAACUCUAGCAGACCCCGCAUCCGCCCUCGACCCGCAAAAUAACCGCCAAAAUGCGGGUCGGGGUGGAAAAGCCUGCCCGAUCAGACCCCGCAUCCCGCCCCGGCUCGCAAAAAUUUUCAGGGGGCGCGGCAAAUUCCCGACCCCAACCUGGGAAAACGCGGGUUUCCCCCUCACGGCUGCGGUGCCCUGCAUAACAGAGAGGCAGUUGGCGGGAGGGACAUUUCAGCCCGCGCUAUUUUCCCCUCCCUUCCGCCGCCGCCGCCCCGCCCUUGCUUCCUCCCGCCUGCUGGUGGCGAUUCCGGCCAUAUCUGCAGGCGAGCCGCUGCACCGCCCCUCCGGAUCCGGCGAGAAGAGCCCCCUCUAGCCGUCGCCGCCCGGGAUCGACCACCGCCUCAUCGCCGCCGCCGGUUAGUACCUUUUUUGUGGUUCCUACUAUCCUCCCGCCAACUACCCGAGAAGAUGGAGUUGACCCCAUGUGAGAAGUUCCUGCUAUCCGAUUCGUCCGAUUCGGACGGCUCGGAUGUUGAGACCAUGCUUGCGACCUUUCGUCAGCAAACAUUAGUCAUGACGCUUGCCGUGAAGGAGAAUGAAGACGAGAACCAUAAGAAGAGGCGAGGAUCGACUGUCGAGCGUUUGUGCAUUCCUCGGAAUCGCCAUCUUGGGAACGAGAUGUUGAUGCAAGACUAUUUCGCGGAGAAUCCUACAUAUCCUCCACACCUCUUCCGGAGAAGGUACCGAAUGCGCUGAUCCCUCUUUGUGAAAAUUGUUCAAGCUUGCGAGGAAAAUUGCCGGUAUUUUACUCAAAGAAGGAAUGUCGCAGGCUUAAAGGGAUUUAGUGCAUAUCAAAAAAUCUCCGCAGCUAUGCGGGUGAUUGCAUAUGGCGUUCCGGUUAACUAUGCCGAUGUGUACAUUCGCAUUGGUGAAGAUACCACAAUUGAGUAUGUGCGUAGAUUUGCAAAAGUUGAUCAUCCGUCUCUUCGGUCCUGAGUAUCUUCGGGCAUCCAAUGAAGAUGACACAAAGAAAUUGAUGGCAUCUAAUGAGAGGAGAGGUUGGCCUGGAAUGCUAGAUAGCAUUGAUUGUAUGCAUUGGAAUUUGAAAAAUUGCCCCAAGGCUUGGCAAGGAAUAUAUUGUGACAAGUCUCGUGAUGCAAUAAUUGUGCUAGAGGCCGUAGCAUCCGAGGAUUUAUGGAUUUGACAUUGCUUUUUUGGUAUGCCGGGCACUCUCAAUGAUAUCAAUGUGUUGUAACGGUCGCAUUUGUUUGCUAGGCUUGCUAGUGAUGAUGCUCCUGCUUGCAACUACGCUAUUAAUGGACAUGAAUACACAAAGGGGUACUAUCUUGCAGAUGGUAUAUACCCUCCUUGGUGCACAUUUGUCAAGAGCAUCAAAGAACCCAAAACAAAAAAAAUAAUAUGAAUUUGCAAAGGUGCAAGAGGCAGCCCGCAAAGACAUUGAAAGAGCAUUCGGUGUUUUGCAAUCUAGGUUUGCCAUUGUGCAUGGUCCUGCUCGUUUUUGGGAUAAGAGAACCUUGAAGAACAUCAUGACACGCUGUGUUAUCCCGCACAAUAUGAUUCUUGAAGAUGAGAGAGGAUUGAACUUAGAAUUCUUUUACGACAAUGUGGGUAGCCGUGUCAAACCAGCUAGAGACCCAAACCGCAUUAGAGCUUUUCUUCAGACAUACAAGGAGAUUGAAAACCCAGACACCCACUUUCAACUUCAGAAGUAUCUCAUUGAACACUAUUGGCAAAGGGCUAGACAACGACUUAUUUUUGUAUUCAUUUGUAUUUGUAUUCAUGACAAGUUUUGAAUAAUUAUUUGUAAUGCGGAUGAUUAUUGUAUUGUGUUUGAUUGGAAUAAUUCAGUUUGUUUUCGGCCGUUGAAUUAUGUUGUAUUUGAUAUUUACGGUCUAAUGAUACGGGAAGCAGCGGUGCAAAGAACGGACCCUUCAAAGUCGACCCGUAAAAAAGAAUAUUCCACAAAUAUAUUUUUUACGGAUCCGUUUGUGGGAUCUGCAUAUGUGACAGCCCAGGCCAGCCCGCAUAAGCAGUUUAGCACGACCUGCAAACGUGUUUUUCGGGUCGACGGGAUGCGGGGUGUGGUAGGGUUGCUCUAGAGAAACUCUUUCCAGCGGUUGACUGGUUUUGACUGAGCGUUACAUGCCACGUCAUCGGGUUUACCUCACCAGGACAAGUCCCGCCUCCCGAGCCCGAACCAAUCCGUCCCGUGAGAGGAGCGCCGCCACUGCCCCUCCGCCGCCGGCUUCGGCCCUCCCCGUCGCCCACUUUCCCCGCCCCUCCCCCGCGGCCCCGCUCCUCCAACUCCCCUCCUCGCCCGCACCCACCCCGUCGCCCCGGUCUCCGCCCACCCCCGCCCCACCCACCCCACCCAACYCCUAAACCCUACGACCCUACUCCCCCCUACAAAACCCCGUGGAAACGUACCCACGGUUCCUACGCCCGGAGCCCCGCCCGCCGGGGACCGGCGACGCGGUACGCCCCGGAGACCCCUNNNNNNNNNNNNNNNNNNNNNNNNNNNNNNNNNNNNNNNNNNNNNNNNNNNNNNNNNNNNNNNNNNNNNNNNNNNNNNNNNNNNNNNNNNNNNNNNNNNNGCAGAUAACAUCGUUGUGGCACUCUCCAACGGCAGGUGCGUAGCUGCCAACAGGUAUGGAGCACACGUCUACCUCUAGGUAGCUAAGCUAGCUAGGCGAUGUACCCUAGCCUCUGGAGCAGCGCGGAGCGGAGGGCGCCGUCGCCGUCGUCGUCCUGUAGUCCAGCGGGCACGUCGAUGACGACGUCCUGCACCGUCACGCCCUCCAUGCGGUGCACGCACGCGUGCUGCACCUGCAGCUCUAGCCGACCGGAGCGCACUCAUCAGCCGCGCCGGCGCGUGCCGGGCUCGUCCCGAGCUCAUCACGCGCACCGCCGCCGCGUCCUUCCCCACCAUCCGCACCUCCACCACAUCGUCGCCAGCCCCGGCGUGGCUGCCUCGGGACGAAGAAGCGGGCCCGUUCGACGCCUCCCACCUAGCGGCGGCCGCCUGCCGGCCCUCCUCCUCGAGCCGCGCGACGCGGGAGCGCAGCUCGGUGAUGUAGGCGACGGCGUCGGCGAGGAGUGAGGCCUUGUCCAUCCGGGACACGGUGGGCACGGCGGCGCGGAGGUCGCAGAAGCGUCGGUUCAGCUUGUCGCGGCGCUGGCGCUCGGCCUCCACGUGGCUGACGGUGAGACCAUCGGGCCGCGGCACGGGCUUCCGCCCACGCCGCUUUGUAGGCGUGGUCGUCGACGCCGGCGGUAGCUCGGAGUCCGGGGAGAGCGACGAGCUCCGGCAGGCCACAAGAAAUCUACACUCCUCGCUCGUUCGGACCGGCNNNNNNNNNNNNNNNNNNNNNNNNNNNNNNNNNNNNNNNNNNNNNNNNNNNNNNNNNNNNNNNNNNNNNNNNNNNNNNNNNNNNNNNNNNNNNNNNNNNNCUUCUUCGUCCGUUUUCCGUUUCGUUUCCGUUUACCCCUUACGGUGUUUAGCUAAGCCGAGACCCCUUGCCUCCNGAAAAGUCAUUCCUUUUCUAUCUUCGUCCAUGUCAACAGGAUCUGGACGUGCAGGUUUUGUACUCAGGUUUGGGAUCUAUCUCCCCAGGUCGCWACUUUCUUGGGUCAUCGUUAGGCUCAUAAUUCUCAUCCUUUGCACAGGCAGCAUCAAGCAAUUUUUUCAUAACGCUCGAGGCACUGGGAUGGUGUUCGUACCCACAAUAGGUGCAAUAGUCCUCCAUUGAGUAGGCAUUGAGCUUAGCBAAGAUGUAAGCAGUCUUCUCAUCCUCUUCCCUUGUCCACUCAGUCUGGGGUUAAUGGGCACUAGGUUAGUUAAGUAAACGUAAAUAGACAGAACCUCUAUAAUUAUUCGACAGACAACUAGAAAAACUGAAAAAUGGGGGCAGACCUAUGUCAUAAUAGAGCAAGAUAUAACCAAUUAAAAGAAACAUUAAGCAUACAUAUGACAGGUAAAGAUUGUACGGUUAUUUGAACUAAUUUAAUUUGAAUUAGAAUGUAGAAUUCAACACAGAACUAGAAAAUUAUAAGUUUAGUACUAAGUUAGUCGUUUAGGUUUUAAUUUAGACUUAACUUUAAAGGUUUUAGUAAGUUUAGGUAUUACGACAAACGUCCGUUAAAUUAGGAAAGUACCGUAAUUUAAACGGAAAUUAACUAAAAGUUUUAANNNNNNNNNNNNNNNNNNNNNNNNNNNNNNNNNNNNNNNNNNNNNNNNNNNNNNNNNNNNNNNNNNNNNNNNNNNNNNNNNNNNNNNNNNNNNNNNNNNNUAUACCAUUCCCUUUGCCCUUCGGUGUGUUACUUGCCCGAGAUUUGAUCAUCGGUAUCCCUAUACCUAUUUCAAUCUCGUUAUCGGCAAGUCUCUUUACUCGUUCCAUAAUACAAGAUCCCGUGACUAACACUUUAGUCACAUUGCUUGCAAGGCUUAUAUGUGAUGUUGUAUUACCGAGUGGGCCCCGAGAUACCUCUCCGUCACACGGAGUGACAAAUCCCAGUCUUGAUCCACGCUAACUCAAUGGACACCUUCGGAGAUACGUGUAGAGCAUCUUUAUAGUCACCUAGUAACAUUGCGACGUUUGAUACACACAAGGUAUUCCUUCGGUGUCAGUGAGUUACAUGAUCUCAUGGUCAUAGGAAUGAAUACUUGACACGCAAGAAAAAAUAGAAAACAAAAUGACACGAUCACAUGCKURCGUUUAUAGUUUUGGGUCUUGUCCAUCACAUCAUUUCCUACCUAAUGAUGUGAUCCAGUCAUACAAGUGAACAACCUACUUGCAUUAGUCGGGUACUAAACGUAAAAAACCCUUUAACCCGAUUUACCCGUUUAGUAACUUCCCGUAAAACGUUCGGGGUACCUUUAACGGUACCCGUAAACGUUCGGGGUAAACGGGUUCCCUUUAAACGGUUAAGGGGGUUUAACCCGUUUUUUUUGGGUUUUUUACGUACCUUUAAAGNNNNNNNNNNNNNNNNNNNNNNNNNNNNNNNNNNNNNNNNNNNNNNNNNNNNNNNNNNNNNNNNNNNNNNNNNNNNNNNNNNNNNNNNNNNNNNNNNNNNUUUUUCAUGAACUGUAAAAAUAUUUUUUGCGGAUCGGCAUUAUACGAGGUCUUCUGGAGAUGCUCUUAGCGCAUCCUCAAAGCGAACCCUCAAAGCUUUGGUACACCGUGUCCGAACCAGUUUUGCUAACCUUUAUAAUUUAAUGGGACUUUAAACGUCUGCAGAUUAGUGUGGACCCCGAUUUUUGACAAAUUUAAAACAGAAUUGAGGAAGCUAUGGUGAAGUCGCGACAUGCAAUUGACCAAUAAAAAGCCCCUUCACGGUCCUCCUCUAUUUUCUCUCUAGUCACAUGCAUGACCACCCUCCUCCUCUCAACCGAACACAACAACACAAUAUCCCACUACAUGCAUAGUCCUCUUCUACUCUCUCUCUCUCUCUCUCUCCUUCAUUGAAUAUUAGUAAAUAAAUGACAAUAAAACAACUAUUGCGGUGUCCGGUUAGGGUCAGUGUURGAAUCGACCUUAAGUAAACGAAAUGUUAAUUACUAAGUAUUAUUUACUGUAGGAAGGUAAAGGGGUUGUUAGGGUAAUUUAUUUGAAAUGCGUAUACUCAUAUGACCAUAUGGGAUGCGGACGGAAAAAAGAAAGAAAGGNGAUAUUAUUUGGUUGCUCCGUCGAGAGGAGAGAAGCGUAGGGAAAACNNNNNNNNNNNNNNNNNNNNNNNNNNNNNNNNNNNNNNNNNNNNNNNNNNNNNNNNNNNNNNNNNNNNNNNNNNNNNNNNNNNNNNNNNNNNNNNNNNNNGGACACUAACAUAAAUAACAAACGACUCUAAACAAUAGGCGAUCAUGACAAAAAAAAUAANACGAGUUUAUUAGUWAGUUGUCUCUUAAWAGUGAAAUCUGAUUUCACCAGUGGAUUCUUGGGAUGAUUCUACCCCAAAAGCAUAUAUAAUACAUGGGUACUUGCUUGUAACAUGUAGGCACAAAGCUAGCUCGAAAAACAACAUAGAAUCCUAUAAGAUCAUAUGAGACAUCAUCACAUGUGAACAAAGCAUUAUAGUAUCUACUACUCCUACAUAUGCACACACACAAGGUUCAUACACCACCACAUCACCAUAAUGGCAAGCAUGAGGGGUUAGCCCUCAUGCACAAGUGCAUAGGUGCACUCAUGCCCACACACACACAUGCAUAGAACAACACUACACACAAAUAAUAURUCGCCCMCCCCACCACACACUACAACCUAAGAAGGUGGCACUACAACGAAGGGGACGGUACGUACCGUCCYUYGUCGMMCWAUGUYGYGACUAGUUGCGACCAACCGUAAUGUCCACAACCACCAANNNNNNNNNNNNNNNNNNNNNNNNNNNNNNNNNNNNNNNNNNNNNNNNNNNNNNNNNNNNNNNNNNNNNNNNNNNNNNNNNNNNNNNNNNNNNNNNNNNNUAUGAUUUUUUUUUCGAACGGAAGAAGAUCAGGGGGCCUAUGGGCCAAGCCAGGAGGGCUACAGGGAGCCCACAAGCCCCCACUCCGCCACCAGGGGGAGGCGGCGGUGGGCAGGCUUGUGGCCUCCCUGGCGCCCCCCUGACCUAGAUCUAGCGCCUAUAUAUUCCCUAAAAAUCAGAAAAAAAUCAAGGGAUCCACGAAAAUACUUUUCCGCCACCGCAAGCUUCCGUUUCCGUGAGAUCUCAUCUGGANACCCUUCCGGUGCCCUACCGAAGGGGACCUUGGAGUUGGAGGGCUUCUUCAUCAUCAUCAUCGCCCUCAAUGACUCGUGAGUAGUUCACUUCAKACCUACGGGUCCGUAGUUAGUAGCUAGAUGGGUUCUUCUCUCUCUUGGAUCUUCAAUACAAAGUUCUCCAUGAUCUUCAUGGAGAUCUAUCCGAUGUAAUCUUCUUUGGCGGUGUGUUUGUCGAGAUCCGAUGAAUUGUGGAUUUGUGAUCAGAUUAUCUAUGAUAUAUAUUUGAGUCUUUGCUGUAUUUCUUAUAUGCAUGAUUUGAUUAUCCUUGUAAGUCUCUCCGAGUUCUUUGGGUUUUGUUUUCGACCUAACUAGAUUCUAUUGUAUUUCUUGACCGUAAGUGGGGAAGUAAGUUGGUCGUUUUGGGGUUUUUUCGGGUUACCUUUACCAGUUGGUUGGGUACGUACCCCUUUUCCCCGAAGUCCGGAACGUAGGGUUACGGGGGACAAAACCGAACGGGNNNNNNNNNNNNNNNNNNNNNNNNNNNNNNNNNNNNNNNNNNNNNNNNNNNNNNNNNNNNNNNNNNNNNNNNNNNNNNNNNNNNNNNNNNNNNNNNNNNNAUGUUCAACCAUACCGCAGGGCAACACUCGAUACGGCUAUAAUGUGUGAGUAAGGAUUGUUGGCUUACCCCUACUUUUUAGCUCUCUACCAAUUUUUACAAGGAACAAAACUCACUUAACAACUAUGUGAAUAUUUUUAAUGUUAAGCAAUCCAAACUGACUAAAGAAUUGAUCUCGAAAGACUGACGCCUGAGAGUACUGUCAAGGCAUUCGUAGAGUCGUGUUGGACGAUUACCGGCUURUUUGAAUGCUCAAUGGUCAAUGCCAUACCUUGCAUGAUUGCGUGAAUUUCUGCAUCAAGUGCGUCAUUGCAAUGAAAGAUAUACUUGUAUGCAUCAAAGUUCGCGGAAUCAUCCUCAUUUCACAGAACCAUUCCAGCACAUGCACGCCCAUCAUGACUACGAAAAUAGAGCCUCAAACCAAGAAAAGGACAACACCAUCCAGCUGUUAGGAAAUAUGCCCUAGAGGACAAUAGAAUAAAAUAAGUUAAUUUAAUUAAUUAUUUCCUUCUUUACGUAAGAAUUAAUUACGUUUAUUUAUACCUAUGUCUAAUUAAGUUAGUUAUUAGUAAUAGAAAGUAACAAUAAAUACNNNNNNNNNNNNNNNNNNNNNNNNNNNNNNNNNNNNNNNNNNNNNNNNNNNNNNNNNNNNNNNNNNNNNNNNNNNNNNNNNNNNNNNNNNNNNNNNNNNNAGAGGGCGAGUAGCCCACGUGGUGGUGCUGUGGUAGCAGGGGACCGUAGGGUUCCGGUAAUACCAGGGACCCCGUUUUUUUUACCCCCUUUCGUUUCAUUUUUUUCCCUUACUUUCUUUUCUUUCGUUGCAGCAAGCAUGANAGUUUUCUUUUUAGAUAGWGUUUUGGUGUGUAUUAUCUGCUGCCUAGGAUACCAUAUAUAGGUGUGUGCAAGUGCUUGUGUAUGCACUAGUGUGUGUAGGUGGAGUGUGUAUGAGUGUGUGUAUGGUGUGUGGUUGUGUGUGUGUGUGUGCACAUGAAUGAGUUGUGCACACAUGUGCAUGUGGGUGUGUGUGUGCAUAUGGUUGCACAUGCACAUGUGCAAGAGGGCCUAGCCCCUCUUGAUGCACCUCUUGUAGUGUGUGUGGGUGGGGCACAUAUAUUUGUGUGUAUGUGUUCAUGCAUGUGUGUGUGUGGGCAUGAGUGCACCUAUGCUACUUGUGCAUGGACGGGUCCCUAACCCCGUCAGUUGUCCUUUCGACCCUAUUUAGUGGGUAGUGUUGGGUUGGGUUGGGUUUUAACGUUACGGUAAACCCGUUUUGGUUAGGGUUGGUGGUUCGGCCUUAAGUUAGUUAGGGUUUAAAGGGUAGGUUUAAGGGUAAACGGUUAAUUNNNNNNNNNNNNNNNNNNNNNNNNNNNNNNNNNNNNNNNNNNNNNNNNNNNNNNNNNNNNNNNNNNNNNNNNNNNNNNNNNNNNNNNNNNNNNNNNNNNNCAUCACUCUCUUCAUCGAGACAGCUGAUCUGAAGACACACGGUGCGUGAACCGCGUCACUCCUUCCACUUAGDDACGACAGCUUCGUAUCUGAAGAUGCAGGUGCGUGAACCGCGUCACUCCCUUCAUUAGAGACAGCUUGAUCUGAAGACACAGGUGCGUGAACCGCGUCACUCCCUUCAUUAGAGACAGCUUGAUCUGAAGAUGCAGGUGCGUGAACCGCGUCACUCCCUUCAUUAGAGACAGCUUGAUCCCAAGAUACAGGUGUGUUCCCUACAUCUACACUUGUAGCAGCAGCCUUAGGAACAUUUCCCCCCUCUUCUUGGCUACCAGCAUCAACAUCCAUGCUACAAUUGGUAUUGUCCUGGUCAUCUAAUUUGGAUGAAUCAACCUUGUCAAUGGCGCCCUCGUUCAUGGUAACGCUGUCCCCACUAUGAGCAUUAGAAGUAGUCUGUCCAACUGAAGCCCCAUCGUUAUCCACUAGAGUGUCAGGCAAUGKAGGAAUAGGACCUACAAGGUCUCCAUCUACAUCUGCAUUGUCCAUGUCCAUCUGAUCCCCCUUGAUUUCUUUGCUUCCUGCAGCUUCUUCAUCAGUAACCAUAUUCGUCUGUCCUGAUUCCUCUUCAAUGUCAUGAUUCUUCCUCUCAUUUUUCUUCCUCAGCAGCACGUAUUUUGAGCUGCAGUCUUCCUCCUC